rnacentral:lncRNA from 1 species
GGUGGCUUCUCUCCCUUAGGUGGUUUGCCAACUGGGGUUGGUGGCUUGUGUUCUGGGAGUGGCUUCUCCCCCUUGGGAGGUUUUUCCAAUGGGGUUGGUUUGUGUUCAGGAGGUGGCUUCUCCACUGGAGGCUUGUGUUCAGGAGGUGGCUUCUCCACCGGAGGCUUGUGUUCAGGUGGUGGCUUCUCCACCGGAGGCUUAUGCUCUGGUGGUGGCUUCUCGAAUGGGGGAUGCUUAGGAUAAUCAGCAAGUGAGGGGGCGGUGAGAACCACCAGGCCAAGCAACACCACUAGCAAAUAUGUAGGAGACAUCUUUGGGUUUGGGCUCAGAUGGUGCAAAACUAGGAGAAUUGGCUAGCCUUUUAUAGCGGAUCGUACCCAAUAAUGAAAUGACACGUGUCAUUAUGACCCAUGUGUAAUGGGGUCGAUUUGGGUCCUACAGUGUUGAAAACUUCGACAUCCACUUUUGGCCUUUUGCUUUCUCUACAGCCGCCUUGCUUUUUCCCUCUUUCCUUUUGUUUUCCUCCUGCCCCAUUCUAUCAACUAAACACAAUUAUGUAGUUGUUUAAUUCUUAAAUGAGAUAUUAUCCGUCAAUCGUAUUAUAUUUUAUCAAGAGAGAACGGAGUGCAAUGUGGCUGUAAUUUUAUCGUUUAGUUUUAUCUCUUGGACCACUGCAUUUUUGUUAAGAGGUGCAAUAAUACACGUCUUUAUCUGCCAUUCAAUAUUUACAGUAAAGAGAGGGCACAAAACUCUUCACUUCGCACCAUAAUUAUUUUGUUUUCUGGACACCCCGGGGCCCUUUGGUUGGUUUGGGGGUCAGAAAGUGAACAUCAUAGGGGGUUUUUCCCUUAUGUGCAUUUGUAUCUGAUGGCUUUAACUCGCCUUGUUACUACAAAGAAACUGUCACAGAUAGGAACUUAUUCCAGGCUGAGUAUCUCCUCAUAGACCCUAUAAAAGAAGACAAGUCAUAAUGAACAUCUAACCUUUGUUCAAUUUGAUUCAAUGCCCCCAUUGUGUCCAUCUCACAAAUCUGAAUUAUUAUAUCCAUUGAAUACAUAAAUUAAUGAAGAAAAUAUGAAACCCAAGAUACAUCUCUGCACAACCUCAACCCUGGUUGCUAUGUUUCCCUUCUAUUCACAUGAUUUGAUGCUAAUUGCCAAACUUGCAACAAGCCCUGAGUUUGACACCUAGUAUCGAUGGGCGAAUUUAAAGUCUCCUCCAAACAUAUAUUCCACAGCUUGAAGCUCACAGAAGAUGUUACAGGCAGGGAAAAACCUUCAGAGUUCGCUACCAAAGAUAAUUAUUAAGGAGAUAUCACAAAGAGAAUUCCAAGGGGUCUGAAUCAAAGACAAAUUGGUCGUUCGUGGGGGUUCUUACUUUCUUUUGGGUAUAACUCACUGAGGGCACUGUCUUUGUUAUUUGCAUUUCACAUUUAGAGUUCUGUUCUGGAAACAUAUAAAAGGAGCAUCAUUUUGUUCUUGGGUAACCCAUAGUCGUGAGUGGGUCCAUUUGCAUGCUACUUAGUUGAAAAGUUGGACCAUUUGCUCCGACGCCUACCUCCCGGAUUCCAUGCUCGGAUAAAACAAGAAUAAAAAAAAUAUUUAUAAUUUACAAAUGGGGGAAAGAAAAAAAUGUCAACAACAAACCAGGAAAAAAGAGUAGUAAAAUUCAUGUCACAUGCUAGUGAGAGAAGGGGUUGUUACACUCACUCGAAGUUCUUUCCAAAAUAUCGCAUGGUAUUUUAUUUUAUGUGUCAGCGCAGUUGUGAAUGGAACGUGCAAAAGUCCAAAUUGGCGUUUUUCCUUUUCCCGUGUAGGAUGGCGACCUUUAAUAAAUAUUUAAAACAAAAAACGAAAAAAAGGAGGGAAAAGGGAUCAGAAAAGAUAAAACAAUGUGUACAAGAGCUCAAUUAGUUUGCAAAUUACUGUUUGGAUUUUGAUAGUAUUUUAUUUGUCCAUCUAUAUUUGAUGGAAAAGAGAAUUUAAGAUAUUUCUGAAACAAAAGCAUUAGUGUAAAACUAAAUUAAGGUAUAAUUAAGUUAGUUCAAUGCAUUAAUUUAAGAAACUUGAUCUAUCCAAAGUACAAAAUUAGAUGAAAUCCAUUUCAAUGGUUAAAAUGAUCAAAAUCAAACUUUUUCUAAGUAUUUUUUAAAAGCAUCAAUAUUAAAAGACAAUUUUAUAUUUAGUCGGAGUUUGGACAAAACCAAAAAGCACACAAAAUCCAAGCGACCAUCUCUAGCUUGGAUAGUCACUUGAUCCCACCUAGAGAUGUGCAUGAGUAAAAGGAUUUGAAAAUGGAAAUUGACUAAAUAUUUAGUUGAUCAAUUAAAUUUGCAAUGUCAUAUGCAAUCCUAAUAGCUAGUCAUCUAAUCAAUUAGGUAGUCAAUCAAGUGUUUGUAAUGACUAUUUUGUACAAAAAACCACAUGUAUAGUUAAAUAUAAUGCAUUUCAUUUAUAAAUCUUCUAAUUCUUGAAUAACGAUCCUAUCAUCCUUUGAAAAUUUUUAUUACACCUUUUUUACUUUUGUUCUAAAACUUACAUAUCACCCUUAAUUGUACCAUGAGAACCUAGCUAUUUUUUUUUUUUUUGUAAUUCAUCAAAGUUAGCUUUUGUAUUCAUUGUUGUAUUAUUUUUAGUAUAACUUAGAAAGCUAGUGUUUUCAAGUGAGUAAAAUUAACUUGUAAAUAUUGUAAAGAUUCAUUGAUAUGUAUCUUAAACUAAGUGUACAAAUUAAAACAUUUGCUAGUAGAUUUUCUCAAAAUUUAGAAUAGAGCUUGAGGCUAUUGAAAUAGGUGGGGUUACACCAAACCACAUCACAUCGUUGUUUGCACCUUUUUUCACUCUCUUUUACUUAGUUUCUCUAUAUUUGUUGUCUAGUAAUAUCCUAUAGGCUUGAUGGGUUAGGGAGCAUCCCUUUGUGAAAAAAUUUCAUUCAAUUCUUAGUUGUAUUACGCAUAUAUAAAAUGCCUCAUUGUUUUAAUGGUAUUCAGUCGUGGCAUCACAGAUAUGGGCAUCUAAAUUUUAAAAGUUUGAAACUUUUGUAAAGCAUGUUGAUAAAAUCCAUGAGAGUUGUGUACUUGGGAAGCAACAUCGAGGUGACUUUAUUUUUUUUUCCUUUUAUAAUGCCACACCUAAGUCCGGUUUCUAAAUGCUAAAGUGAAAGGGUAGGUAUGGACCAUUGAAAUGUGAUCACAACUUUUGGCCUUUUCCUUUCUCUGCAGCCAUGUUGUCUCUUUUUUCUUUUGCAUGAUUUUCUUACCAAAACAGAAUCAUAGACUUGUUUAGUCUCUAAGCUACUAUAUUAUAUCUCGGUGGACUUUUAAGAGUGCAACCGACAUAGAGCACAUGCAAGUGGGCAUAUGGGACAUGAAAUUUCUUCUUACAAAGAUUGCAUGAUUUUUAUAUUAGAGUUGUUCACGUGCAAUGUAUUUAGCUUGUUUUGCAGUUAAAUUAAUUGGAUAAGUAAACAUUGGCAUUUCUAAAUCGACUGUGAAGUGCUUCAUGUACGUGUAAAGUAUUAGAAAUUUCUUUCUUGGCAACUUGUUUUUUCCUUGCCAUCUACUGGUAGGUUUGACUAAAAUUAUAUUCCCUGUCAUGCUAAUUAAUUUUCAUGUGCAUGCUCAAAAGAAGAGUAUGACCUUAGUGCACCAAAAUCACUUUGAUUAAUUUGUGAUAGGUUUUUUUGCAUCAUUUAGAUAAUGUUUAGUUCUAAGAAAAAUUUAUAUAAAAAUGGUUUAUUUAUCUUACAUAUAUAUAUAUAUAUAUAUAUUUUUUUUUUUUUCAUUUUUUUUUCUUCUAUUUUAUUUAUUUAUUUUAUUUUCCUUAUGUUUUCCUCACAUUUUCCGGAACUAAACAUAGUCUUACGAAAUCAACAAUUGCCUUCAACUGAGUAGAUUCUGUUGUUUUAGCAAUGUUAGGCUGCUAACUUGUGGUGGUACGAACCAAAUGACCCAUGUUAAUCUUGGCUUGGUUUGAUUUGGCUCUAUCUCAGAGAGCUAAAGGAUCACGUCAACUCUGGUUUCUACUAUUCAGGUCCAUUCCCAGAUGAACUGGUUCAAAUUUGAGAAAAUGGUAACAGACCUUUAGUGAUGUUGGUUUGGAGCCAGUUGCCAAACCCGCCCUGAGCUUUACCACUAAUGUCAAGGGAGAAAGCCAUUUGAACAAAAACAAUAGCUUCAAGAGACUGAAUCGUGGAUGAAAUCUGAUCCACAUUUCUUCUCAUUUUGGGAAAAAAUGAGAACUUAACUACAAAGAUUCUACUGCCUCAUUCAUAGUGCUUUUCCUGAUCCAAGGUUGGUUCGUUUCCCAAAUUGUGAGGUGCACGUGCCACUCUCACGCUCAGGAGUGUAUCCACGUGGUGGACAUCAGAUGGUGGCUUAAUAUCUGGUGUCGGUGGCUUUACUUUACUAGGAGAGUAGUGUGUCUUCAUCUCAUUCACUGCCGGAGGGUGGCGUAAGCAGUGACGCUAAGGUGGGGCACAGUCAAUAUCAUUUGCAUUUGACCAUUAUAGUUUUCUCCCGGCUUGAAAGUAACCUUAUCGUGAUAAAGGAUUACUAGCACUAGUUCAGAUGACCGUCAUGUUAAUUCGGACCAUGUUUGUGUCACAUUAUCAGCAACCAUGUGUUUAUGGUUCAUGCUAUCUGCAACUAAACUUGAUAUAUAACCAGGUGAACUUCAAUCAAAAUUCUGGAAGUACUCUUGUGAUAGAUGGUGCCUGUCUGCAGAGUCCAUCAAUUGAAAAAUGGAGUGAGUGUAUCUAUAAGAGGGAAGGCUUGGCAAAUGUUCAGUUUUCUGGGAAUUCAACAAGGAUCUAAAAUAGAUUGUUUUCUUUGCCGACUUCAAUGGUUGAAAUUUGAGAAGAUUGUGUCCACAUAUCACAACUAUUACUGGUCCUUCUGUUGCAAUUUAUCCUGUAAGGCUCUAACAUGUCUUCCAAUUCCCACUUCCCUGUUACUCCAGGAAAGCUAUUUCUGUCAUUGUGAAGAAGAAAAGAGAAUGUACAUAUCGAUGCUUUUAAGUGACUGGAGCAUUCAUAUCAGGUGGUCUGCAGCCAUAUAUGCCACUUUGUGAAGGUUGGAACAGUCAAUCACUAGGCUAUAUAUUGGUGUGGCCCAGCCACUUCAAUCAAGGACAAGUCUUCAUACUUAAAGUCAAAUUCUGCCUUUAGUCUCAUUAUAAAUUGCUGUUUAAAUAUUAAGCAAACUUUUGUUUAAUGCGAUUAAGACAGUACUAACUCAAUACUUGUUCUAUUUUUGGAUGCAAAUGCUUGAUGGUUUCAUCAUUGGAUGGGAUAAAGGUGCAUUCAUGAUUAUGAAUACUUGUAGUUAUAUUUUCAUUCUCUUUUUUCUCAAUGAGACUUGUUGGCACAAUGUUGCUGUUCAGAAACCUACCUCUCCAUGGAAAAUAAGUUGCGAUUGAUAGUACUGGAUAUGUUCAAGAAAGCUAAAUAUAGAUAGCACAAAAUAUUAUCGAUAUAAAUAGCAUUAACAGCGUACGUAUGUCUCAAUGCUCAUCAGCUAUAAGCAUGGGACAAACACUUACUAUGAGCAACUUACGUCAAAAUUCCAGAAUAGGACAUAGAAGUGACAGAUCUAUAUAUAUAGAACACUGCAUAUGAGUCACAAGAAAGGAAAUUACGGGUGCAUAGCAGCUCUUAUUUUACAUACUACUACUCAUACUGAUCAAAGUCACUCAGUUGGGAUGGGUGGGAGUAGGAGGUUUGUGGGGUGGCUUGUGCGGAGGAGUUGGCAGCUUCUUUCCAGGACCUGGUUGCUUCUCUGCUGGAGUUGAAGGAGGCUUAAUCUUCCGAGGUGGCUUGUAUGAGUCUUCAGCAUUCUCAGCUGGAGGGUGACCAGGGUUGUGACCAUAAUGUGGUGGCUUCUCUCCCUUAGGUGGUUUGCCAACUGGGGUUGGUGGCUUGUAUGAGUCUUCAGCAUUCUCAGCAGGAGGGUGACCAGGGUUGUGACCAUAAUGUGGUGGCUUCUCUCCCUUAGGUGGUUUGCCAACUGGGGUUGGUGGCUUGUGUUCUGGGAGUGGCUUCUCCCCCUUGGGAGGUUUUUCCAAUGGGGUUGGUUUGUGUUCAGGAGGUGGCUUCUCCACUGGAGGCUUGUGUUCAGGAGGUGGCUUCUCCACCGGUGGCUUGUGUUCAGGAGGUGGCUUCUCCACCGGAGGCUUAUGCUCUGGUGGUGGCUUCUCCACCGGAGGCUUAUGCUCUGGUGGUGGCUUCUUGAAUGGGGGAUGCUGAGGGUAAUCAGCAAGUGAGGGGGCGGUGAGAACCACCAGGCCAAGCAACACCACUAGCAAAUAUGUAGGAGACAUCUUUGGGUUUGGGCUCAGAUGGUGCAAAACUAGGAGAAUUGGCUAGCCUUUUAUAGCGGAUCGUACUCAAUAAUGAAAUGACACGUGUCAUUAUGACCCAUGUGUAAUGGGGUCGAUUUGGGUCCUACAGUGUUGAAAACUUCGACAUCCAGUUUUGGCCUUUUGCUUUCUCUACAGCCGCCUUGCUUUUUCCCUCUUUCCUUUUGUUUUCCUCCUGCCCCAUUCUAUCAACUAAACACAAUUAUGUAGUUGUUUAAUUCUUAAAUGAGAUAUUAUCGGUCAAUCGUAUUAUAUUUUAUCAAGAGAGAACGGAGUGCAAUGCAGCUGUAAUUUUAUCGUUUACUUUUAUCUCUUGGACCACUGCAUUUUUGUUAAGAGGUGCAAUAAUACACGUCUUUAUCUGCCAUUCAAUGUUUACAGUAAAGAGAGGGCACAAAACUCUUCACUGCUCUGCAUGUGUCCCAAAAAUGCGAUUGGACAAAUUAUGAUUUGCAUGCUAAAAAGAGGCAAAUGAGGUUAAUUCGCACCAUAAUUAUUUGGUUUUCUGGACACCAUAAAAAGAUGUUAUACAGGCAGGGAAAAACCUUCAGAGUUAGCUACCAAAGAUAAUUAUCAAGCAGAUAUCACCAAGAGAAUUCCAUAGAGUCUGAAUCAAAGACAGAUUGCUCGCUCGUGGGGGUUCUUACUUUCUUUUGGGUAUAACUCACUGAGGUCACUGUCUUUUUUAUUUGCAUUUCACAGUUAGAGUUCUGCUCUGGAAGGUUUGUUCUGGAAACAUAUAAAAGGAGCAUCAUUUUGUUCUUGGGUAACCCAUAGUCGUGAGUGGGUCCAUUUGCAUGCUACUUAGUUGAAAAGUUGGACAAUUUGCUCCGACGCCUACCUCCUGGAUUCCAUGCUCGGUAAAACAAGAAUAAAAAAAAAUAUAUAAUUUACAAAUGGGGGAAAGAAAAAAUGUCGGAAAAAAUAGUAAAAUUCAUGUCACAUGCUAGUGAGAGAAGGGGUUGUUACACUCACUCGAAGUUCUUUUCAAAAUAUCGAAUGGUAUUUUACUUUAUGUGUCAGCGCAGUUGUGAAUGGAACGUGCAAAAGUCCAAAUUGGCGUUUUUAUUUUUCCCAUGUAGGAUGGUGACCUUUAAUAAAUAUUUAAAACAAAAGACGAAAAAAAAAAGGAGGGAAAAGGGAUCACAAAAGAUAAAAUAAUGUUUACAAAAGCUCAAUUAGUUUGCAAAUUACUGUUUGGAUUUUGAUAGUAUUUUAUUUGUCGUUCUAUAUUUGAUGUAAAAGAGAAUUUAAGAUAUUUCCGAAGCAAAAGCAUUAGUUUGCUCUGUGAUGUCCCACAUCGAAUAGGGGAGAAAGUUUCUGGCGCUAUAUAUGUAGAGGCUCCUCUUAACCAAGUAGAUGCGUUUUAAAACCAUGAGGGCCCCCUUAGGUCCAAAGCGGACAAUAUCUACAUGAUUGGGUGUAAGUCAUUACAAAUGGUAUCAGAGCCGAUCCCCGACCCCGGUGUGGGGGUUUGUUUGGCCCUGUAAGGGGUGUUUGUCUGUUUGACCCCACAAUCCCAUGGGACACAACGAGGACGUUGUGUCUGCAUGGGGGGGCGUUUGUGAUGUCCCACAUCGGAUAGGGGAGAAAGUUCCUAGUGCUAUAUAUGUAGAUGUUUCUCUUAACCAAGUAGAUGCAUUUUAAAAUUGUGAGGGCCUCUUUGGGCCCAAAGCGGACAAUAUCUACAUGGUUGAGUGUAAGUCAUUACAUGCUCCAUGUCAAUUUCAGCAUUUCUCAUAUGUUUCACACAUACACAGAAGAGCAUCGUUUUUUAAAGCAUGCAUUUAUGUUGGAUUAAUUUGGAUUUUGUGGGAACUGGGGCAAGGAUCACAUGGAAGAGAGGUUGACUUUUUUCAGUACUUCAAUGGUUGAAAUAUGUGAAGGCUUGAUUGAUACUAAAGCUUGAAAUUGCGACUCUGUCAUUUGUAAAAAAAUAUGACAGCUUCCAUGCUCUCGUUUGGUUGCAUUGUCCGGUCGAGAGGUGCAAAAAGCAUUCUCUCUCUUCUAAUAGUCUUUUCGUUUAAAUCAAGGGAUUUGCCUUCCCGGUCGAGGUCCAAUAGAGGGUAACGGUCACCUACUAAACAUUAAAUGCUCCAACAACUAGUGAACUGAUCGACCCCAGCUCGACUAGUUGAGGUUACUUUUUGGUUUUCUUGUCUCCCGAGGUUAGAAACCUAUAAAUAGAGAGCUUCACUUCAUUUAUGAGUAAGAGAACACCUAAAUUUAUUUGUUUACCUACUUGUUUUUGCCAUAAAAGCUCUCAUUUCUUUUCUUGGUGUAUUAAAUCUCCAUUUGCAUAUCCUUUAGUGCACCUUUGUGAUUCAUUCUAGCCUUGAGUUGUAUUUAAGCCUUUGUUGAGCUAGGUUGAGAGUUUCAUACUUGUUUAUUGAGUGUUAAAGCCUUCAAGUGAGUUAAAACUUGAAGAGAUUGUGUAAGAGCCCAUUGGAGUCGGAAUCCAAGUGUAAAGGUGAUUAAAAGCUUGGUUGAAGCUUCAAGUUAGUGGAACUCUCACUCGGUUAUGAGCUUGAGAAGAGUGGACAUAGACAAGGCAGUGUCGAACCACUAUAAAAUCUGAGUUUGAUUUCUCUAACCUUAUCUCUUUAUAUUUGCUUCUCUUGUGCUUAAAUUUUUUGUGUUUAAAAAGAAUUUUUAAAAACUCAAUUCACCCCCUUCUUGGGAGUUUUUCUCUUUUAAGAUCAGCUUUUAUUUUCUCAAUUGGUAUCAGAACUAUGCCUCUUGUUUAAGACUUAAUCGUCUAAGAGGAAAUGGCUAAUCCAUCAAGUUCAUCUCACAUUGAAAGUUUUGCAACCAAUAGACUUCUUUUUUUUUUUUUGCGGGAACUGAUUAUCCCUAUUGGAAAACUAAAAUGACUUGGUUUUUACAAUCAAUUGAUUUAGAUGUAUGAGAUGCCAUUGAAGAUGACCUAACUUUUCCUUCAAAACUAGUUGAUGGAGUCAUGGUUCCAAAACCUAAGCAAGAAUGGGAUGAGCGUGAUUGAAGAAAUUUUCAAUUAAAUGCUAAAGUCGUUUAUACUUUGCAAUGCUCUAUGGACAGAAAUGAAUAUAAUAGAAUAUGUCAAUGCAAAUCGGUUAAAGAAAUUUGGAGAUUGCUUGAAAUAACUCAUAAAGGAACAAAUCAAGUUAAAGAGUCAAAAAUCAAUUUACUUGUUCAUAGAUAUGAAUUGUUUUUUAUGAAAGAUAAUGAAACUAUUGUUAAGAUGAUCACUAGGUUCACCAACAUUGUUAAUGGUCUUAAAGCCUUGGGAAAGACCUACAAGGAAUCCGAAAACGUGAUGAAGAUCUUGAGGUCACUUCCAUCAAAGUGGCAUACCAAGGUCACCGCAAUUUAAGAAGCAAAAGACUUGAUCAAGCUACCUUUGGAGGAGUUCAUAGGGUCAUUGAUGACAUAUGAAAUCAAUUUGGCAAAGAAGUAACAAAAAGGUGAAGACAAAAAGAAGAAGAACAUAACUCUCAAAGCUACAACUAAGGAAGAAGAAGUUGAAGAAGAAAAACAAAUUGAAGAAGAUGAAGAUUUAGCCCUCAUCACAAGAAAGUUCAACAAAUUCAUGAGGGGUGAAAGGUUUAGAAGAAGAAGGUUCACUUCUAGAAGAGACUUUUCUAAAAAGGAAUCUUCAUCUAAUGGUGACAAAAAGAGAUGGGAAGAGAAAAGAGACUUGGUGUGUUUCAAGUGCAAGAAACCGGGACACAUUAAAUAUGAUUGUCCUCUCUACAAAAGUGAAGUCAAGAGGAAAAAGAAUAAGGCAAUGAUGGCCACUUAGAGUGAAAGUGAAGAUGAAUCAUCCGAAGAAGAAAAUGAGAAAGAAGUGGCAAACAUGUGUUUCAUGGCAAUAGAUGAACUUGAUGAGGUAAAAUCUAACCUUAGUGAUUAAGAUAUACAUGAUGCAUUUGAAGAAUUGUAUGAGGAUUUUUAAAAACUUAGUUUGAAAAAUAUUUCUCUUAAAAAGAAAGUUCAACAACUUGACAAAGAACUUAGAGAAGUAAAAGAAAAAUUUUCAAAUGUUAAAGUUUCUAAAACUCAUCUUGAAAAAGAAAAUGAGAUUCUAAGAAAGAAAAAUGAAUAGUUGAACUCCUCUCUUUCAAUCUUUUCUUCUAGACAAAAAUCUUUUGAAAUGAUUCUAACUAGCUAAAAAUGUGUUUUUGACAAACAAGGGUUAAGAUUUAAAUCUUCAAAAAAUCAAAAGUAUUUUAAAAACUAUUUUGUAAAGGAAUCCACAAGUGCAAGUCCUUCCACUACUUGCAACUUUUGUGGAAGAGAAUGGCACAUUAGUAGUACGCCCUUUAAGAAAUGGUUCUCAAAAGAAUUUAAAUGCAAAAACUAAAAAAGAUUUGGAUUGAGAAAUCCAAGGUCACUAACCCUCAAGGACCCAAAAAGAUAUAGGUACCUAAAUCAACUUGAGUUUUAUGUUGUAAGGUUCAAAGAAUGAUAAGUGGUUCUUAGAUAAUGGUUGCUCAAGACACAUGACCGGAGAUGAAUCCAAGUUUGCUUUUCUUAAAAAGAAAAAUGGAGGAUAUGUUACCUUUGGAGACAAUGCAAAAGAAAGGAUGAUUGGUCAAGGCAACAUUGGUAAUGGCACAUCCUCUCUCAUUGAAAGUGUUUUAUUAGUAGAUGGUUUCAAACAUAACCUUUUAAGCAUUAGUCAAUUUUGCGACAAAGGUUUUUAAGUGAUUUUUUAAGCAUCUCAUUGCAUCAUCAAGGAUAUUCAAAAUGAUAAAACCAUUUUCAUGGGCCAUAGAUGUGAUAAUGUUUAUGCUAUAAAUAUUUCAAAAUAUGAUGGCCAUGAUAGAUGUUUUUCAAGCAUGCAUGAUCAAAGUUGGUUGUGCCAUAGGAGAUUGAGACAUGCUAACAUAGACCUCAUUUCCCAACUCAACAAAGAUGAACUUGUUAGAGGCCUUCCCAAAAUAAUUUUUUAAAAAGAUAAAGUUUGUGAAGCUUGUCAAGUGGGAAAGUAAAUCAAAAACUCUUUUAAAAACAAAAACUUCAUUUCCACAUCUAGGCCACUUGAGUUGUUGCAUAUGGAUUUAUUUGGUCCCUCUAGGACACCAAGUCUUAGAGGAAAUUCUUAUGCAUAUGCUAUUGUGGACGACUUCUCUAGAUACACAUGAGUCUUGUUUUUUAGUCAAAAGAAUAAAGUUUUUUAUGAGUUUUCAAAGUUUUGCAAUAAGAUUCAAAAUGAAAAAGGUUUUUCAAUUACUUAUAUAAGAAGUGAUCAUGGGAGAGAAUUCGAAAAUAUUGAUUUUGAAGAGUAUUGCAAUGAGCAUGGAAUUGACCACAAUUUUUUGGCUCUUAGAACUCCUCAACAAAAUGGGGUAGUUGAAAGGAAAAAUAGAACUCUUCAAAAAAUGACAAGAACCAUACUAAAUGAAAACAACUUACCAAAAUAUUUUUAGGCCAAAACGGUUAACACUUCUUGUUAUGUUUUAAAUAGAGUAUUAUUGAGGCUCAUACUUAAGAAAACUCCCUAUGAGCUUUGGAAAAACAAAAAACCCAACAUUAGUUAUUCCAAAGUCUUUGGAUGCAAUAUUUUAUAAUAAACACCAAAGACAAUCUUGGAAAAUUUGAUGCAAAAUUGGAUGUUGGAAUUUUCCUUGGUUACUCAACUUCAAGUAAAGCUUUUCGAGUUUUAACAAAAGAACCAUGGUUGUAGAGGAGUCCAUCCAUGUUAUUUUUUAUGAAUCUCCAAGAAAGAGAGAGGAUUGAUGAUGAUUUAGGUUUGAAGACCUCUAUAGGAAGAUUGCAAAUCGAAGAUAGAAGACAACAAGAAGAAAAUGGAGAGAAUCCAAAGAAAGAAGGAUCACCAUUGGCACUACCCCCUCAUCAACAAGCGCAAGGUGAAUCAAGUCAAGAGCUUCCUAAAGAAUGGAAGUUUGUCAUCAAUCACCCACAAGAUCAAAUUAUAGGCAAUCCAUCUAGUGGGGUAAGAACUAGAUCCUCUCUUAGAAAUAUUUGCAAUAAUCUAGCUUUUAUCUCUCAAAUUGAGCCUAAAAAUAUAAAUGAUGUUUUAGAUGAUGAAAAUUGGAUAAUUGCAAUGCAAGAAGAGUUAAAUCCAUUUGAAAGAAGUGGAGUAUGGGAAUUAGUACCAAGACCUUCAAAUCAAAGUGUUAUUGGAACUAGAUGGAUCUUUAGAAAUAAAAUGGAUGAAAAUAGCAUAAUUGUUAGAAAUAAAGCAAGAUUGGUAGCCCAAGGUUUUAAUCAAGAAGAAAUGAUAGAUUAUGAAGAAACCUUUGCCCCCGUAGCUAGGUUGGAAGCCAUUAGGAUGCUACUUGCCUUUGCAUGUUUUAAAGACUUUGUUUUAUAUCAAAUGGAUGUGAAAAGUGCUUUUUUAAAUGGUUUUAUAAAUGAAGAAGUAUAUGUUGAACAACCACCCGGUUUUCAAAGUUUCAACUUUCCUAACCAUGUUUUUAAACUUAAAAAGACACUUUAUGGUUUGAAACAAGCACCUAGAUCAUGGUAUGAAAAAUUGAGUAAAUUUCUUUUGAAAAAAAUGUUUUAAAAUGGGAAAAAUUGACACAACUCUUUUUAUAAAAACCAAAGAAAAUGAUAUGCUCUUAGUUCAAAUAUAUAUUGAUGAUAUCAUUUUUGGUGCUACUAAUGUCUCUCUUUAUGAAGAAUUUUCUAAGUGCAUGCAUAGUGAGUUUGAAAUGAGCAUGAUAGGAGAACUCAACUUCUUCCUUGGACUUCAAAUCAAGCAACUAAAGGAAUGAACCUUCAUCAAUCAAGCAAAGUAUAUAAGAGAUCUUCUCAAAAGGUUCAACAUGGAAGAAGCCAAAACAAUGAAGACUCUAAUGAGCUCAUCCAUUAAGCUUGAUAAGGAUGAGAAAGGUAAAUCCAUUGACUCUAUUAUGUAUAGAGGCAUGAUAGGUUCUUUGCUCUAUUUGACCACUAGUAGACCUUACAUUAUGUAUAGUGUGUGUUUGUGUACUAGAUUUCAAUCUUGUCUUAAAAAAUCUCACUUAAGUGUCGUGAAAAGAAUCCUCAAAUAUUUGAAAGGGACAAUGGACAUAGGCUUAUGGUAUCCUAAGAGUGAUAACUUUGAAUUAAUUGGUUUUUUGGAUGCUGAUUUUGUCAGUUGUAGGGUUGAAAAAUAAAACACUAGUGGCACUUUUCAUUUCUUAAGACACUUACUUGUCUCAUGGCAUAAUAAGAAGCAAAAUUUGGUAGCUUUGUCAACAGCAGAAGCUAAAUACAUAGCAACUGGUUUAUGUUGUGCACAAAUCCUUUGGAUGAAAUAAACACUUAGUGAUUUUGAUUUAUCUUUUGAGCAUAUUCCUAUUAAAUGUGAUAAUAGUAGUGCCAUAAGUAUAUCAAAAAAUCUCGUGCAACACUCUAGGACUAAGCAUAUAGAGAUUAGACAUAAUUUUCUUAGAUAUCAUACACAAAAGGAUGAUAUAACACUUGAAUUUGUAAGCAUAAAAGACCAACUUGCCGAUAUCUUUACAAAACCUCUAAGAACAUUUUGUUGAUAUUAGAGGACAAUUAGGAGUGAUUUCUUUAUGAUCUAAUGUGAUGAAUUCUUGAUGAAUAUACUUUUUGAUUGCAUGAAUUUCAUGUCAUAUAUGCAUCAUAUAGAAAUAUACUUAGAUAAUGGUCAAAUUUCGACCAAAAAUCAAAAUUCCCAUGGCAUUAGGCAUAAAAAUUUUGGAAUUUCAACUGAAAAUGGUAGGAGGAGGAUCACAAAAUGAGAAAGUAUGCAAAAAUUGAAAAAUCAAAACGUUGACCAAGCGGUCAAUCGGACUAGACCGAUCGACUAGUUUGUCGAGAUUUAGGAUUUUUAAGAGACUCCAACGCUUCAAUUUUUGCACCGUUCUCCUCUAUUUCUUCACGGUUUCUCUGAUUUUGUCUUUUAGAGACUAAUUUGAGUGCGUUUUGGAUCAAUUGAAGCAUUUUGGAUUGGAUUUUAGGAAGAUUGAAAGUUAAGGUUUCGGAUUUGGGUCGCCUUCUCUUCCUCUCGCGUGUCACAAUCAGCUUUAGCAUUGUUCUCUUUCCAUUUUCACACACCUAGGGUUUCAGUUGUGAGCAUCUCUCUCUCUUUACCAACCACUACUCCCUUGCUUCUUCCAUAUGGCUCCUAGGCGAGAGUCCGCUACUUCUAGGGCACAAGGCAAGCACCCAACUGAGUCGUCUCAGUCAAAGGCACGUCGAAAAGUGAGAUUUGACAUUGCCUUGUUCAGUUCCAUGGAGGACUACCAACUAUACAAGCAACACUUUGCUUAGAGACGAGUAGUUCCCAAGAGAAAUAUUAAUUUUCCUCAACUUCAGCAUUUCGAAUUUAAGGGUCUAUUUACUAGGAUGGUUGGUUGUCUAUUGUCACAAUUUCGGAGCCGGUUUUCCUGACCUUAGUGCGAGUUUUUUACUCGAGGGCGACUUAUGGCAUGGGUGGCAUGAUCAUUUCUACUGUUGGAGGAGUUGAGAUCUGUCUGGACCCAGAGAGCAUCUGCCAUAUUUUCGAUAUUGCUCUGGUUGGACUCAAAGUAUACAAGUCCAAAAUGUGGCCCAUUGUGCCAGGAUUUGAGCUUAGAGAGGUCAUUCAGAGGAUUUGUGAACUUCCAGACGCCCAGGAGAUGGGCAAACCAUUGCCACACAGUUUGACGGUCAUCAACAGGGUGCUACACCAUAUAUUGUGCUCUAUCUUUCUACCACGAAGUGGACAUUGAGAUGAGGUCUCUUAUUAUGAGGCAUUCCUUAUUGACUCCAUUCUAACGGAGAGACGAAUUCAUCUACUAUGUCAUCAUUCACUAAGCCUCCUCACAGUGACAUACCACCUCAUCAGGCACCUCUUGCUCCUGACCAUGCUCCAUUGAUGGAUUUAUUUACUCAUAUUAGCUCUCUAGGCACUCGCAUGAAGGAGUUUGUUGUAGUUAGUGAUACAUGGUUCUACUCCAUAGAGGAUCGCAUGGAUCAGUAUCAGACUGGCUUCACGUCACAGUUUGAGUAUCUCCAAUAGAGGAUUGAGCAUAUUGAGGAUCACUUGAGCAUGAGAAGAUGAUGGCUUUUCUAUGCUCUGUGUUUCCACCUCCACCUCGUCAACCUUGAUUUCUUAGAGACCCAUUGUUUUCAUUUUGUAAUGUUGCCAAAAGGGGGAGAUAUUUAGGAUCUAGGACUCUAUAGGAGACUUACAUGCAUAUCAUUUUCAUAUCAUUGUUUGGAUCGUACAUAUUGGAUAGUGAUACUUUUUACUUAUAUAUGAUAUGCCUAUAUGUUUCAUGUCUUACAUUGUUUCUUAUUGCAAAUUAUCUCUAACAUGUCUUGAUUAUCUUUUUUUUAACUUCAUAAAUUUUGAUUGUUAACCCAUGAUUGGUUUGAGGGGAAGAUUCUUCUUCUCCUAGAUAACCAAGGUUUGUCAUCAUAAAAAAAUUGGAGAUUGUUAGCCCAAGGGUUCUCCUAAUCAUGUUUUGAUGAUAACAAACCAUGCUUAAGUUACUAAUUGGUUUGAAUUAUAAAGAAUUUCAAGUGUUAAUUUGAAAAUUCAUCAAAGAACCUAAUGGAUGCAAGAUCAAGAUUUUUGGAAGACCUUUAAUCAUAAGAAACAUAUGUAAGAUGAAUGCAUGGGUGCACUUAAGAUUUGCAUAUCAUUUCAUGCAUAUUUGGAAAACACGGUUUAUGCUUUAAAGUUACAUUUCCAUCAAAAUUUGAGAUCCAUCAAAUGAACCUUAGGAAAAAUGUUUUAAAAUUGGCAUAUAAUUUUACCUAAAGACCUUGCCUAAGUGUUAGAAGCAAAAGGACAAAAAAAAUAUAGGUUUUCUGGUCAAAAAUGGUGAACCAGUCAAGGCAUUGUCUAAAUCAGCUCAAUCGGCCAAGGUACCGGUCGAUCGGUUUCCCUUUCCCUGUCGAGAUCUAGUCAAGAGGUACAAAAAUCACAAUCUCUGUCUCUUUCUCUCUUUGUCUAUCUUCCAGUAGUCUUUCCUUCCCGGUCGAGGGAUUUGCCUUCCCGAUUGAGGUCCGAUUGAGAGUAAUAGUCACUUGCCAAAUAUUAAAUGCUCCAACAGUUAGUGAACUGGUCGACCCCCACCUUGCCCAGUUGAGGUUACUUUUUGGUUUUCUUGGCUCCCGAUGUUAGAAACCUAUAAAUAGAGAGUUCCACUUCAUUUAUGAGCAAGAGAACACUUGCAUUUAUUUGUUUACCUACUUGUUCUUGCCUUAAAAGCUCUCAUUUCUUUUCUUGGUGCAUUAAAUCUCCAUUUUGAUAUCCUUUAGUGCACCUUUGUGAUUCAUCUUAGCCUUGAGUUGUAUUUGAGCCCUUUUUUUAGCUAGGUUGAGAGUUUCAUACUUGUUAAUUGAGUGUUAAAGCCUUCAAGUGAGUUGAAACUUGUAGAGAUUAUGUGAGAGUCGAUUGGAGCCGAAAUCCAAGUGUAAAGGUGAUUAGAAGCUUGGUUGAAGCUUCAAGUUAGUGGAAUCCUCACUCAAUUAGGAGCUUGAGGAGAGUGGACGUAGCCAAGGAAGUGUCGAACCACUAUAAAAUUUGAGUUUGAUUUCUCUAACAUUGUCUCUUUAUAUUUGUUUAUCUUGUGCUUAAAUUUAUUGUGUUUAAAAAGAAUUUUUAAAUACCCAAUUCACCCCCCUCUUGGGUGUUUUUCUCUUUUAAAAUUAGCCUUUAUUUUCUCACAAACUAUUGUAGUAUAGUGGUUUUUAGGUGUCAUCCAUUAGGAUGAAUUGUUCUCGGUAAUUAAGGCGUGAAUGAGAGGAGAAUUAAUGAUUGUGAUUAAGUAAAAUUGAUUUGAAAAUUCAUGGUGAAAAAUCAAUUUAACAAUGGUUUCUAAUUGAGAAAAACAAUGAAAUGUGAAAUAAAAUAAAAUUAAUAGGAAAUGAAAUUCUCGAAGUUAGAAUUUUCUAAAAAACAAAUUCCAUGGUGAAUGGAUGUUGAGAUCUAAUUUUCAUCAAGUUAGAUUGAAAACCGAAAUUUUCAUAUAAACUGAUUUUUUAUUUAGUUUUAGGUCUAGAUUUAAUUUCCCUUAAAAUUAGGUUAUUUAAUCCAAGAAAUCAAUUCAAAUCAUAUAUUCAAUUCAUCUUAAAUUAUCUUCCAAUUAUUCACACAAUGCAACUAUUCAAUCUCAUCAAAUCUAGCUUUUAAGAAUUUAAUGAAUCUACCUAGUUUGCAUUGUAAUAGUCAUCCAUGACAAUUUGAAGAGAAAAAUAAUUCAAUUAAUCAAUCACUUGGAUCAAAUUACCUUUGCAAUUAAAGUUCAUUUCUCUAAUUCACCACAGAUUUUGUCUCUAGAUCCUCCUUUCUCAAAGAAAAAUGAGAUUUAGCCACACAUGAUUGGAGAUUUGGUCUCAUAAGGCAUGUUUAGCUAGUGAUAAAAUGAGAGAAAAUAAAGAAAAAUAGAGAAUUCGAUUAAGAAAGAAAAUCUAAAAAAUUCUACAAUUAGAAAUGUCCAAAAAGCUUUUUCAUGAGAAAAUCAAGUUUCUAUUUAUAGGCCAAGGUCAAGUGGACACUUGACAUCAUCUAAGAGGUCUUCCGGAAGCUUCUUCAUCAAGAAAUCUGGAGUUUAAUAAUAAAAUGGUCAUUUCACAAGAGCUCAAACAAUUUCGCAUGAUUAUGUGAAAUAAAAAAUGCAACAACAGCAAUUUACAUCUUCUUGGAGCAUUUCGCAUGACUGUGUGAAAUUUUCACAUGAUCAUGUGGAAUCGACUUGACAACUCUCAUUUAGCCUACAACAUAAUUCCACCUUUUGGUCCAUUUUUCAUAGUCAUGCGAAAUGGAAAUAUUUGAUUUUUAAGUUUUCUUUUGUCAUUUCUUUCAUUUCCUUCUCUUGAUUCCACUUCAACUACCUCCGAAUCCUGGUCCAAACCAAUUGCAUUACUUCUUUCAUUAUGCAUUUGGAUCAUCAUCAACAUUAUUUGUUCUCUUCAAUUUGAUUCAUCUCUUUUGUCACCAAUUUAUCAAAAUCAUACCUUGAAAUGACUCCAAAACUUCAUAAAACUUGUUAGUAACUCUUGCAAGGGCAACAACAUAUUAAUUAAGUGUUUUAGGCAUAGUUACUACUCAAAAGAUGCGAAACUCAUGAUAAUUAUUAUAUAAAAUAUGCUCUUUUUGAGUAGUAAUCAACUUUCUUGCAUAAGCAGACCUUUUAGGGUGGAGUACUAAAGACCAAUAUGCUUGUCCUUGUUGUAAUAAAGAAACUUGCUCUUAUUGAUUGCACCAUGGGAGAAAAUUUUGCUACAUGAGUUAUCAUCAAUUUCUUCCCACCAAUCAUAGAUUUAGACGUGACAAGAGGCCUCUUAAUGGCAAGGAGGAACUGACACUCACACUUAUACAAUUAUCGGGCAUUGAUGUGUUGCAACAAUUAGAAUAACUUACACCAAUUAUGUUGGGGAAGUCACAAAAGGCAAACAUGAAAACUAAAAGGAAAAAAGAAAAAUGUUACAUAUCACCACAACUGGAAAGAAAAAAGUAUUUACUUUCAUUUGCCAUAUUGGAAAGCACUUAUUUUACAUCAUAAUAAUUUAGACAUAAUGCAUAUUGAGAAAAAUGUGUGACAAUAUAAUUGAGACAUUGUUCAGUAUUGACGAAGAAACAAGGACAACCUAAAUAGUCAUCUCGAUUUACAAGCUCUAACUAUUAGAAAUGAGAUUCACCCAAUAGAAAGCAGGACCAAAUUUAUUUUGCUUGCAACAUGCUACUCACUCACCCCAAAUGAGAUUAAGGAAUUUUGCAAGUUUUUGAAAUCAAUAAAGGUCCCCAAUGGCUAUUCUUUCAAUAUCUCUCGUUAUGUGCAACUCAAUGAAAGGAAGAUAUAUGAGCUCAAAUUGUAUGAUUGUCAUGUCCUAAUGCAACAACUUCUCUCACUUGUAGUUCGUGGAGUUCUACAUAAGAAUGUUUGUGGAGUUAUCAUAGAAUUGCGUAAUUUUUUCAAGCAAUUGUGCUCAAAGGUGUUAGAAACAAAUCACUUACACCAACUUGAGAACAAUAUUAUUGUCAUACUAUGUAAAAUGGAGCAAAUAUUUCUUCCAUCAUUCUUUGAUAUUAUGGUGCAUUUACUUGUGCAUCUAGUAAGGCAAAGGUUGCAAGACUUGUGCAAUAUUGUUGGAUGUACCUAAUUGAACGAUAUUGUUAUAAUUUCAUAUGAAUCAUUUAAUUUUAUUUUAUAUUAUGUUCAGUUCAUUAACAUGUACAUUGGUCUACAUAUGGAUGAUGAUAGGUACCUAAGCACUUUAAAGUCAUAUGUGCGUAAUAGAACUUUUCUAGAAGGUUCUAUUGUAGAAAGGUACCUUGCAAAAGAAUGUACAACAUUUUAUUCUAGGUACUUGAAUGAUGUGGAAAUAAAGUAUAAUCACAAUGAUAGAAACUUUGUUGGUUUCAACACUAGAGGAGAUGAAAGGGGUUAUCUUUAAACAUAUUGGACAUGCAUUGGGAAAGCCCAUAUUUCAUUAACUUAGUUCAAAAGAGUGGUCACAAGCACAUUUAUAUGUGUUGACAAAUUGCGAAGAUGUCAUACCAUUCAUUGAGUAAAAAAUUUAUUUGAAUUUUAAUUAAAGCUCUAGUUUAUAUCCUUAAUCAAUGUUUUUUAAAUUCACAAGGAGCACAAGCAAACCAUCAAGGCUAGACCACAUAUACGUGUUUGAGACGUAGAUUUAAUUCAUAACAAGGAAUUUAUCAAGUGGUUUGAAAGACAUGUAAGUAUAUUCCUUAUUAUAAGGGAUUUAUUUCACAUUAUGUUUAUAUUGAAUCCAAACCUAUUAUUGAAUUGUAGGUUGAACAAUUACAUAAUGAAGGUCAUAUAUCUGAACACCUUCUCACAUUAUCAUGUGUUCCAAAUUCAUUAGUUACAUGCUUCAAAUGAUAUAUUGUCAAUGGAUUUAGAUCCCACAUUAAAGAACGUGAUAAAAAAGUUUUUAAAAAAAGACUCAGAAUAAUGGAAUUGUUGUAGUUGCAAAAACGUCAAGCUUUACAAGUGCAUGUGAUAUGAGUCCAAUUAUUAGUGAUGCUCUCUACUAUGGUGUUCUAACUAAAGUUGUUGAGUUACAUUAUCUUGGUGAAAAUAAGGUUGUUUUAUUCGAGUUUGAUUGGUGGGAUGUUACAAAUAUUGGAAAAUUGAUAAAAGAUGAUGAGUACAAUUACACAUUUGUUAACUUUGCAUGAAUUCUAACCACGAACGAACGAUUUGUACUUGCAUCUCCAGCAAAGUAAGUGUUCUAUGUGAAGAAUGCGAAUGAAUCAGAUUGGCAUACUAUCAUGGAGAUGCAACCUCAAGACCUCUAUAAGAUGAACGGGAUAGGAUCCAAUGGUGAUUUUGAACCAUUUCAACAAAGUGAACUACAUGAUCACUAAUAUAUCUCAGAUUUAGUUGAUGAAGAUAUAAUCAAGUGGAACAAAAGUGAUGUUUUAGGACUAAUCAUCCUAAAAAAUAUUGUAGUUUCUUAAAAAAAAAAUGAAAAUGAAGAAGAUAAUUGAACCUUUGUCAUACUUUAAAAAGCAACUAUGCAUUGUUCAUUUUGUAUGUUUUGGUUUUCUUCAUUUAAUUUCCUGAUUUUUGUGAUUCAAUGUCAUAUUAUUGAUCUUGAAAUAUUUUUCUAAUUUUUCAUUCUACGAUGGUUUCAACAAGGAUGACAUCAAGUCAAAAAAGGAAAUGUGGUCCCACACACAAUAUUGCAUUACAGGGAUUAAGGUCAGGGAAGAAGGUAAAAGUUGCAUUUAAUGAGUACAAUCAAUUGGUUAAACAGAAAAAUGGAAAACACUUAUCGAGCUACAUAGGGACACUUGUAUCUAACCAACACAAUGUACCUCUCCAAGCUAGUGAUUGGAAAAAUGUUCCAAAUGAUGCAAAAGAGAAAGUAUGGCCUUUGUUUUGGUAUGUUGUAUUUCUCACUAUAUGAUGUCAUUUCACUGUUAUUCUAUUUUGUGACUAACGUUUGAAUCAUAUGUAAGAAAAAUUUGAAGUAGAUAAAGACUGAAAAGAUUACAUGUUGGGUAUAGCCUCAAAUAAAUAUAGAAGCUAUAAAAAUAUGAUGAAUGCAAAAUACUAUGACCCUUGGCAUAAGGAUGCAUGAGGAGAGGUUAAUACAUAAAUCACCAUUUGUCUCUGAUGUUGAUUGGAAGUGGCUUGUCUCUGAUGCAUAAACCAAAUCCCCCACUGAAUGUUUGAUAUUUGAUAGCAGGAAAAACACACCCGCAGCUAUACACCUCCAUCAUUCAGAUAAUUAUAGUGGGGGAGAUGAUUCAUGGUUGCCCUUAUACCCUUUAUUUGCACCAUCUAUUGAGAUUCUUUAUCAUGGCCAGGUUUUACUGCAGCAAUAAGAUAUGGUGGCAACAAUUUUAUCUAUAGGUGCGGUUCCAGACCGCCUCCAUAGGUGCGGUUCCUGACUGCCUCCAUAGGUGCCUCUUCUUGUAAUGUUUGUUCUGGGAAUUACACUUGAAAGCCUUAUCGUGAUAAGGGAUUACAAACACUAGUUCAGAGGACAGCCAUGUUAAACUUCCACUAUGUUUGUGUCACAUUAUCAGCAGCCUAGUGUUUAUUGGUCAUGCUAUCUGCAACUAAUAUAACCCGGUGAACUUCAAUCUAAAUUCUGAAAGUACUCAUGUGACAGAUGGUGCCUUUCAGCAGAUAUCAUCAAUUUAAAAGUAGUGUGUGUGCCUAUAGGUGGGAAGGCCUUGGCAAAUGUUCAGUAUUCCGGUAAUUCAAGAAGGAUAUAUCUAAAAUAGAUUUUCUUCUUGCCCAUUUCAAUAGUUAAAAUUUGAGAAGAUUGUGUCCACAUCACACAAAUAUUAUUGGUCCUUCUGUUGCAAUUUACCUCUGAACAUGUCUUCCAAUUCCCACGGUCCUGUUACUCCAGGAAAACUAUUUCGGUCAUAUUGAAAAAAAAAAUAUUAAAGAAGGUACACAUGCUUUUAAGUGGACUGGGGCAUUCAUAUCAGGUGGUCUGUAUCCACAUAUGCCACUUCGUGAAAGGUGGAACAGCCUAAUCACUAGGCUAUUUAGUGUGGCCCAGCCACGUUAAUCAAGCACAAGUCUUCAUACUUAAAGUCAAAUGGUGUCUUUAGUCUCAUUACACAUCGCUAUUUGAAGAUUAACUCAUCACUAGUGUAAUGCGAUUAAGACAGUCCUAACUCAAUAUUUGUUCUAGUUUUGGAUGCAAAUGCUUGCUGGUUUCAUCAUUGGAUGGGAUAAAGGUGCAAUCAGGACUAUGAAUACGUGCAGUAAUACUUCAUUCUCUUUUUUCUCAAUGAGACUUCUUGGCACAAUUUUGCUGCUCAGCAACCUACCUUUCCAUGGAAAAUCAGUUGUGACUGAUAGUAAUGGAUAUAUUCUAGAAAGCUAAACAUAGAUAGCAUUCAAUAUUAUCGAUAUAACAUUAACAGCGUAUGUCUCAAUGCUCAUCAGCUACAAGCAAUGGACAAACACUUUGAGUAACUCACAGCAGUCAAAAUUCCUAAACAGGACAGACGUGACAGAUCUAUAUAUAGAACACUGCAUAUGAGUCACAGGAAAAGAUAAUACGGGUACAUAGAAGCUCUUAUUUUACAUAUUACUCAUACUGAUCAAAGUCGCUCAGUUGGGAUGGAUGGGAGAAGGAGGUUUGAGGGGUGGCUUGUGCGGGGAAGUUGGCAGCUUCUUUCCGGGAGCUGGUUGCUUCUUUGCUGGAGUUGAAGGAGGCUUAAUCUUCCGAGGUGGCUUGUAUGAGUCUUCAGCAUUCUCAGCAGGAGGGUGACCAGGGUUGUGACCAUAAUGUGGUGGCUUCUCUCCCUUAGGUGGUUUGCCAACUGGGGUUGGUGGCUUGUUUUCUGGGAGUGGCUUCUCUCCCUUGGGUGGUUUGCCAACUGGGGUUGGUGGCUUGUGUUCUGGGAGUGGCUUCUCCCCCUUGGGAGGUUUUUCGAAUGGGGUGGGUUUGUGUCCUGGUGGUGGCUUCUCUCCCUUGGGAGGUUUACCAAUUGGGGUCGGUGGCUUGUGUUCUGGGAGGGGCUUCUCUCCCUGGGGAGGUUUAGUGGGUGGCUUGUGUUCUGGAGGUGGCUUCUCCACCGGAGGCUUAUGCUCUGGUGGUGGCUUCUCGAAGGGGGGAUGCUCAGGGUAAUCACCAAGUGAGGGGGUGGUGAGAACCACCAUGCCAAGCAACAACACUAGCAAGUAUGUAGUAGACAUCUUUGGGUUUGGACUCAGACAGUGCAAAACUACGAGAAAUCGCUAGCCCUUUAUAGCGGCUCGGACCUAAUACUGACAUAAUAUAAAAUAAAUAUUAUAUUUUAUCAAGAGAGAACAGAGUGUAAUUUUAUCAUUAAUACCGAUCGAGGCCAAAGAAAGAAGACCCAUAAUCCAUUUCCCACAAGCAUACACAAUGCAGCUGUAAUUUUAUCAUUUACUUUUAUCCCUUGGACCACUGCAUUUUUGUUGAGAGACACAAUAACACAUUUUUAUCUGUCAUUCAACAUUUACAGUAAAGAGAGGGCACAAAACGCAAUUAGAUAAAUUAUGUUUUGCCUGCUAAAAAGAGGCAAAUAACUUUAUUUGCAACAUAAUUAUUUUGGUUUCUAGUGACCCCGGGGCCUUUCGGUUGGUUUGGGAUCGGAAAAUGAACAUCAUAGGGGGGGUUGUGCCCUUAUGGGCAUAUAUAUCUGAUAGCUUCAACUGGCCUUGUUCCUAGAAAGAAAUUGCCAAAGAUAUAAACUUAUUCCAGGCUGAAAGUAGAUGAGAGUCAUAAUGAACAUCAACCUUUGUUCAGUUUGAUUCAAUGCCCCCAUAGUGUUCAUUUCACAGAUCUGAAUGAUUAUAUCCGUUGAAUACAUAAAUUAAUGAAGACAAAUAUGAAACCCAAGAUACAUCUCUGCAUAACAACCCCAACCCUGGUUGCUAUGUUUCCCUUCUUCUAUUCACAUGAGGAUACUGGUUAUAAUUGUCAAACUUGCAACAAGCCCUUUGACACCUAACGUCAAUGGACGAAUUAAAAGUCUCCUUCAAACGUCUAUUUCACAGCAUGAAGCUUAUAAAGGAUGCUGACAACCUUCAGAGUUAGCGACAAAAGAUAAUUAUCAAGGAGAGAUAGUUCCAUGAGAAUUCCAAGGAGUCUGAAUCAAAGACAAAUUGCUCACUCAAGGGUUCUUAUUUUCUUUUAGGUACAAAUCUCUUGAGUGUUGUUAAAGAAACACGUCACUGUCAUUUUGAUUUGCAUUUAACAUUUCACUUUUGUUCUGGAAGGUUUGUUCCGGAAACAUAUCAAAUGAGCAUCAUUUUCUUCUUCGGUGACACAUGGUCGCGAGUACGUGGGUCCAUUUUCAUGCCACUUAGUUGAAAAGUUGGAAAGAAAAAACAUGCCAACAAGAAGAUAGUGAGAGAAGGGGCACUUCAAGCCUUUAACAUGAACAAACAGUAAAUAAAAGAUGUUUCUCCACUCAUAAAAGUGUGUUAGAUAGCAAUAUAACGAAUCACAUCCAAAAUCUUUACUAGGCUCAAACAUAAAGAAGACUCAUUUUUAAGAAAAGAUAAAAAUGGCAUUGUCUGAUAGUAUCCAAUACACGAGAUGGCACUUAAUUUGUACAAGAUCUGUCAAUGCUGACGCACAUUUUCUGAUUAAAAAAAAACUGAUCAGUCAAAAGCAAUGAAGAGAAGUGAUGACAAUGAAUGAUGCUUCCAAUAUUUUCACCCCUUAUAGUGUUCUUCAUGAUUCAGAUAUAUAAUUGGAAAUAGAACAACCCUAUGCCAUACAUUCGUCUAAGUAUGGUGUCUAAUUUUUUGUGUCAGCGGUUGCGAAUGGAGCGUGCAAAAGUCCAAAUUGGCGUCUCUCCAUUUCCACAUAGGAAGGUGACCUUUAUUGACAAAUACCCAAUAUUUGUAGACAUUCCUUAAAUAUCAUAACUUCUUGUUGAUUUGAAAAUCAUUUUUCAACUACCAUGUUUUAAUAAAUAUUUUUUAAAAUGUAUUUUUAUCAAAGUCCACCAUGAUGGAUAAUAUUCACCAUGCAAUAAUUAAUAAAGUACAAACUAAGCGAAAUGAAAAGCAUUUUCUUUGCUUUGAGUUGAUUUUGGUUGCAUUGAGUUGAUUUUGGUUUCAUGGUUUUUUCAACUCUUAUUUUGAUUGGAAGAUGUCAAGAAAAGAAAACAUAAAGAAAAAUUAAAAGGGAAAAAAGAAGAAAAAUAAAAAAAAAUAGAUUUAAAAGUUAAUAAAUUAUUUUUUAUAUUUAUUUUAAUUCAUUUCACUUAUUUUUCUUUUACUAUAUAAAAUUUAAAUAAUUUAAAUUUUAUAAUUAAUUUAAUUACAUUUCAUUUUCUUCUAUAUUUAAAUAUUGGAAAAAUAUUUUACUUAAUAUUUUUUUCUUUAAUUUCUUUGGCAUUUUGGGAACCAAACUUAGCCUUUAAAAUAAAAAACAAAAAAAAAAUGAAAAUAAGGAGGGAAAAGUGAGAAAAGAUAAAAACAAUAUGUAAAGGAUUUGAAAAGUAUUAGUUUGUAAUUACUAUUUGGAUUUCAAUAGUAUUUUAUUUGUCUUUCUAUAUUUCAUGUAAGAGAGAAUUUAAGAUAUUCCCCAAGGCAAAGCAUUAGUUACCUGCAAUCAGUGGUGAUAAGGCUCCAAGCCAAUUUUGGGCCCCAUAUCUUAAGACAGUACAAUUUCCAUUUCAACAUUUCUGAUUUCUCAGAUGUUUCACAUACCACAGAAGAACAUUGUUUGUGAAAAUAUGCAUUUAUGUUGGAUUUUGUAUGCUGUGGGGACUGGGGCAAGGAUCAUAUGGAAGAGUGGUUGACUUUUUCUGUACUUUAACGGUUGAAAUAGGAUAAGCACGGGCAUUUGUGAGGCUUAAUUGAUUUUGAAGCCUGAAAUUGCGUUUCUGUCAUUUUGUCAAAAAAAUGGCAGAUUCCAUACUCAUAUGUUUGGCCUGUGGCCAUGUACAGAUGCCAUUUAGUGACCAGUUUGUAACUGUCAAUCGUUGCGUUUUGACUCUGCCUCAACAACAUCUGCCAUUGACGGGUUUUCAUACUUGCAAAUCAAAUAGUCUUUCGUCCCAUCAGGAAUUUCGGUUUAAAUAUUAUUAAGCAUACGUUUGGCUGACAAUCAUUAUCCAGUUCAUGAUUUGGUUUCUUACCCUUAAUCAAUGGUUUCUAAGUGAAUAUAUGUAGAAGGAAAUCCGAAGUGUAGACAGUAGUAUCGAUAACUCUCAAUAUUCUCUAUAUAAUAGAAUAAACAGCGUCAUAGUGAUCGUCGCCUACAAGCAAGGUACAAAUACCAAAACGAGUGACUCACAUAGACAUCUCCCAACAAGAUGUAGUAGUGACUGACACAUGGACACAAUUAACUCGUAGAAAAGGAUAAGACCAUUGCACAGCAGCUCUUAUUUUACAUACUACUUAUGCUAACCAAAGUCAAUUAGUUGGGAUGGGUGGGAGAUGGAGGUUUGUGCGGUGGCUUGUGGGGCGGAGUUGAUGGCUUCUUUCCAGGAGCUUCUGGCUUUUUCAUCGGAGCUGAAGGAGGCUCAAUCUUAUGAGGCGGCUUGUAUGAGUCUUCUUUACUCUCGACAGGAGGGUGGCCAGGGUUGUGAUCAUAAUGUGGUGGCUUCUCUCCCUUAGGUGGCUUGCCAACUGGGGUUGGUGGCUUGUGUUCAGGAAGUGGUUUCUCUCCCAUGGGAGGUUUAGCAAUUGGGGUUGGUGGCUUGUGUUCUGGGAGUGGCUUCUCUCCCUUGGGAGGUUUAGUAGGUGACUUGUGUUCUGGAGGUGGCUUCUCCACCGGAGGCUUGUGCUCCGGUGGUGGCUUCUUGGUUGGAGGGGGCUUGGGGUAAUCAGCAAGAGAUGGGGUGGUGAGAACCACCAGUCCAAGGAACAACACUAGCAAGUAUGUGGGAGACAUUUUUGAGUUUGGGCUGAUCAGAUGAUGCAAAACUAAAGCAUUACGUGACCUUUUAUAGCAUGUAGCUCCCAAUACCCACUAAGUAUUGUGGGGUCCAUUUGUGCCCUACGGGGUUGAAAACUUAGACAAUUGGGCAAGGACCCACCUGACUAUGGAGGACUAGUGAGGUGUGAUCAUAGCUUUAGGAUUUUUCUUCCUCUGCAGCCGUCGUGCCGUUGGCAUGAUUUUCUUAAUCUUAAAUAAAGGCAUAGUUAUAGAGUUGUUUAAUCUCUAAAUGGGAUUUUAUAUAUAUCUUCAGAUAGCCAUUAAUAUAUUUGAUGAAGAAAGAAAGACAAGUGCAUACAACAUGUAUACGACUAGCUUUCAUGGAGUUCAUUUAUGAUCAGUUUUCCUGUACAUGUAAACCAGGAUCAUAUAUAUGUUUCUGUUCCACAACUAUUUUGGAAUCUUGUUUAUCAGUUUUUAUCAUUAUAAUGUCACAUAGGCUGCCAACUUGGGCGCUAAAAGAACCAGUUGGGCUAGUUCGUUUCAGAAUUUCAAUGUGGAUUCAGGAAUUGUUUUGUAAGAUAUGCGAAAUAGUAGAGGGAUGAAUAGUGUUUCAUUAAUAAAAGUGUCCUGUAAAUUAGAAGGUGUCAUAGAAACUAUAAUCAAUAAAUAACUUUUUUUCCCCACGGGUGGUGUUUCUUGUGGGGAUCAGUGACUGGUUUAGGUUCACCCAAAAUGAGUUCAGACUAAAAUUGGUUUGAGUCAAUGCCGUGUCUCUUUUUUCCAGAAAUCAACUAUUUUAUGCAUUGAAUAAAUCAUACAAAGAAAAUAUGAACGCCCGCAAAACCUAAACCCUGGUUGCUAACUUUCUAUGUUUCAGUUCUAUUCACGCAAGAAUAUUAGUUUAAGUUUGGGAAAAAUGGCAACUUACCUAGUGAUUACUUGGUUUUGGUUUGCGACUAUUUACGCAACCAACCAUGAGUUUGACUUUAACGUCAUGGGUUGAAGCCUCCUACAGGAAGGGAGAAAGCUCCACAGCUAGCUCCAAAAGAGAAUUAUCACAUUGAUAGCUCCAGAGAUUCCCAAGGGGACUGAAUCAAAGACAAGUUCCUCACUUUUUCUUCUUUUGAGGCCAAAUAUGAACCAAGGAUCACACAACCUCAUUCAACUUCAUAAGUUUGAUUUCAUGCAGUUGAACACUGGGUGAAGGCCAUGACAAGAAUUGAUUCAAAAAUUCUAUCACUCUUUUAAGUAAUGGAAGAUUAUUAUCUCUGAUUGGCAUCACAACAGCACAUGCUCCUAGAUCUUUCUAGACACUCCAUGCAAUGAAAGCACAAUGGAUCUUGUAACGAUAGAAACUAAGCCAUGCUACAGUACUAGAUGAUGAGGUAAAACUAGUAGACACGGGUGGCAGCCUAUAUGGGAGGGACACAAGUCUAAUUGAUUUGCAUUUCAGCAUUAUAGAUAGGUAUGUUUUGGAAGAUUUGUUCUGGAAAUACCGCACCAAGUAGGAUUCUUUUUCUCUUUAGUGGGUCCACUUGCAUGCCAAUUAACGAGUUGAAAAGUAUGAGCACCUACCUCGUGCUCGUGGAACCGAAGGUCAGUGAAGUGGGGCUCCUUUUGGCCUCGUGUAAACUUGAUUCAGAAGUGAAGUUAAUAGUCUUCCAUUCAGAUGGAUACAUGGGAAUUUUUCUCUUUUAUUUAUUUAUUUAUUUUUUUUUUGUGUGUGUAUGUCAAAGGAUAAUGAAUGAAGCGCGUUAGCUUGUUUUCUGACUGGAACCGCAGAUGUCCAAAUUGGAGUUCCUUCAUUUCUUACUUAGGAUUGUUACAUGUAUAAACAAGGUAUAAGAAAUAUGCCAACGUGUCUUGAGGAGUUAUUGAUUAGAAAUAACAAGUCACCCGACUGUAGAGUUCCAAGAUUUGAAUCUUCAGACCCUAUAGCAGCCUCUGGGGUACGUGGCAUCCUAUAGCAUAUUAAUGAAGGCUUUUUCGAUUUAGACUUCACAAUACCAAUUAAUAUGUAUGCACAAAAUGGAGAUGACCCCAAAAAAAACAGAAUCGCCAUAGUUUAUGAGGUUAAGGUGAUUCUCCACUUAAUAUCUACAUUAGCUAAUUAUGUAAAUCAAAUGAACUUCUAUUUUUCCUUUUUUUUUUUGGUUUAUGUCAAAUAGUAGCCCAUAAUUAACCCAACCAUUAGCCUGUUUGAAUUGAUUUCACAUGCACAAUGUUGUAGUAGUUCAUAUUUUGAAUUUUAUUUUUACAAAGGUAGUUAAGGAAAAUGAAGUAUAAUAAUUAUAAAAGCAGACUAUAUACACUACAAUAAUUGUUAGAAUGGUAUCUCAAAUUCUAAUUUAAAAUAUUAUUUUUUGUAAAAGAAAUAUUAUAUAGAAUAUUUCCUAAUUUUAUAAAUGAUUAUAAUUAGAUCUUUAUAAAAUAAGGAAAGUUGGUAAGAAUAUCUUUAUAAAUAUUUUAGGUCAUGAGAGAAAGAAAUGGGAUAAAAAUGUGAUGAAGAGGUGAAAUAAGAGAGUUGAUUAGGAUAUAGAUGUGAAGAAGAAAGGGAUUCAAUAUAUAUAUAUCUUUCAAUUACCACAUUAAAACCCUGUGAACCUUUUAUAUGGUUUACUUUAUUUUUAUAUUCCUCCUUUAAUAUAUUUACAUUAAUGCUUCCAUUGGCACAACAAUAACGAAUUACAAAUACAAGCAACAAGUCCCAUGUUUUAUUACCAAAAGCAGGUAAAAUCCACCUAAUAUAUUACAAUAUAUUCAUCCAAUAUUUUAGACCAAUUCUUCACCAUAAAUAUCAUAAUGUGGCUUUUGUUCUUUCUUAAAUUUAAAUUGAAUUGUCUUAUAUCAAUUUGUUUGUGAUUUUUUCAUUAACUUCACUUUCAUUUGGUUAUCUUUGGUUUUUGAAAAGUAUUAAGGAAUUAAUUAACAAAAUAAUGUUAAGAAAAAUAAUUUUCUCUCUUUUGAUUUUGAUUUUGUAGUAGAAAAAUAUAAUUAAAAUUAUUUAAAAAGUAUGUAAUUUUAAAUUAUUUAAUAUUUAGAUAAAAAAAAUAAGUCUAAUGAGUUUAAAAUAACAUAUAAAAAUAAUUUAUUUAUUUUAAAUUUAUUUUUUAUUUUCCAUUAUGUUCUCUUUCUCUUUUACUUUUUCAUAUUUUUUCUUACGAAGAAUCAAACACAACCUCAUAUUAUAUGUCAAGUGUUUGUCUAUAUUUGAGCAAUGUUAGAUACGGCCAUGGAUUCAUCAAACUAAACUGAUUUUAAUAGAUACUUCACAAAUUGAUUUAUACACUAAAUCAUUGGAUAGCAAUGAUGCAUUGGAAUUAAACGUAGGAUGAAGCUCGAAGAACACUGUUUGUGUAACAACAUAUUUAUGAAAUUAUGCAAAGGAUGAGCUUCGGGGUAGUAGUACAAGGUCAUUAAUGGAGAGCCGUGUUAAACCUUGAUUGUGAUUGGAUUCCGUUAUCAGCAACAGCAACCUUGUUUGUAACCUUGAAAGUCAUUCUGUCCACAUCGAAACUCCAAUUUGACGUUUGUAAUUACCAUUCCUGGAGUGUUCCUUGAUUGAAAUUUAAAUAAUAAUUGCGGCCCACAAGGAAUAUUUUCGAUUCUGUGGGAAUUUGACAAGGUUUGUUAGAGAAGACUGGUGACAUGUUGACUUCAAUGGUUCAAAUAGGAGACGUAUGUGGAUUUGGGGGGUUUAAUUGAAACUGAGUCCCUAUGGCUUUUUAAUAUUUGCAUUGAGCAGUCUCCAUGUGACUUCCUAAUUCCCACCAACCCUCCUGUCCAUGCUGUGAAACUAAAUUGUAAUUUAUCAGCCUUUGUCAAUGGUUUCUAAAUUAAAGAUAUAGACCAUGCAUGUACUUUAAUAAAAGCAAAUCUAAAGUGUAGAUAGCAGCAAUGGUGACACCCAAUAUUCUCCAUAAAAUAGAAUUAGAAUAAGCAGUGUUACAUUGUUCAUGAUCACCUACAAGCAUACAAGAACUUCCAUGAAUAACUCAUAGCAAUUGCCAACAGGGCGUCGUAGAGACUCAUACAUAGAACACUAUCCACCCAGAGGAAAGGACAAGACCAGUGCGCUGCAGCUCUUAUUUUUCACAUGUAUACCACCACUCGUAAUAACCAAAUUCACUCAGUUGGGAUAGGUGGGAGAUGGUGGUUUGUGGGGUGGCUUGUGGGGAGGAGUUGGAGGAGGCUUUAUUUUCUGAGGCGGCUUGUAUGAGUGUGCAGGAGGAUGCCCGGGAGUGUGACCAUAAUGUGGUGGCUUCUCUCCCGUAGGUGGUUUGCCAAAUGGGCUUGGUGGCUUCUCUCCCUUAGGAGGUUUACCAAUUGGGGUUGGUGGCUUGUGUUCUGGGAGUGGUUUCUCUCCCUUGGUAGGUUUGCCAAUUGGGGUUGGCGGCUUAUGUUCUGGGAGUGGCUUCUCUCCCUUGGGAGGUUUGCUAAUUGGGGUUGGCGGCUUAUGUUCUGGGGGCGGCUUCUCUCCCUUGGGAGGUUUGCCAAUUGGAGUUGGCGGCUUAUGUUCUGGGAGUGGCUUUUCUCCCUUGGGAGGCUUGCCAAUUGGGGUUGGCGGCUUAUGUUCUGGGGGUGGCUUCUCUCCUUUAGGAGGUUUGCCAAUUGGAGUCGGCGGCUUAUGUUCUGGAAGUGGCUUUUUUCCCUUGGGAGGUUUGCCAAUUGGGGUUGGCGGCUUAUGUUCUGGGGGUGGCUUCUCUCCCUUGGGAGGUUUGCCAAUUGGAGUCGGCGGCUUAUGUUCUGGGAGUGGCUUCUCUCCCUUGGGAGGUUUUGUUGGUGGCUUGUGUUCUGGAGAUGGCUUCUCCCCUGGAGGCUUGUGCUCCGGAGGUGGCUUCUGAAAUGGCGGGGGCUUGGGGUAAUGAGCAAGAGAUGGAGUACUGGUGAGAACCACCAUUCCAAGCAACAAUACUAGCAAGCAUGUGGGAGACAUCUUUGAGUAGUUGUAGCUAAGAUGGCGCAACACUGUAGGCAUUGGGUGGCCUUUUAUAAAGGGCUGGACCCAACAGCCAUAUGACACGUGUCAUGAUGACAAAUGAAGUUGAGGGGAUCCAGAUGGGUCCUACUGAGUCGAAAACUUGCACUAAUUGAUCUGGUGAGAUGACUAUUUCUGUCCUUUUGCCCUUCUCGGCCACCCUGUGCUGUUUUCCUUUUGCACGAUUUUCGUUGCCAAACAAGCAAAUAAUAUUUCGCCAAGAAAGAGGAGAGUGAAUGUGGAAUGCAUCAAGUCCCAUCAAGGAUGGCAGAGAAGAAAUAGAAGAUUGCCCAACUGUGAUAAACAUAGCAUACACGUAGCACCAGGAACUUCAUUUACUUCCAUCUAAUGGAACAUAACAAUCUUCUAAAGUUUUUGCAUGAUUUUGUUAUAUGUCUCUUAGCCUAAAGUUGGAAAUGCGCAACAAAUUUUGUCACUUCUCUAUUUCCCACUGAUGAUGUUAAUUAGCCUUCAUAGAUAUCAUCCUUUCUACAAAGUGCUUCAUUUGUGUGUUAUUGUAAAGUGUAAGAAAAGUAAUUGAACAUGUUCUUUUUCCUUUCAUAGAUGACUUUUGAUGUGCAUUUUAAAAGCAGCGCUGUGAGUCGGUGACCUUGAUUCACACGGAAACUAAGGCUCCUAUAGGACCCACUUUUAGCUGGUUAGGGGUGAAGAAAAUAUCAACUUUUCAGAGUGAUUUAAGUCAAGGCCAAGCCUCACUGUGUCAUUACUCGUGUGAAUUUUAUAUGCACAUACAUACAUAAAUAAAGUAUGAGACCCAAAUAACACCUUCCCUUUACAAACUUAACCCCAGCCGCUCUCUUUCAAUUCUUUUCACACAAGGGUAUUGACUCUAUAAAGGUCAAGAAAAUCAUAAUUUCCUAGGGUUUACAAGGUAAUUGGCUUAAUGCUAAUGUGAAAACAUAAAAGAUAAUAGUAUAUUGUAAGCUAACGAAUAUUCUAUAGUUAUAAUUAUUUGUGAUGUGCAUAAAUAAAUCUUCAUAUAUAUAAUGGAACAAUGAAUAAAGAACCAAUGAAAAAAUACUAUAUAUCAUUGCUUGGCAUUUAAACCGUAUAUGCUGCUCUUUCUAGCUACUCCAUCCACUGAAAGACAACAAGGUAAUCCAUGUUAUAAUGAUAGAAGAUACUGUCUCUAGGCUUUUUGUGAUGAAAAAUAUAAGAUAUGGGUAGGGUUGACCCUUGUAUGUUUGUCCUAUAAACACUUCAAAGUAACAUAUUUUUCUUCUUUAGCAACUCAUAAUGAUGGGGUUCAUUUGCAUGUCACUGAGUUGAAAAGUUGGACAAUUGCCCAUGUCGCCUUCCUCCUAGAUUCCGUAGUUCACGGGAAGGUAACUCAAGUUUGACAUAUUUUGAAUUCUUUUCACUCGGACGUCUUCAUAACCUGACAAAACAAAAAUGAAAAACAGAGGAUUGGUAUAUUAUUCAUGGUAAGCCUCAAAUUAUAGUAGUAUGAGAAAGGAGAAAAAGAUUUUGGGAACUCCAAUCUGGAUAAUUCUCGUUUCUUCUCUUGAAUAAAAAUUUCACUUACCUAACUUCGUUUGGAGAAAUGGCAUAUUUUAAUUUUGUACGUCAUUGCUAAUAAAUGGAGCAAUUUAGCAUGUUUUGUGACUGAAACUGCAAAUGUCCAAUUGGCAUUUCUUCAUUUCCCACUUAGGAUCUGAUCUUGUAGACCAUAUAACGAUAUGUAUCUGUGCAAGCAUUGAAAACUAAUGUGAACUAUGAGGAGUUACAAGCCACUGGACUGUAGAGCGAGUGCCAAGAUUUAAAUCUUCAGGCUCUAUCUGGGUAAGGGGAGGAUAGCGACCUAACCUUUUACCAAAGGCUUAGAAUUUAGACUUUUGGAAAAAAAUUUCUCAUGUUUUGGCUGGAUUUCUUGUGCUUGGCGCAAAAAGGAGAUGGCCUCAAGAAAUAGCAGACUCACUUUUGUUUUCAGCCCUUAAUAAUUCUCCACUGCUUUCCAUAACUACAUGGGUUAUACAUGCAGUCUGCUGCAAUAUUCCAGUUAUAUUUAUUAUUUCAAAGAGGGUGAAUGACUUCACAUGCAAUAUGUUGCAGUAACAACCCAAAUUUUGGCACACCAUCUUAAGAAUAGAAAAGUAUAAUAAAAGAAAUCAAUCAGAGAAUCACUUUGCAUGCAGUUCAUAGAGUUCGCCCAAAAUGGAGCCACAUGUACGGACAACCCCACAAUAGACAAUCUUCUCUAUACAGUAAUAAAAUACAGAAAUGGUUAAUGAAGCUCUGUAUUUCCUUAUCAUAUAUGACCGGUUGAAAACUCAGCAAGUCUUCCUCAAUCACAGACAGUUGGAGUUGCUUCAUCAAAAUCAUGCCUUCAUUACUGGCUUCAUUUUGGUUUCAAUGUCUGUUCUACCCUUAAAUUGGGUCUCUGCUUACUACCGGGAUAUCCUUUAGCGUCCUGCAAUUCUACUAGAUUAAAGAGAAUGACUUAAUUCUGCAUUCUGCCGUCCCUAGUCCAAGUGGUACUAGAAUUGAUGUUUCCUUUAGUGUCCUUUCUUCAUACUUUCAGGUUCUUCCCUUGUUUCAAUAAUGCUGUUUUCCUUCAUGUUUAACCUCUGUUGAACCACUUAAAACAACACAAUUUGCACACCAAUGUUUCUUUACAGAAAAGACUGUUUGCAAAAAUGCACAUGUUAUAAGGUUAAUGGAAGAAUUAAUUUGGGGAUAAGGGACUAGGAUUGGGCCAAUGAAGUUUGGUGUUAAAUUUUGAUUAUGAUUGCUUUUCAUUAUCAGGUACCUUAUAUUUGCUGAUGCUAUCUGGAACUAAAUUCAAAUCAGACAUUAUCCGAUUACUAACAGGACAUAUCAUGUCCCUCUGCAGAGUUUCUAAACUAACAUGUAUCGAAAUGUGGCCCCAAAAGGAAGGCUAGGAAGAUGGAGGAUUUUGUAGGAAUCGACCAGAAUCAGAUGGAAGAGAGAUAGUCCUGUUGACUUUAAUGGUUGUGAUAGGAACAUGCAUCAUUAUAUGAGAAGUUGCAUGAAUUUAUGUAUCCUGUUAUCGUUCCUUGACGAUUUCCCAAUGCAAUUUCACUGUCCACAAGACUAACCUCUCCAUGCAGUCAAAUGAAUUGUAAUUUCUCUAUUGGUACCAGUAGUACAUUUCAUACCAAACAUAUAGUAAAUAUAAAAUAUAAAUAGAUCAAGGAAAUCUGAAUUGUAGAUAGCACUGCAAGUAACACUCAAUAUUCUCUAUAUAUAAUAAAAUAAACAGUGUCACAAUACUCAUCACCCAGUGGCAAGGGAGAAAAACCUACAAUGAGUACUCAAAUCACCAUUCUCAAACAGAAACAUAGCAGUGACUGAUACAUAGAACCUAUAUGCUCACAGGGAAAGAAUAAGAUGACCAGUGCACAGCGGGCAGCAGCUCUUAUUUUACGUACAACUCAAAUCCCAAACUAACCAAAGUCGCUCAGUUGGGAUGGGUGGGAGAUGGUGGUUUGUGGGAUGGCUUCUGGGUAGGAGCUGGUGGCUUCUGUCCCUUUGGUGGUUUGCCUAAUGAGCUUGGUGGCUUGUGCUCCGGGAGUUGUUUCUCUCCCUCGAGUAGGUUUCGAGUCUUGUCAGAUGGCUUGUGUUCUGGUGGUGGCUUCUCUCCCUGGGGUGGUUUGCCGAAUGGGCUUGGUGGCUUGUGUUCGGGGAGUGGCUUCUCUCCCUGGAGAAGGUUACGAGUUUUGUCAUAUGGCUUUUGUUCUGGUGGUGGCUUCUCUCCCUGGGGUGGUUUGCCGAAUGGGCUUGGUGGCUUGUGUUCGGGGAGUGGCUUCUCUCCCUGGAGAAGGUUACGAGUUUUGUCAGAUGGCUUGUGUUCUGGUGGUGGCUUCUCUCCCUGGGGUGGUUUGCCGAAUGGGCUUGGUGGCUUGUGUUCGGGGAGUGGCUUCUCUCCCUGGAGAAGGUUACGAGUUUUGUCAGAUGGCUUUUGUUCUGGUGGCGGCUUCUCUCCCUGGGGUGGUUUGCCAAAUGGGCUUGGUGGCUUGUGUUCGGGAACUGGCUUCUCUCCCUUGGGAGGUUCAGUUGGUGGCUGCUGUUCCGUAGGUGGUUUCUUCACCGGCGGCUUGUGCUCCGGAAGCGGCUUCUCUACCUGGAGAAGCUUACGAGUUUUGUCCGAUGGCUUGUGUUGUGGUGGUGGCUUCUCUCCCUGGGGUGGUUUGCCAAAUGGAGUUGGUGGCUUGUGUUCGGGGAGUGGCUUCUCUCCAUUGGGAGGUUUAGUUGGUGAUUGGUGUUCCGUAGGUGGUUUCUGAAGUGGGGGAUGCUUGGGGUAGUCAGCAAGAGACGAGGUAGUGAGAACCACCAGUCCCAGCAGCAACACUAGCAAGCAUGUGGAAGACAUCUUUGAGUUCAGGCUGAGAUCUGUGCAAGGAUAACAGAAUUAGGUGGCCUUUUAUAGAGGCCUGGACCCAACACCCAUAUGACACGUGUCAUGCACUCAUGGUGACACAUAAUUCUAUGGGACCAUUUGGGUCCUACAGAAGUUGCAAAGUUGGACUACUGAGGUGUGAUCACAACUUUUGUCCUUAUUGCUUUCUCUGCGGCCAUUGCACGAUUUCCUUUAGCAUCAUUUUCUUGGCUAAAUAAGCGUAUUAUAUUUGUGGCAGACCGUCCACGUGUCAUAAACAGAUAUAUUAUAAUAAUGUAGUAUGCUUUUCUCCAAUGGAACAUGACACUCUUCUAAGUCUUGUUUUAAAUAUUGUGCAGGAUUACUUUAUACGUUGCAGUUCCAAGUCAAAAUUGGUGGGCAAACGUUGGCCUUUUUUCAUUUCACCUAAGAUUAAUGCUCACCUGGGAUAGGCACUACAUGACUUAUCUGCUCUUUUACUGUAAAGUUGCUUUGUGUAUGAGAUACACCUCCCCUGCACACCCUCAACAUUCGUUGCUCUGUUUUCCUUGUGUCCAGACGAGGAUAUUAAUUGGAGGCUGACAAAACGACUGCUAGCCCAGGAUUUACAAGGUCCUGGUUUGAGGCUUCGGUGAAAGUAUUUUUGAAAAGACACACAUAGAGAUAGUGCGUUUGGUGCAAUGCAGCACUGUGAGCCAUUCUGACGCGUUCUUAAUUUCAAAACUAAUGAAUGCUUCAAAAUUUUAAGAAGUGACAUUUCCAAAUAUUUGAGUUCGUUUAAUUGAACAUUGGAUAACUAGUGAUCAUAGAUUAUUAUCUGUGCUUGGCACUAUAAGAGGGUAUAUGCUUCUUUUUCUGGCCCCUCCUUCAAGGGAGGAGGGACAAUGUGAUCUGUAACGUUAGAAGCUAUUCCAUGUCAUCUUUGGGCUCAGUUCAAAACUAAAAGAUAAUGGGGGGGGGGGGGGGGGGCAUAUCAUUUUAUAUUUCUUCUAGAAGGUUUGUUCUGGAAAUAUUUCACAGGAGCAUAUCUUUUUCUUCUAUUACGUCAUCCGCAGCCUCCAAUAGGUCGGUUAACAAGCCACCGAGUUGAAAAGUUGGAAAAAUGGGAACACAGCCCGCCUCUUGUAUUCAGUAGUUAAAUAAAAGGUCACUAGAAGUGAGAUCCCUUUUGGCGUCUUGAUUUUCAAUCCAGCACCUCUGUGACCUGACAAACCAAAAAAACUAAAAAAUAAAAAACAGUACGUGGGUUGGUGUUAAGCAUCAAGACAUGUUAAUGAAAGAAGGUAGAGAAUAGGAUAUUGAAAUCCCAAUCCUGAUAACAUGAUUUUCUUUGCUAACAACCAUAUUAUAUUUUAUCAAGAAAGAGUAAUGCAUGUGGCGUCCAUCAAGACCCAUUAGAGUUCCGCUAAAGCUAUAGUUCUGUCAACGUUAUCAUUUACGUUUCCUCUAGAUAAUGGCAUUUUCCUCUAAAGCUCUUGCACCAUUAGGCUUCAAGUCAAAAUUUCACAUGUGAACUUUGGAAAUUUUCUCCAUUUGCCCCUAAGGAUACAGUUAGAAUUGACUUAAAAUCCUGAUUGAUAUGUACUAUUAACCAAAGAAUAUUGUAUAUAAUAAUUGAAAUAUUGUUGAUUCAUCGUGGAAAUACAUUUUGUAAGGAAAGUUGUUGAGAAUUUAGUAUGCUAUAUGGAGAAAAAAGUCAUGACUUAAGGUUGUGUAUGUAUAUUCUAUAUCAAAUAUUAGGUAGGAAUGUGGGAAAGAGCAGAGUGUAAUGAUAAGAAACAAAGAAAUAUAAGAUAUUCUUGAAAGUGGAAAAUAUAAAAUGGCUAACGAGUCAAAUUUAUGAUGCGUAAGGGGGAUCAUGUCACAUAAGAAAACCAUGGCAUACUAAAGACGUACGUGUGGUAUGGAGUAAUAAUUUUGUUAAAAUAAGUUUCUUGUUGGAGUACAUUAGGUGACUAUUCAUAACGUAUCAAAUUAAAGAGUCAAGUGCAUCAAUGAAGGCAUAUGUAGAAAAUUUGUUUGUGACAUGUACCAUAAAGAUAAGAUUGACUUGAUAGAAUUUAGUCUAAGUAGGAGUUGUUAAAGGUGUCUUAAAUUUCUAAUUGAUGUAUAUUUUUUUCUAAAAAAAUAUUAUAUAGAUAUUUUAAUAAAUGAUUAAUUCUUUGUAAAAAUACUUACAUAAUAAAAAACAUCAUUAAAAAUAUCUUUAUAAAUAUUUUAAGUUACAAGAAGGAAAAAAACCACUGUGAGAUAAUGAUGAACAUGCAACACUGUACCAAGUAAAUAAAAAUGUGAUAAAAAAAAAAGAGAAACACUCGAUAAAGGAAGGCUCGUAUAUAAAGAGUAAUAUUUUUAAUCAUAUGAUAGAAUGAUUUUCUCUCAUUCAUGAAUAUAGGCAAGAUUGGGGAACCAUUAUAAAAUUUUGUACACCUCGUGUAAAUUGAUGUUUGUCUUCAUAUUUUACACCAACAAAUGACAUUGAAGUUGUCAUUGAUAAAAGGGAAAAGGCAUGCCUCCACACCAUGUGCUUGAUUCGAAUGGUUCAAGUUUGAAGAAUUUUCUCCGGAAGAUCUAAAACAUUUUCGCCUUUAAAUUUCAUUUGAUUAUUAAUAUCCGAAAAAAUAGUUAAAUACUCUUUCUAUUUUUGAGUUGUUGAAUUUUUUGAAAGUUUUUAUAUUUGUUAUCAAGAAUUUCUAUUUUAUUAAGGGUGAAUAUUUAUAAAUAAGAUAUUAUAUAAUAUUUGGAUAAGAGAGAAUGGUGGAAUAUAAUAAAGUUUUAAUCCUUCCCAAUUUUGAACCUUUUUUUUUUUUUUUGAUAUAAUCGCCUUUCUCUUGCAAUCCUAUUAUCAGGUACCUUAUAUUUGCUGAUGCUAUCUGGAACUAAAUUCCAAUCAGGCAUUGUCCAAUUACUAAUAGGACAGAUCAUAUCUCUCUGUUUCUAAACUAACAUGUAUCGUAAUGUGACCUCAUAAGGAAGGCUAGGAAGAUGGAGGAUUUUGUGGGAAGCGACCAGAAUCAGAUGGAAGAGAGAUAGCCCUGUUGACCUAAUGGCUGUAAUAGGAGAAGCGUGUGGUUUUAUGGGACUUAACUGAUACUAAACCUGUAUGAUGCUUGGAGUGGUGUUUCUUUCAUUUUGUUAAGAAAAUAUGGCAGCAUACAUGCUUUCAACUGAGUGCAUCAGAGCAUCCAUAACAGAUGGUCUGCAACCCUAGGUGCAUGCCACUUUCUGACUGAUAAUGAAAUUGUCAGGUACCUGGCCUUGACUAAGCUCAACAGCAUCACAUAAAGAGAAGCUUUCAUACUUAGAUUACUGUUUAAAGUUUUUGCUUAUUUGAUUUCUUAAUGCCAUUAUGACAUUAUUGAUUCAAUUCUGCUUCCGAUUUUCGAAGUUCUGGGCAUCUACUGAUUGCAUCAUUAUAUGAGAAGUUGCAUGAGUUUAUGUAUCCUGUUAUUGUUCCUUUGCGAUUUCACUGCUCACGGGACUAACCUCUCCAUUCAGUCGAAAUGAAUUGUAAUUUCUUUACUGGUAGCAGUAGUACUUUUCAUAGCAAAGAUAAUAGAAAAUAUGAAAUAUAAAUAGAAGGAAAUCUGGAUUGUAGAUAGCACCAUAAGUAACACUCAAUAUUCACUACAUAAUAAAUAGACAGUGUUACAUAGGUAGAGAAACCUACAAUGAGUACUCAUCACCAUUCUCAAACAGAAACAUAGCAGCGACUUAUACAUAGAACCUAUAGGCUCGCAGGGAAAGAGUAACAUGAUAAGUUCACAGCGGGUAGCAGCUCUUAUUUUACGUAUUACUCAAAAUCUCAAACUAACCAAAGUCACUCAGUUGGGAUGGGUAGGAGAUGGUGGUUUGUGGGGUGGCUUCUGGGUAGGAGCUGGUGGCUUCUUUGUUGGAGUUGAAGGAGGCAUAUUCUUCUGAGGUGGCUUGUAUGACUCUUCGGCACUCUCUGCAGGAGGGUGCCCAGGGUUGUGACCAGAAGGAGGUGGCUUCUGUCCCUUUGGUGGUUUGCCUAAUGGGCUUGGUGGCUUGUGCUCCGGGAGUUGUUUCUCUCCCUCGAGUAGGUUUCGAGUUUUGUCAGAUGGCUUGUGUUCUGGUGGUGGCUUCUCUCCCUGGGGUGGUUUGCCGAAUGGGCUUGGUGGCUUGUGUUCGGGGAGUGGCUUCUCUCCCUGGAGAAGGUUACGAGUUUUGUCAGAUGGCUUUUGUUCUGGUGGCGGCUUCUCUCCCUGGGGUGGUUUGCCAAAUGGGCUUGGUGGCUUGUGUUCGGGAACUGGCUUCUCUCCCUUGGGAGGUUCAUUUGGUGGCUGGUGUUCCGUAGGUGGUUCCUUCACCGGCGGCUUGUGCUCCGGAAGCGGCUUCUCUACCUGGAGAAGCUUACGAGUUUUGUCAGAUGGCUUGUGUUGUGGUGGUGGCUUCUCUCCCGGGGGUGGUUUGCCAAAUGGACUUGGUGGCUUGUGUUCGGGGAGUGGCUUCUCUCCAUGGGGAGGUUUAGUUGGUGGUUGGUGUUGCGUAGGUGGUUUCUGAAGUGGGGGAUGCUUGGGGUAGUCAGCAAUAGACGAGGUAGUGAGAACCACCAGUCCCAACAGCAACACUAGCAAGGAUGUUGAAGACAUCUUUGAGUUCAGGCUGAGAUCUGUGCAAGGAUAAAAGAUUUAGGUGGCCUUUUAUAGAGGGCUGGACCCAACACCCAUAUGACACGUGUCAUGCACUCAUGGUGACACAUAAUUCUAUGGGACCAUUUGGGUCCUACAGAAGUUGCAAAGUUGGACUAUUGAGGUGUGAUCACAACUUUUGUCCUACUUGCUUUCUCUGCGGCCAUUGCACGAUUUCCUUUAGCAUCAUUUUCUUGUCUAAAUAAGCGUAUUAUAUUUGUGGCAGACCGUCCACGUGUCAUAAACAGAUAUAUUAUAAUAAUGUAGUAUGCUUUUCUUCAACGGAACUUGACACUCUUCUAAGUCUUGUUUUAAAUACUGUGCAGGAUUACGUCAUAAGUUGCUUGUUCCAAGUCAAAAUUGGUGGGCAAACGUUGGCCUUUUUUCAUUUUCCCUAAUAUUAAUGCUCACCUGGGAUAGGCACUACAUGAUUUAUCUGCUCUUUUACUGUGAAGUUGCUUUGUGCAUGAGUUACACCUCCCCUGCACACCCUCAACAUUUGUUGCUCUGUUUUUCUUGUGUCCAGACGAGGAUAUUAAUUGGAGGCUGACAAAACGACUGCUAGCCAAGGAUUUACAAGGUCCUGGUUUGAGGCUUUCACGAAAGUAUUUUUGAAAAGAUACACAUAGAGAUUGCGCGUUCGGUGCAAUGCAACAAUGUGAGCCAUUCUGAAGUCUUAAAUUUCAGAUUAAUGAAUGCUACAAAAUUCUAAGAAGGGCCGUUUCCAAAUAUUUGAGUUCAUUCAUCCGAACAUCGGGUAUAUGCUUCUUUCUCUAGCCCCUCCUUGAAGGGAGGAGGGACAAUGUGAUCUGUAUCGUUAGAAGCUAUUCCAUGUCGUCAUCUUUGGGCUCAGUUCAAUACUAAAAGAUAUGGGCGGGGCCCUUAUCAUUUUAUAUUUCUUCUAGAAGGUUUAUUCUGGAAAUCUUUCACAGAAACAUAUCUUUUUCUUCUCUACGUGAUCCGUGGUUUGAAAGUUGGAAAAAUGGGUCCGUUAACAAGCCACCGAGUUGAAAAGUUGGAAAAAUGGCAACACCGCCAACCUCUUGUAUUCGAUAGUUAAAUAAAAGGUCACUGGAAGUGAGAUCCCUUUUGGCCUCUUGAUUUUCAUUCCAGCAUCUCUAUGGCCUGAUAAAUUAAAAAACUAAAAAAAAAGACAGUACGUGGGUUGGUGUUAAGCAUCAAGAGUCAAGACAUGAUAAUGGAGAGAAAGGAUAUUCAAAUUCCAGUUCUGACAACAUGAUUUUCUUUGCUGAACUACCAUAUUAUAUUUGAUCAAGAAAGAGUAGUGCAUGUGGCCAGGAUCAAGACAUACAUUAAUUUCCACAUGAUGAAGACAGUUUCUGAGAGUUUCUUCUAAAGCUCUUGCGCGAGUAGGCUUCAAGUCAAAAUCUCCCAUGUAAACACUGGUUUUUCUUUCAUUGCCACUAAGGAUGCAGUUAAUAUUGACUUAAGAUCCUACGUGAUAUAUUUUUUUAAAAGAGCUAUAUUGUAGAUAAUAUUUGAAAUAAUGUUGAUUCGUUGUGGAAAUAUAUUUGUAAGGAAAGUUGUUGACAAUUUAAUAUAGUAUAAGAAGAAAAAAGUUAUCAACUAGCUAGAGAUGAGUAUGUAAAGUGAGGCUCACGAUUCAACGCGUAAAUAUAAGAUAUUUUAAGGCUCAAUAGUUAUGAUAUCUAUUUUAUUUUUUGUAUCUCAUAUAUUCAAAGAUAUAGUAAAAUGAUUUUACAUAUAUAUAUAUAUAUAUAUAUGAACAUAACUAUUUGUGCCAAUUGAUUUUUAUCUUUAUUUUGUAUAUUAGUAAUUAUAUUAAAGUUUUUACUAAUAUAAUAACUAAUAUAAAAGCUUUUUCUAAAAGAGUCAACAGAGCAAAACACUUAUUAUAAAAAAUAAUUUUGAUUGAAGGUGGAGUCAAUUAUUCUUUAUUUAACAUGUAAUGCAUACGGCGUGUACUUCAUAACUAAAGUAUAUAAGUGUAACAUCUCUUAUAUAUUCUCAUUCAAUCUCGAAAGUGGAAAUUUUAAAAAGAUUAAACGGUUCAAAUUUGUCGUGCAUAAAGGGGAUCAUGUCACAUAAGCAAACCAUGGCAUACCAAAGACAUAGGUAUGGACUAAGAAUUUUUUUCAAAUAAGUUUCUUAUUAGGGUACAUUAAUAGGUGACUUUUUAUGACAUAUCAAAGGAGUCAAGUGCACCAAUAAAAACAUAUAUAGAAAAUUCAUGCAUGACAUGUAUCACUAAGAGAAGAUUGACUUGAUAGAGUUUAAUCCAAAUAGGAGAUUGUUAAAAGGUGUCUCAAAUUCUUGAUUGAUAUAUAUUUUUUUUAUUAAAAAGGUUAUUAUAUAGAUAUUUCAAUAGACUAUUAAUUCUUUGUAAAAAUAGUUAUAUAAUGAGGAUGGUGAUUAAAAAUAUCUCUAUCAAUAUUUUGGAUUAUAAAAAGAAAAAAAAUGAGAUAAUGAUAAACAUAUAAAACUUGUACAAGUAGAUAAAGAUGUGAUGAAAGACACUUGAUGAAUGAAGGCUUUGUAUUUCAAGAUAUAAAUAUAUGGAGCAAAACUCUUAAUUAUAUGAUCAAAUGAUUCUCUCAUAUUCAUGAAUAUAAGCAGGAUUGGGGAACCAUGAUAGAAUCUUAUAUGCCUCUCCAUGUAGAGUGAUCGAUGUUUAUCUUCAUAUUUUACACCAGUGAAUGACAUUGAAACUCUUAUUGAUAAAAGGGAAAAGGCAUGGCCUCCACCCCAAGAAAAACAAGUAACCUCGGUUUAAAUCACUAGUCUACACCCCGAAGAGAGAACUAGCCAAACCUACUAAAAGAGAAACUUAACAAUUUAGAAAGAAACCGUCCAUGAUAAAGGGCCCCUAAAGGUCCAAUUCAGUGAGGUCGUGAACAAAAACACUUUCAUGUCAAAACAGAGAUAGGUACCACCAAAAUGUAAAGGGAAAGAUGUAAACCACGUCGAACUUUGGUAAUCAAUGGUAAAGAUAGCAUGAUAGCUAAAAGCACUAAAGCUGUGCUUGGUAUGCAAAAAUGAAAAGUGGAAAUCAGCGUCUUAUUCUUUUUCACCUUUAUUCACAUAUUAGGAUAACUAAUAUCUAAUGUUUUUUAUGUCUCAAAUUCUAUUCCAUGUUAUGGUAAACUUUCAUCUUGUUUAGAUCACUUUUGUCUGGUUUGGGCUCAAGACGAUAAGCCUAUAGAGACUUCAUAUUGGGUUGAAUCGAUGCCCUUGAUCUGAUCUGUUCGUUAGAAAAAUCUGAAUUAUUAUAAGCAUUUAGAUAAAAAAUAAAUAAAUGUGAAACACAAACUACUCCCUGCACAACCUUGACCCUAGUUACUCAGUUUCACUGCUCACAGGACUAACCUCUCCAUUCAGUCGAAAUGAAUUGUAACAAGAAGAUUUUUGACAGGAGGACGGUAGUUUAAAAUAAUAAUUUCUAAAGUACUUUUGUGAAAAAAAAUAAUUCCAAACGUGGAUUUUAUCAAGUAAAAAGAAAAAAAAAAGUUAUUUUCUUUUAAAAUCUGUUCUUCUAAAGAUGAUAUAUAUACCAAAAAAAAAAAUUGUUUUCUGAAGGUAAAAUUUUUAAAAUUCAUUUUUAAAAAAAUUUACACACUAAAAUUAUCUUUUCAAGAGAAGAUUUUUUUAAUUUUAAAUAAUUAUUAAUUUAUAAUUAAUUUGUUAUUAAUUAUUUAUUAAUUUUUUUAUUUGAAAAAUGCAUUUAUAAAAAACAAAUUUGUUAUUAAUUUAUUAAAUAAUUUUUACAAAAUAAAUAAUUUUUUUUUAUUUUAAUUUUAAAAUUAAUUUUAUUAUAUAAAUUUUAAAAUUAAAAAUAUUAAUAUUUAAUUUAAAAUUUAACUAUAAAAGGAAUAAAAUAUAGAAAAAUAAAUUAAUUUAUUAUUCAAUAAAUUAAUUUUCAAUAAAAUUUUCAGCAUUAAGAGAUAAAUUUUUAAGUAUUAAUCAAUUUAAAAAGAAAUAAUGAUCAUUUGUAUAUUAAGAUAUUUUAUUUAGUAAUUAUGAAUGAUAAACAACUAAAGUAAUUUGAAAAAAUAAUAAAAUAUUUAAAAAAUAAUAAUUUAAUACACGUAAAAUUAGAAAUGAUUAACUAUUUUUUAUUAAGAAAAAAUUGAGGAAAUAUUUUGUUAUUUAAAAUUUUUUAUUUGUUUUCAAUUUUUAAUGUUAUAGGUUUCAAGAAAAUUGAUCAAAUAAAAAUUAAGAAGUCAUUUUUUCAAAAACUAUAUAUCUAAAUAAAAGCCUUGAAAUUCAAAUACACAAUAUCAUAAAUAUAAACACCAAGUCAAUCCUUAAUUAUCAAAUGUUUUUAAUAUUAAAGAAUCAAAAUCACCUACUAUCAUGAUAAUAAGAAAACCAAUAAUAUUGUUCAUAUAAAUACUAAAAAGCUAACAAAUAUCCCAAACAAUUAAUAAAGUAUCAAACAUGAUAAAAAGUCAAUUAUUAUCAUGAAUGCAAAAAAUCAAUAAUUUUGUUUAUAUGAACCAUCAACAAAGAAAAAAAAAAUCAAUAUCUAAAUAUUAAACAUAAUUUAUAUUUUUAUAAAUAUUAUUGUUGAUAAAUAUCUUAACAAUUAUAAUUUUAGUAAAUAAAAUUAAUUAAUUUUAGUUUAAGAAUUAUUUUUUUAUACUUUCGUAUUCUUAUCAAAAAUCCCCAUUUUGCAUGUCUCCUUUGGCAUGACUUUCUUACCUAAACAAGCAUAUAUAUAUAUAUAUAUAUAUAAAAUAUUUGGUUAAGAAAGAGUACUAAAGUUUAUAUGGCACACAUCAAGAUAGAAACAGAAGUGGAAGAUAAUCCAAAUGUAUGAACAGAUAUAUUAUAUCCAUGUAGUGGUAGUGACUUCAUUAUUUACUUUUAUCUAAUGGAGCAUGACACACUUCUUCUGAAUAUUUUGCACGAUUAUGUUAUGUGUCAGCUUGUUCUAAGUCAAAACUAGUGAUAAAAAUCGGUUUUUUUUGCAUUUCCUUCAUGAAGAUGGCACCUGGAUGGGGCACUACAUGAGUGGCAUAGCACGAAGUGAUUUAUCUGCUCCCUUUACUAUAAAGUGCUUUGUGUAUAAGUUACACCUCCCCUGCACUGCCUCAACAUUUGUUGUUCUGUCUUCCGUCUGUCCAAACGAGGACAAACGUAUGUUGUAGGUUGACAAAACCACAGCUAGCCUAGGAUUUGCAAGGAUCUAGUUUGAUUCGUAUGCAAAAGGAUUGGUGAAAAGAUUCACAAAGAUAAUGCUUUUUGCAAUGCAAUCUUGUUCUAAUUCAACAGUGUGGACCAUUUUCAUGUAAUGCUUCAACUAGAUGUCAGUUUCAUGAAUUUUUGUUCAUCUAAUUGAUCACUGGAUAGGCCAUAACCCGAAGAAAUUCAAAAUUCCCUUCAGUACUGUAGCUAAGGAAAGAUCCCUAUCUACCACUGGGAUUUUAAGAGGGUAAAAAUGUAGGUGGGUGCCUAUAUCAUUUGCACUUCACUAUAGGCCUCUUUGGGAAGAUUUCUUCUGAAGACAUUUCAAAGAAACAUAUUUUUCUCUUCUCUCCGUAAACGGCAGCUGCAAGUCAGUCCAUUCACAGGCCACCGAGUUGAAAAGGCUGGAAAAUUGGCCAAAGCACCCGCCUCCUGGAUUCCAUGGGUAAGGAAAAGGUCACUGGAGGUGUGAUCCCUGUUGGCCUCUUGAUUUCCAUUCCGCCAUCUAUAUGACCUGAUAACCCAAAAACACAGAAGGAAAACGUCACCUGGGUUCAUAGUAAGCAUCAAGUCAUGAUAGAGACCAGACAACAUGACCAACAAAGAGUAGCGAAUGGGGCCAACAUCAAGCCCCAUUACGGUUAGAAGAUGGAAGAAGUAGAAGACAAUCCAAUUCUGAUAGAUUCGGGCAAAUGUAGUGCUGUUCAAACUUAAUCAUUUACUAUUUCUUCAUGAAUCACGGCAUUUUUCUUCUGAAAAUUUUCCAAGAUUAGGCCUCUGAAGAAAAAUUUCAUAUGUAAAUUGGUAUAUUAAGGAAAAGGCGUUACAAAGGUGAAAAAAAACCAAUCAAAUCUUAUAUAUGACAUCUCAAAAAUAUGAACUUGCUAUAAAUAUUUAAAAUCAAAAUCUUGCACAUCACCUCGUAGUACGAACUUGCUAUAAAACUUGAAAAUCAAGAAGAAAGGGGCAGUAUUGGACGAGACUACUUAGCACAUAUUAUUAUGAUGUUUUUUCAUUUUCUUAAUGUUGUUUUUAUGUCUUAAAUUCUAUUAUUCUAUGUUACGGUAAACAUUCAUCUUGUUUGUGUGGAAUAGGAUCACUUUUCUCUGGGUUGAGUCGAUGCCCUUAGUUAAUUUGUUCAUUUGAAUAAACUAAAUUAUUAUAAGUAUUUAGAUAAGAAAAACGUGAUACAUAAAUUACGCCUCUCGGCACAACUUCAACACUGGUUACUCUGUUUCAGUUUCCUCACACAAGAUUAUUGGUUCUAGGGUUUAUUUGGUUUUGGUUUGAUUCUAAUUGCUAAACUUUCUCAAGGAAGAUGUUAUAUAGGGAGUGAGAAACCUUCACUCUUGGCUACCUCCAAGAGAAGAGCAAGUGGUCUGAAUCAAAGAUAUACUGCUCACUUUUUCUUCUUCUAAGGACAGCUAUGACCUUGCUUUAAGGUUCGAAUAGCCUAAUGCAACCUCCCAUUUCUCAAGUCAGCUGAUGAUGUAAGUCACCUUGGCUUUCCACAUUCAUACGGUGAGGACGUUUGUGGGUGUAAUUCUCUUAACAGUUUUCAUUUUAUAUGGAAAAAUUCAUAAUUAAGGGUAAUUACUGAUUCCAUUUGACAGUGACCAAGUUUAAAAUAUUAAUUCAUAUAUUAAAUGCACAUUAAAAAAUCAUGGAAUAAAUAUAUUUACUAAUAUAUAGUUCUUUUGCCAUGUUCUGUCACAGAAGCAUCGAACUUUCCCUAGAAAUUUUUGCAUGGUAUUCUACUUAUGAUUUUGAAAACUCUAGGCACCUGAGGCCACUAAUUGCAUGGUUGGAUGAGGAGCUGCAUGAGAUUAUGUAUCGUGUUGUUCCUUAACUACAAAUAUCAGUUUUAAGUAGCAUCUCCAUGUGACAUUUUCCUGAUGCAAUUUCGCUGUCCACCAACAAAUUUCACCAUGCAGCAAGAUGAAUUGUAAUUUCUUUAUUGUUAUCAACAGCUUUAAUUAAUCUUGAUAUAUAUAUAUAACUUAGUAGAAGUAUAUUAAUCUAGAUUGUAGUUGCACUAAGAUAAUAGGCAAUAUUAUAACAGUGCCACAAUGCUCAUCGCCAAAUAGAAAGGUAGAAAAACUACAAUGAGUAACUCACAACAUUCUCAAACAGGACAUAGCGGCGACUGAUACAUAGAACACUAUUGGCACUCAGGAAAUGAUAAGAUCAGUGCCCAGCAGGCAGCACGUCUUAUUUUACAUACUACUUAAAACUAACCAAAGUCAUUCAGUUGGGAUGGGUGGGAGAUGGUGGUUUGUGCGGUGGCUUUUGGGUAGUUGGUGGCUUCUUUCCUGGAACUGAUGGUUUUUUUGUUGGAGUUGAAGGAGGCUUAAUCGUCUGAGGUGGCUUGUAUGAGUCUUCAGCACUCUCUGCGGGAGGGUGCCCAGGGUUGUGACCAUAAUGGGGUGGCUUCUCUCCCUUAGUUGGUUUGCCAAGUGGGCUGGCUGGCUUGUGCUCCGGGAGCGGCUUCUCUCCCUUAGGUGGUUUGCCAAAUGGGCUUGCUGGCUUGUGCUCUGGGAGCGGCUUCUCUCCCUCAAGAAGUUUACGGGUUUUGUCAGAUGGCUUGUGUUCUGGUGGUGGCUUCUCUCCUUGGGGUGGUUUGCCAAAUGGACUUGGUGGCUUGUGUUCGGGGAGUGGCUCCUCUCCCUUGGGAGGUUUAGUUGGUGGCUGGUGUUCCAUAGGUGGUUUCUCAACCGGGGGCUUGUUCUCCGUUGGUGGUUUAUGAACUGGGGGAUGCUUGGGGUAGUCAGCAAGAGACGGGGUGGUGAGAACCACCAGUCCCAGCAGCAACACUAGCAAGUAUGUGGAAGAGUACAUCUUUGAGUUCAGGCUGAGAUUUGUGCGAGACUUGAAGAAUUAGGUGGCCUUUUAUAGCUGGCUGCACCCAACACUCACAUGACACGUAUCAUGGUGACACAUGUGCUAUGGGUCCAUUUGGGUCCUACAGAAGCUGAAAACUUUUGACUAUUGAGGUGUGGUCACAACUUUUGUCCCUAUUGCUUUCUCCGCAACCGUUUUACAUGUUUCCUUUGGCAUAAUUUUCUAAGCUAAACAAGCAUAUAUCAUAUUUGGUUAAGAAAGAGUAAAGUGUAUAUGGCACACAUCAAGGAAGAGAAACAGAAAAAGUGGGAGACAAUCAAUUGUGAUAAACAGAUAUAUUAUAUUCAUGUAGUACUAGUGACUUUAUCAUUUACUUUUAUCCAAUAGAUCAUCACUCUUUCUUCUAAAUAUUUUGGAGGAUAAUGGUACAUGUUGCUUGUUUCCAAGUCAAAAUUGGUGGCAAAAAUCGGCAUGAUACGAAAGGAUUGGUGAAAAGAUUCACAUAGAUGGUGCUUUGUGCAAUGCAGUCUUGCUCUAAUUCAACAGAGUGGACCAUGGUGAUGUAUUUUAAAUUUUAAAUUUUAAAUUAAUGCAUGCUUCAAAGUUUUAACUAGAUGUCACUUCCAUGGAUUUUUGUUCAUUUAAUUGAGCACAGGAUAGGCUAUCAAACUUGAAGUAAUAUAAAAAUCCCUUCAUUACUGUAACUAAUGAAAGAUCAUUAUCUGCGCUUGGUAUUUUGCCAAGGUAUUUGCUGCUCUUUCUAGCCCUGUCUUACAGUUAAGGACAAUGUGAUCUAGUUAACCUUAGAAGCUAUUCCAUGUCAGAUACAAGAGAUCAAGCACAUUAUCUUUGGGCUCAGUUCAAAACUAUAAUAUAUGGGUGGGGUGGAGGCCCAUAUCAUUUGCAUAUCACCACUAUUGGUUUAGUUUGGAAGGUUUCUUCUGGAAGAUUGCUGCUUUCUGGAAUCAUUUCAAAGAAAUAUAUCUUUUUGUUCUCUUGGUGACGAGCAGCGGCAAUCAAGUCUGUUGACAAACAACCGAGUUGAAAAGUUUGAAAAUUGGUCACAGCCCACGUCCAUGGUUAAGGAAAAGGUCACUGGAAGUGAUCCCUUCUGGGCCUCUUGAUUUCCAUUCUGACAUCUAUAUGACCUGAUAAAUAGAAAGAAAAAAAAACAGAAGAAAAGCGGCACCCGGGUUCAUAGUAAGCAUCAAGACAGGAUACUGAAAGAAGGGAGAAAGGAGAUUGCAAGUCCAAUCCUGAUAAAAUGAUCAACAAAGAGUAUCAAAAUGGGGCCAACAUAAAGACCCAUUGAGGUUAGCAGAUGGCAUGGCAUUUUUCUCCUUAAGUUUUCCAUGAUUAGACUUGAAGUCAAAAUUUCACAUGUAAAUUUGUAUUUCUACAUUUCCCACUGACGACACCCAACUUCAACUUGAGUUAGAAUAACAUUGUGUGAACUUAUCUGGCCCUCAAAAUUUACUGUGAAGUGCUUUCUGCGUGUGAAGAUUCAGAAAAGCACCAAGGGAACAUGUAUGGUCUGCCUUUUUCUGAUGUUAUGUUUGUCUCUAAUUCUGUUCCAUGUCAUGGUAAAUGUUCACAUUGCUUGUAUGGAACACACCAGGAUCACUUUUUCGGGUUUAUUUUGAGGCUUCAUAUUGGGUUCAUAUUGGGUUCAAUGCUUUUAAUGUGUUCAUUAGACAAAUCUGAAUUAUCAUAUGCAUUUAGAUAAGAACAAUAAUGUGAAACCCUAGUUACACCUCCCCUGCAUAACCCCAACCCUGCUUACUCUAUUUCAGUUUACUCACACAAGUUUUACCGGUUCUUAUAAGUCAAGAAAAGGCAACUGAUGUUGGAUUGACUCUCUUCCAUGUAUAAAAAGCAACUUUUAUAUAUACAUAAAAUAACUUCUUCCCCUCACCAAUGUGGGAUAUCAUGGAUUUAUUCUGGAAACACAUCAAAGGAACAUCUUUUCUCUUGGGUGACCCUAAGUGGUGAGUCAGACCAUUUGCAUGCCAUUGAGUUGCACAGUUGGAUAAAUGCACCUACCUCCUGGGCUCCAGAGUUAAAAGGGUGGAUCCCUGGAUCGCAACCCUCUUGGCAUCUUGGUUUCCAUUCCAACAUCCACAUGACUUGACAAAACAAAAAACAGAAUAAAAUCAUCACUAUUUUCAUGCUAAGCACCAAUACAUGAUGGAAAUCAUUGCUUAAAGAUUUGGGGUCAUUUAGGUUUUGACUGCCUCCUAACACCUCACCUAAUCACAAGUUUUUAUGCUUACAAAUCAAAUAUCGUUCUUCAUUAUAUUAAAAUCAUUUUAAGAUUUCAGAUCCAUCUGCUAAUUAUGAUUAUGAUAACAUUAAUUCACCUGUGCUUCUCAUUUUCGACACACAAGGCAUCUAGGUUUGCAGGAUUUCCUUAUUAGAUGAGAUAAAUGAGUACGCAUGGUUAUGUAUGCAGCAUUCAUUAACCAUGGUAUGUGACAUUUAGAAUUAAGAUAGCAAGCAAACUUUCCCUGCAGCUUGAGUAAAUUGUGAUUUCUUAGCCUCUAUGAGUGGUUCCCAAAUCAAAUUAACAUAGUGAAAUAUACGUAGUCCAGUGAAAGGAAAUGUAAAUUAUAAACUAACAGCACUACACUACUGGUAACACUCGAUACUCUCUAUAUAAUGCAAUGAAAUAUACGUUAUACGUUGCUUGUUCCAAGUCAAAAUUUGUGGCCAAACGUUGGCCUUUUUUCAUUUUCCCUAAGAUUAAUGCUCACCUGGGAUAGGCACUACAUGAUUUAUCUGCUCUUUUACUGUAAAGUUGCUUUGUGUAUGAGUUACACCUCCCCUGCACACCCUCAACAUUUGUUGCUCUGUUUUCCUUGUGUCCAGACGAGGAUAUUAAGUGGGGGCUGACAAAACGACUGCUAGCCAAGGAUUUACAAGGUCCUGGUUUGACGCUUCCGCGAAAGUAUUUUUGAAAAUAUACACAUAGAGAUUGCGCGUUCGGUGCAAUGCAACAAUGUGAGCCAUUCUGAAGUUUUUAAUUUCAGAUUAAUGAAUGCUACAAAAUUCUAAGAAGGGCCGUUUCCAAAUAUUUGAGUUCAUUUAUCCGAACAUCGGAUAAGUAAUGAUCAUAGAUUAUUAUUAUUAUCUGACGUUCUUAUAAUGGUUGGCAUUAUAAGAGGGUAUAUGCUUCUUUCUCUAGCCCCUCCUUCAAGGGAGGGACAAUGUGAUCUGUAUCGUUAGAAGCUAUUCCAUGUCGUCAUCUUUUGGCUUAAGUCAAUACUAAAAUAUAUGGGCGGGGCCCCUGUCAUUUUAUAUUUCUUCUAGAAGGUUUGUUCUGGAAAUCUUUCACCGAAACAUAUCUUUUUCUUCUCUACGUGAUCCGUGGUUGGAAAGUUAGAAAAAUGGGUCCGUUCACAAGCCACCGAGUUGAAAAGUUGGAAAAAUGGCAACACCGCCAACCUCUUGUAUUCGAUAGUUAAAUAAAAGGUCACUGGAAGUGAGAUCCCUUUUGGCCUCUUGAUUUUCAUCCCAGCAUCUCUAUGUCCUGAUAAACUAAAAAACUAAAAAAAAAACAGUACGUGGGUUGGUGUUAAGCAUCAAGAGUCAAGACAUGAUAAUGGAGAGAAAGGAUAUUCAAAUUCCAGUUCUGACAACAUGAUUUUCUUUCCUGAACAACCAUGUUAUAUUUGAUCAAGAAAGAGUAGUGCAUGUGGCCAGGAUCAAGACAUACAUUAAUUUCCACAUGAUGAAGACAGUUUCUGAGAGUUUCUUCUAAAGCUCUUGCGCUAGUAGGCUUCAAGUCAAAAUUUCCCAUGUAAACACUGGAUUUUCUUUAAUUGCCACUAAGGAUACAGUUAAAAUUGACUUAAAAUCCUACGUGAUAUAUAUCUUUAACAAAAGUAUAUUGUAUAUAAUAUUUGAAAUAAUGUUGAUUCGUUGUGGAAAUAUGUUUGUAAGGAAAGUUGUUGACAAUUUAAUAUAGUAUAAGAAGAAAAAAGUUAUCAACUAGAGAUGAGUAUGUAAAGUGAGGCUCACGAUUCAACGCGUAAAUAUAAGAUAUUUUAAGGCUCAAUAGUUAUGAUAUCUAUUUUAUUUUUUGUAUCCCAUAUAUUCAAAGAUACAGUAAAAUGAUUUUAUAUAUAUGAACAUAGCCGAUAGUAUCAUGUUAAAACCUUAUAUGACUCUUUGUGCCAAUUGAUUUUUAUCUUUAUUUUGUGUAUUAGUAAUUAGUAUUAAAGUUUUUACUAACAUAAUAAUUGAUAUAAAAGCUUUUUCCAAAAGAGUCAAACAGAGCAAAACACUUAUUAUAAAAAGAAUUUUGAUUGAAGGUGGAGUCAAUUAUUCUUUAUUCAACAUGUGAUGCAUACAGCGGGUACUUCAUAACUAAAGUAUAUAAGUGCAACAUCUCUUAUACAUUCUCAUUCAAUCUCGAAAGUGGAAAAUUUUAAAAGAUUAAAUGGUUCAAAUUUUCCGUGCAUAAAGGGGAUCAUGUCACAUAACCAAACCAUGGCAUACCAAAGCCAUGAUAUGGACUAAGAAUUUUGUUAAAAUAAGUUUCUUAUUAGGGCACAUUAUGUGACUAUUUAUGACAUAUCAAAGGAGUCAAGUGCAUCAAUAAAGACAUAGAAAAUUCAUGCAUCACAUGUACCACUAAGAGAAAAUUGACUUGAUAGAGUUUAGUCCAAAUAGGAGAUUGUUAAAAGGUGCAUCAAAUUCUUGAUUGAUAUAUAUUUUUUUUAUUAGAAAGGUUAUUAUAUAGAUAUUUCAAUAGACUAUUAAUCCUUUGUAAAAAUAGUUAUAUAAUGAGGAUGGUGAUUAAAAAUAUCUCUAUCAAUAUUUUGGAUUAUAAAAAGAAAAAAAAUAUGAGAAAAUGAUAAACAUAUAAAACUUGUACAAGUAGAUAGAGAUGUGAUGAAAGACACUUGAUGAAUGGAGGCCUUGUAUUUCAAGAUGUAAAUAUAUGGAGCAAAACUCUUAAUUAUAUGAUCAAAUGAUUCUCUCAUAUUCAUGAACAUAAGCAGGAUUGGGGAACCAUGAUAGAAUCUUAUAUGCCUCUCCAUGUAGAUUGAUCGAUGUUUAUCUUCAUAUUUUACACCAAUGAAUGACAUUGAAACUCUGAUUGAUAAAAGGGAAAAAGCAUGGCCUCCACCACAAGAAAAACAAGUAACCUCGGUCUAAAUCACUAGUCUACACCCCGAAGAGAGAACUAGCCAAACCUACUAAAAGAGAAACUUACCAAUUUAGAAAGAAAUCUUCCAUGAUAAAGGGCCCCUAAAAGUCCAAUUCAGUCAGGUUGUGAACAAAAACACCUUCAUGUCAAAACAGGAAUAGGUACCACCAAAAUGUAAAGGGAAAGAUGUAAACCAAGUCGAACUUUGGUAAACAAUGGUAAAGAUAGCAUGAUAGCUAAAAGCACUAAAGCUGUGCUUGGUAUGCAAAAAUGAAAAGUGGAAAUCAGCGUCUUAUUCUUUUUCUCCUUUAUUCACAUAUUAGGAUAACUAAUAUCUAAUGUUUUUUUUAUGUCUCAAAUUCUAUUCCAUGUUAUGGUAAACUUUCAUCUUGUUUAAGUGGAAGAGUAGGAUCACUUUUGUCUGGUUUGGGCUCAAGACGAUAAGCCUAUAGAGACUUCAUAUUGGGUUGAAUUGAUGCCCUUGAUCCGAUCAGUUCGUUAGAAAAAUCUGAAUUAUUAUAAGCAUUUAGAUAAAAUAAAUAAAUAAAUGUGAAACAGAGACUAUUCUCUGCACAACCUUGACCCUAGUUACUCAGUUUCACUGCUCACGGGACUAACCUCUCCAUUCAGUCGAAAUGAAUUGUAAUUUCUUUACUGGUAGCAGUAGUACUUUUCAUAGCAAAGAUAAUAGUAAAUAUGAAAUAUAAAUAUAUAGAAGGAAAUCUGGAUUGUAGAUAGCACCAUAAGUAACACUCAAUAUUUACUACAUAAUAAAAGAGAUAGUGUUACAAAGGUAGAGAAACCUACAAUGAGUACUCAUCACCAUUCUCAAACAGAAACAUAGCAGUGACUUAUACAUAGAACCUAUAGGCUCGCAGGGAAAGAGUAACAUGAUAAGUGCACAGCGGGUAGCAGCUCUUAUUUUACGUAUUACUCAAAAUCUCAAACUAACCAAAGUCACUCAGUUGGGAUGGGUAGGAGAUGGUGGUUUGUGGGGUGGCUUCUGGGUAGGAGCUGGUGGCUUCUUUGUUGGAGUUGAAGGAGGCGUAAUCUUCUGAGGUGGCUUGUAUGAGUCUUUGGCACUCUCUGCAGGAGGGUGCCCAGGGUUGUGACCGGAAGGAGGUGGCUUCUGUCCCUUUGGUGGUUUGCCUAAUGGGCUUGGUGGCUUGUGCUCCGGGAGUUGUUUCUCUCCCUCGAGUAGGUUUCGAGUUUUGUCAGAUGGCUUGUGUUCUGGUGGUGGCUUCUCUCCCUGGGGUGGUUUGCCGAAUGGGCUUGGUGGCUUGUGUUCGGGGAGUGGCUUCUCUCCCUUGGCAGGUUCAGUUGGUGGCUGGUGCUCCGUAGGUGGUUUCUUCACCGCCGGCUUCUCUCCCUGGAGAAGGUUACGAGUUUUGUCAGAUGGCUUCUGUUCUGGUGGCGGCUUCUCUCCCUGGGGUGGUUUGCCAAAUGGGCUUGGUGGCUUGUGUUCGGGAACUGGCUUCUCUCCCUUGGCAGGUUCAGUUAGUGGCUGGUGUUCCGUAGGUGGUUUCUUCACCGGCGGCUUGUGCUCCGGAAGCGGCUUCUCUACCUGGAGAAGCUUACGAGUUUUGUCAGAUGGCUUGUGUUGUGGUGGUGGCUUCUCUCCCUGGGGUGGUUUGCCAAAUGGACUUGGUGGCUUGUGUUCGGGGAGUGGCUUCUCUCCAUUGGGAGGUUUAGUUGGUGGUUGGUGUUCCGUAGGUGGUUUCUGAAGUGGGGGAUGCUUGGGGUAGUCAGCAAGAGACGAGGUAGUGAGAACCACCAGUCCCAGCAGCAAUACUAGCAAGGAUGUGGAAGACAUCUUUGAGUUCAGGCUGAGAUUUGUGCAAGGCUAGAAGAAUUAGGUGGCCUUUUAUAGCGGGCUGGACCCAACAACCAAAUGACACGUAUCAUGAUACACAUAUGUGUUAUAAGAUCCUUGUGGGUCCUACAGAAGUUGAAAACUUUGACAAUUGAGGUGUGAUUACAACUUUUGUCCCUAUUGCUUUCUCGUCAGCCGUUUUGCAAGAUUUUUGACAGGAGGACGGUAGUUUAAAAUAAUAAUUUCUAAAGUACUUUUGUGAAAAAAAAUAAUUCCAAACGUGGAUUUUAUCAAGUAAAAAAAACAAAAAAAAGUUAUUUUCUUUUAAAAUCUUUUCUUCAUGAUUCAUAUACCAAAAAAAGAAUUGUUUUCUGUAGGUAAAAUUUUUAAAAUUCAUUUUUAAAAAAAAAAAAUUACACACUAAAAUUAUCUCUUCAAGAAAAUAUUUUUUAAAUUUUAAAUAAUUAUUAAUUUAUAAUUAAUUUUUUAUUAAUUAUUUAUUAAAUUUAUAUGUGAAAAAUGCAUUUAUAAAAAACAAAUUUUUUAUUAAUUUAUUAAAUAAUUAUUUACAAAAUAAAUAAUUUUGCUUUAUUUUAAUUUUAAAAUUAAUUUUAUUAUAUAAAUUUUAAAAUUAAAAAUAUUAAUAUUUAAUUUAAAAUUUAACUAUAAAAGGAAUAAAAUAUAGAAAAAUAAAUUAAUUUAUUAUUCAAUAAAUUAAUUUUCAAUAAAAUUUUCAGCAUUAAGAGAUAAAUUUUUAAGUAUUAAUCAAUUUAAAAAAUAAUAAUAAUCAUUUGUAUACUAAGAUAUUUUAUUUAGUAAUUAUGAAUGAUAAACAACUAAAGUAAUUUGAAAAAAUAAUAAAAUAUUUAAAAAUAAUAAUUUAAUACACUUAAAAUUAGAAAUGAUUAACUAUUUUUUAUUAAGAAAAAAUUGAAGAAAUAUUUUGUUAUUUAAAAUUUUUUAUUUGUUUUCAAUUUUAAAUGUUAUAGGUUUCAAGAAAAUUGAUCAAAUAAAAAUUAAGAAGUCAUUUUUUCAAAAACUAUAUAUCUAAAUAAAAGCCUUGAAAUUCAAAUACACAAUAUCAUAAAUAUAAACACCAAGUCAAUCCUUAAUUAUCAAAUGUUUUUAAUAUUAAAGAAUCAAAAUCACCUACUAUCAUGAUAAUAAGAAAACCAAUAAUAUUGUUCAUAUAAAUACUAAAAAGCUAACAAAUAUCCCAAACAAUUAAUAAAGUAUCAAACAUGAUAAAAAGUCAAUUAUUAUCAUGAAUGCAAAAAAUCAAUAAUUUUGUUUAUAUGAACCAUCAACAAAGAAAAAAAAAAUCAAUAUCUAAAUAUUAAACAUAAUUUAUAUUUUUAUAAAUAUUAUUGUUGAUAAAUAUCUUAAUAAUUAUAAUUUUUUAUAUAUUAAAUUUAGUAAAUAAAAUUAAUUAAUUUUAUAAUAUAAGAUAUAUAUAAUAAUUAAGAGACUAUUUGUCCCAAACAAUUUAUUUAUUUUUUUUUUAGGAAAUUGUCUCUUCAAGAGACGACUUCUCCCAACAUUUUUAAAAAAAAAAAAAAAAACAUCUAUUCAAAAGACGAUUUCUCCUCAUUUUUUAAAAAUGAAUUUUAGAAAUCAUAUUUUCAAAAAUGAAUUUUAGAAAUCAUAUUUUCAAAAGACGAUUUUUUUUUAUAUAAAUUAUUUUUUAAAAUGACGAUUUUAAAAGGAAAUAACGAUCUCUCUCCUACUUGGCAAAAACUAUGGUAAAUUUGGAAUUAUUUCUUCCACAACCAUAGUUUAAGAAUUAUUUUUUUAUACUUUCGUAGACUUAUCAAAAAUCCCUAUUUUGCAUGUCUCAUUUGGCAUGACUUUCUUACCUAAACAAGCAUAUAUAUAUAUAUAUAUAUAUAUAUCACUUUUGUCUGGGUUGAGUCAAUGCCCUUAACUAAUUUGUUCAUUUGAAUAGUCUAAAUUAUUAUAAGCUUUUAGUUAAGAAAAAUGUGAAACAUAAAUUACACCUCUCGGCACAACUUCGACACUGGUUACUCUGUUUCAGUUUAUUCACACAAGAUUAUUGGUUCUAGGGUUUAUUUGGUUUUGGUUUGAUUCUAAUUGCUAAACUUUCUCAAGGAAGAUGUUAUAUAGGGAGUGAGAAACCUUCACUCCUGGCUACCUCCAAGAGAAGAGCAAGUGGUCUGAAUCAAAGAUAUACUGCUCACUUUUUCUUCUUCUAAGGACAGCUAUGACCUUGCUUUAAAAUGUUCGAAUAGCCUAAUGCAACCUCCCAUUUCUCAAGUCAGCUGAUGAUGUAAGUCACCUUGGCUUUCCACAUUCAUACGGUGAGGACGUUUGUGGGUGUAAUUCUCUUAACAGUUUUCAUUUUAUAUGGAAAAAUUCAUAAUUAAGGGUAAUUACUGAUUCCAUUUGACAGUGACCAAGUUUAAAAUAUUAACUCAUGUAUUAAAUGCACAUUAAAAAAUCAUGGAAUAAAUAUAUUUACUAAUAUAUAGUUCUUUUGUCAUGUUCUGUCACAGAAGCAUCGAACUUUCCCUAGAAAUUUUUGCAUGGUAUUCUGCUUAUGAUUUUGAAAACUCUAGGCACCUAAGGCCACUGAUUGCAUGGUUGGAUGAGGAGCUGCAUGAGAUUAUGUAUCCUGUUGCUCCUUAACUACAAAUAUCAGUUUUAAGUAGCAUCUCCAUGUGACAUUUUCCUGAUGCAAUUUCGCUGUCCACCAACAAAUGUCUCCAUGCAGCUAGAUGAAUUGUAAUUUCUUUGUUGUUAUCAACAGCUUUAAUUAAUCUUGAUAUAUAUAUAACUUAGUAGAAGUAAUUAAUCUAGAUUGUAGUUGCACUAAGAUAAUAGGCAAUAUUAUAACAGUGCCACAAUGCUCAUCGCCAAAUAGAAAGGUAGAAAAACUACAAUGAGUAACUCACACAACAUUCUCAAACAGGACAUAGCGGCGACUGAUACAUAGAACACUAUUGGCACUCAGGAAAUGAUAAGAUCAGUGCCCAGCAGGCAGCACGUCUUAUUUUACAUACUACUUAAAACUAACCAAAGUCAUUCAGUUGGGAUGGGUGGGAGAUGGUGGUUUGUGCGGUGGCUUCUUUCCUGGAACUGGUGGUUUUUUUGUUGGAGUUGAAGGAGGCUUAAUCGUCUGAGGUGGCUUGUAUGAGUCUUCAGCACUCUCUGCAAGAGGGUGCCCAGGGUUGUGACCAUAAUGAGGUGGCUUCUCUCCCUUAGGUGGUUUGCCAAGUGGGCUGGCUGGCUUGUGCUCCGGGAGCGGCUUCUCUCCCUUAGGUGGUUUGCCAAAUGGGCUUGCUGGCUUGUGCUCUGGGAGCGGCUUCUCUCCCCCAAGAAGUUUGCGGGUUUUGUCAGAUGGCUUGUGUUCUGGUGGUGGCUUCUCUCCUUGGGGUGGUUUGCCAAAUGGACUUGGUGGCUUGUGUUCGGGGAGUGGCUCCUCUCCCUUGGGAGGUUUAGUUGGUGGCUGGUGUUCCGUAGGUGGUUUCUCAACCGGGGGCUGGUGCUCCGUAGGUGGUUUAUGAACUGGGGGAUGCUUGGGGUAGUCAGCAAGAGACGGGGUGGUGAGAACCACCAGUCCCAGCAGCAACACUAGCAAGUAUGUGGAUGACAUCUUUGAGUUCAGGCUGAGAUUUGUGCAAGACUAGAAGAAUUAGGUGGCCUUUUAUAGCUGGCUGCACCCAACACUCACAUGACACGUAUCACGGUGACACAUGUGCUAUGGGAUCCAUUUGGGUCCUACAGAAGUUGAAAACUUUUGACUAUUGAGGUGUGAUCACAACUUUUGUCCCUAUUGCUUUCUCCGCAACCGUUUUACAUGUUUCCUUUGUGGUGUUUAAUAGUGUUUUUUUCCUUAAUUCUAAAUAAACCUUAAUACUUAAUAAUGUUAAAUAUUAGGUUAUUUAUUUUUAUAAUAUUUUAUUUAUAUUAAGUAUUAAAAAGUAAAGAAAAAUCAAUAUAUUUAUUUUUCUAUUUAGAAAAAACUAUAUAUUUUUAAUUUUUUUAUUUAAUAAAAAAUUUAUAAUAAAUCAUGAAAAAAUAGAAAAACAAACAACCUAAAUUUUAAAAAUAAAUUGUUUUUAGUAAAAACCCAAAAAAACAAACACCACCUUAACUAAACAAAUAUAUAUUAUAUUUAGUUAAGAAAGAGUAAAGUGUAUAUGGCUCAAAUCAAGGAAGAGAAACAGAAUAAGUGGAAGACAAUCAAUUGUGAUAAACAGAUAUAUUACAUGCAUGUAGUACUAGUGACUUUAUCAUUUACUUUUAUACAAUAGAUCAUCACACUCUUUCUUCUAAAUAUUUUGGAGGAUAAUGGUACAUGUUGCUUGUUGCCAAGUCAAAAUUGGUGGCAAAAAUCGGCAUGAUACGAAAGGAUUGGUGAAAAGAUUCACAUAGAUGGUGCUUUGUGCAAUGCAGUCUUGCUCUAAUUCAACAGAGUGGACCAUGGUGAUGUAUUUUAAAUUUUAAAUUUUAAAUUAAUGCAUGCUUCAAAGUUUUAACUAGAUGUCACUUCCAUGGAUUUUUGUUCAUUUAAUUGAGAACAGGAUAGGCUAUCAAACUUGAAGUAAUAUAAAAAUCCCUUCAUUACUGUAACUAAUGAAAGAUCAUUAUCUGCGCUUGGUAUUUUGCCAAGGUAUUUGCUGCUCUUUCUAGCCCUAUCUUACAGUUAAGGACAAUGUGAUCUAGUUAACCUUAGAAGCUAUUCCAUGUCAUAUACAAGAGAUCAAGCACAUUAUCUUUGGGCUCAGUUCAAAACUAUAAUAUAUGGGUGGGGUGGGGGCCUAUACCAUUUGCAUAUCACCACUAUUGGUUUAGUUUGGAAGGUUUCUUCUGGAAGAUUGCUUUCUGGAAACAUUUCAAAGAAAUAUAUCUUUUUGUUCUCUUGGUGACGAGCAGCGGCAAUCAAGUCUGUUGACAAACAACCGAGUUGAAAAGUUUGAAAAUUGGUCACAGCCCACGUCCAUGGUUAAGGAAAAGGUCACUGGAAGUGAUCCCUUCUGGGCCUGUUGGAAGCAGGGGAGGUUAACACACCAAGCAACAAAGAACAGAGAUAUGCUGCUACUGAUCUAUAUUUUUUAUUUGAUCAUAAGGCUAAAUUUAUACAGAUUGUGUAACAGAUAUGACCUCAAAAAAAAGCAUCAAAUCAAGCUACUUGUUGAACAAACAACUACCUUCUACAAAAUAACAUCAAAAUUUAACUUAAAAGCAAAAACAUAAAAAUAGCAACAGCAAAAAUAGAAACAUAAAAAUAGCUUCAGCAUUCUAGUAAUCUCGUUGACUUCAAUUGCAUGUGGUUGACGAUUUCAGCCUUUUCCUCAGCAGCUACUAAGGCAUAACUCUCAACACUCCUCCUUGACUUAGGAGGUGCAAACUCCAAGUCUUUCUCAUAGAAACUCAAAUCUUAUUUUAGGAAGAGCUUUAGUCAGAAUAUCUACAUUUUGACUGUCUGUAUUGCAGUAGACUAGUUGUAUAUCUCCUUCUUUCUGUACUUCCCUCAAAAAUUACAAUUUAAUCUUGAAGUGCUUUGUUUUACCAUGAAAAACUGGAUCAUUUGCAAUAGAUAUAGUGGCCUGGUUGUCUACAAACACCUUUGUACUCACUUCUUGCUUCAUAUCCAAAUCUGUCAGCAACUUUCCAAGCCAUAAGGCUUGAUUUACAGCUGUAACAGCAGCAAUAUACUCUGCCUCAGCUGUGGAUUGAGCCACGACUUCUUGCUUCCUUGAACUCCAUGAAAAAACACCAGAACCAAAACUAAAACAAUAGCCUGAAGUACUUCUCAUAUCGUCAACACAACCAGCCCAAUCACUAUCAGAAAAUCCAUGAAAAUUGAAACUUUGAACUUGACUGAACUUAAUGCCAUAAUCCACAGUGCCUUUAACAUUUCUUAUCACACGCUUUGCUGCCUGGAAAUGAAUUUCACUAGCACAAUGCAUGUAUCUCGAAAGUAGACUUACAGCAUGCAUUAUAUCGAGUCUUGUUGCAGUCAAGUACAUUAAGCAUCCAAUCAUGCUUCGAUAAAGUCCUUCAUCUACCUUUUUAGCACCGUCCUCCUUACAGAACUUCUCUUUCUGGUUCAUAGGGGUAGAUGUAGGUUUGCAUUCCUCCAUUUUGAAUUUCUUCAUAAUUUCUUUGGCAUAUUUUUGUUGGCAGAUGAAAAUCUCAUUCUGCUUCUGGUGUACUUCCAUUCCCAAGAAGUAAGACAUCUCAUCUAGGUCUGUCAUCUCAAAAACCUGCUCCAUUUCAGCCUUGAAUUUGUUCACAAACCCUGCAUUACUUCCUGUUACAAGCAAAUCAUCAACAUAUAGAGAAACAAUUAAUAUAUCUUCUUCAAUCUUCUUAAUGUAGAGUGUAAAUUCACUCAAGCUCUUGUGAAAGCCUAAAGUUAGCAGGUGAGUGUCAAUCCUGCUGUACCAAGCUCUAGGGGCUUGUCUUAACCCAUACAAGGCCUUCUUAAGAAGGUAUACUUUUUCUUCUUUUCCUUUGAUAGCAAAACCUUCUGGUUGUUCGACAAAAAUCUCUUCCUCUAAGUAGCCAUUCAAAAAUGCUGACUUCACAUCUAGUUGAUAAAUCUUCCAUUUUCUUUGAGCUACAAGAGCCAACAACAUCCUGAUUGUAUCCAAACGAGCUACUGGUGCAAAGGUUUCCGAAAAGUCAACACCAAACAUUUGUGCAUACCCUUUGACAACCAGCCUUGCUUUAUGUUUGUUUAUAGAACCAUCAGAGUUGAGUUUGGUUCUGUAAACCCACUUAACCCCAAUAGGUUUUUUGUGUGAAGGUCUAUCUACUAGCUCCCAAGUGUUGUUCUUGUCAAUCAUAUCUAGCUCCUCCUGCAUUGCAACCCUCCAUCUUUUAUUUUCAGCAGCUUCAACAAACCCUGCAAGUUCAAGAACAGCUAUAUUACACCUUUGAUAAAUAUCAAAAAGUGUCAUGAAACCUCUAACUGGAAGUUCAUCAACAUCUUCAUCAAUAUAUUGCUGAUUCUGCUCAUCCCAACUCCAUUUCUCCGUUUCCAAAAACUUAACAUCUCUACUUACCACAAUUUUACUAUUUUGUGGCAAGUAGAUUCUGUAAGCUUUUGAGGUGCUGUUGUAUCCAAUGAAAAUUCCUGGUUCUGACUUUUUAUCUAGCUUGUCUCUUUUCACCUGAGGAACAUAAGAGAAACACAAGCAACCAAAGGUCUUUAAAUUCAUUAGCAUAGGCUUAUAAGCAAACCAGGCCUCAAAAGGUGUCUGUUUCUGCAAUGCUUUUGUUGGUAGUCUAUUUAGCAAAAAUACUACUGUAUUUGCAGCUUCAACCCAAAAACUUUUUGGCAGCUCUUUCUCAUGCAAAAGACAUCUUGUCAUUGAUUACUACUCAAAAAGUGCUAUUUGAUAGCCUUUAAUUAAUCCUUUUUAACACUUUUGAGUAGUAGUUUAGGCCUUUUAACUCAAUUGGCAUGUUAAGGAUCCUUUAAAGCAAUUUUGAUCACUUUGUGCAAGUUUUGGUGUUUUUGUUAGUAUUUCGAUCACCAAAGCAAGUCAAGAAUGAGGAGAGCUAUGAGGAAUCUUGGGCAAAGCUUAGAAUUCAAUUGCCAAGAGUGAAUCCGGAUUGCAAGGAGAAAAAGCAAAGAGGAUCAGUCAUGGAGCAUAUUCUUGAUGACAGUCGUAGCAGCCACUUUUGGAUCACUUUCUGAAGUCCAAAUGAUGCAAGCUAUAUACCAUUUCAAAGCUCAGGAAGUCAACAAUCCAAUGCUUCAAACGGUGUGCGAUUCGGAAUUGAAACGAAGAAGUUGCAGCCAUUACAAGCCAGACACUCUAAAGUGUUGCGGAAUCAGCCAUGUGUUGCGAGAAUUUCGCAGCACUUUUGUACAGUAAGGUGUUUCUCCUUCUAACGAUGCACGAACCAUGCCGCGAGAAGGGAGCUGGAAACUUCAAGAUGGAAGCCAACUUUGCAGCCUAGUGAAGAUAGCUCGGUCUUGCAAGAUAAUUUCGCAGCCCUCUUGGGUGUCUGCGAAAUUUCGCAGGCCUCAUUUUUCACCUGCGAAAUGGCUCUUGAAGCCUCCCGAAGCUUGCUACCGACAUUGGGAGAUAUUUUCCAUUAGAUUUUUGUUGUCUAAAUCCCAAAAUACUCCUUGUAAACCACCAAUUACAUGAUUCCUUAGUUUUUAAGUUAGUAAAAAGACCAAAUAUCUUUGUAACAAUUAGUUUUAUAUUUUGUUGUUAUAAAUACCUCUCGGGAGCCUGUUCUCAGGGAGGAGUUCCUUCUGUAAACGUUUGGUAAGCAAGUAAAGUCUAUUUUCUUUCUACUGCCUUACCUUCUCACUUUGUAUUUUCAUUUUAUUUCUAAGUUAUGAAUUCUCUGAGGAGUUUUCCCCAAAGAAUGAGUAACUAAACCUCCAAUUCCUUGGAGCUAAGGUUGCCGGGGAAGGUUCCAAGUGCAAGAAUGCAAAGCUCUGUGGUUUUAGCUAGUAAUGAAGAGGAAGUGAAAUCCUUUAGUGAUUUCAAUGUUUUUAGUUAACUUAAAACACUUUGGAGUCACCUGGGCCAACACUUGGUAAGGCAAGUGAUUUCCAACCAUGGAAAUGCACUAGUUUACCCCUUGCGAGCCUCUGGUAGGUGACUUCAAGGUAGGAUUUUCUGGAAUUACCAACACUUGGUAAGCUUUUGGACUCCUAGGAGACAUCCAUUAGUUAUCUCUUGCGAGUUUGUGAAGGGAAUCCAAGGUUAAAGAUCACCUUGAAUGGUAAGUGCUCGUGAGAGGCAUGAACCAUUGCAAGUUGUAUCAGUGAGAGAAUUAAAGUGAAAUCUAAUUGAAGGAGUCUUUGUACAUCACCGGUUAGAGAAUUGACUAUAAGUUGAAUCUCUAAUGCGAGGAAAUGAACCAACUGACCAGAGCCGUGUCUUUUGCAUGAGGAACCACCCCAGUGAACCUAAAUCUCCAAGGAAUGUUUUUUUCUUCCUAAAUUAUUCCAAACUUCUGUUAAGUUAGUUAGUUUAAAUCUCAACCUUUACAAAUCAAAGUUUGUGUUUUAUUCCUUAAGCUAACCGUGAAAUGAAACAAGACCAAUUCACUUGGAAUUGGUAUCAUUGAUUGCCUGCAAAUCAUUCCCAGUGAACGAUCCUAGAGCCACUAUACUAUAGUAGCUUUGUAUUUGCUACCCUAGUGUAUGGUGUUAUAGGUAUAAAUUUUGUUGAUCACUUCCUCAAUCAAGGAGCACCAGCUGAACACAAAUCAGCUGAGACACCAAUUAGGCAUGAGUCAAAUGGCGCCGUUGCCGGGGAAUGAAUGUCAAGUUCAUUGUGAUACCAUUGUUGAGCACUUGUGAUUUUCAUCACAAGUUGGUAAAGUUUCUUUCACUUUACUAAUUUUCAUUCUUUCUUUGUUUAUUUACAAUCUAAGUUUAUCUUUUUAAAUUUUAGUCUAGUUUAAUUUUGUUGUUGUAGCCCUGUUUUUCUUGUUGUCCUCUGUUUUCAUUUUUUUUUUCAGGUAGAUACUAGUUGUGUAUGCCCAAGUGGAUACGAGACAUAGGAGGUAGGCUUGUUAAGUGUGAUACACCUCAGAAAGGAGAAUUUGAAGUAAUCUUGAAUAUCAUGGAGGCUGCACCUGAAGAUCAGCAUAGUCACCAAGGUCGUCAAGACAAUCUCAAUGAAUUCAGAUCAAUGAGGGACCGUAUGCAUCCACCUCGUAUGAGUACACCAUCAUGUAUAGUGCCCCCUACAGAGCAGCUAGUGAUCAGACCAUAUCUUGUUCCACUUCUACCAACUUUCCAUGGGAUGGAAAGUGAGAAUCCGUAUGCACACAUCAAGGAAUUUGAAGAUGUUUGUAAUACAUUCCAAGAAGGAGGAGCUUCAAUUGACUUGAUGAGGCUUAAGUUAUUUCCUUUUACUUUAAAGGAUAAGGCCAAAAUUUGGCUUAAUUCUUUAAGGCCAAGGAGUAUCCGCUCUUGGACUGAUUUACAAGCUGAGUUCCUUAAGAAAUUUUUUCCUACUCAUAGAACAAAUGGCUUGAAAAGGCAAAUUUCAAACUUCUCAGCUAAAGAGAAUGAGAAAUUCUAUGAGUGUUGGGAAAGAUACAUGGAAGCUAUAAAUGCUUGUCCUCACCAUGGCUUUGAUACUUGGCUAUUGGUGAGCUAUUUUUAUGAUGGUAUGUCCUCCUCAAUGAAGCAACUCCUCGAGACAAUGUGUGGAGGAGAUUUCAUGAGCAAAAAUCCAGAGGAAGCUAUGGAUUUCUUGAGCUAUGUAGCUGAUGUUUCAAGGGGAUGGGAUGAACCAACUAAAGGAGAAGUGGGAAAGAUGAAGUCUCAGUUGAAUGCUUACAAUGCAAAGGCUGGGAUGUAUAAUUUGAAAGAAGAUGAUGACAUGAAAGCAAAGUUGGCAGCUAUGACAAGAAGAUUGGAGGAGCUGGAGCUGAAAAGAAUGCAUGAAGUGCAAGCUGUUGCUGAAGCACCAGUGCAAGUGAAGCUGUGUCCCAAUUGUCAAUCAUUUGAACAUUUGGUGGAGGAGUGCCCUGCAAUUUCAGUUGAAAGGGAAAUGUAUAGAGAUCAAGCAAAUGUUGUUGGACAAUUUAGGCCCAAUAACAAUGCUCCUUAUGGAAAUACCUACAAUUCAAGUUGGAGGAAUCAUCCAAAUUUCUCAUAGAAGGCCAGAGCAACUCAAUACCAACAGCCGGAUCCACCAUCUCAGCAAUCUUCAAGUAUUGAACAAAUAAUAGCCAAUCUCAGCAAGGUAGUGGGAGAUUUUGUGGGAAAGCAAGAAGCCACCAAUGCUCGAGUUGAUCAAAGAAUGGAUAGAAUGGAGAGUGUGUUGAACAAAAGAAUGGAUGGAAUGCAAAAUGAUAUGAACCAAAAGUUUGAUAACAUCCAAUAUUCAAUUUCAAGGCUUACAAAUUUGAAUACACUGCAAGAAAAAGGAAGAUUUCCUUCUCAACCUAACCAAAAUCCCAAAGGUGUCCAUGAAGUGGAAAGCCAUGAGGGAGAAUCAUCACAGGUGAAAGAUGUGAAAGCUUUGAUCACUCUAAGGAGUGGUAAGAAAAUUGAGCAGCCAACACCCAUGCCACAUGUUGAGAAAGAAGAAGGGAUAAAGAAAGGAAAGGAAAUAGAAGAUAAAGACAGUGAGAUCAGUGAAGAAAAGAAGGACUCUGAUUCAACAAUCAAAGCAAUUCCAGAGAAAGAGCUUCUGAAGGAAGAAAUGCUGAAGAAAUCAACUUUUCCACCUUUUCCUCAAGCAUUACAGGGGAAAAAGGGGGUUAGAAAUGCAGCUGAAAUCCUUGAAGUCUUAAGACAAGUAAAAGUUAAUAUUCCACUGCUGGAUAUGAUCAAACAAGUUCCAACGUAUGCAAAAUUCCUAAAGGACUUGUGUACUAUCAAAAGAGGGGUUGACUGUAAACAAGAAAGCCUUCUUGACUGAGCAAGUAAGUGCAAUCUUACAAUGCAAGUCUCCUUUGAAGUACAAAGACCCUGGAAGUCCUACCAUUUCAGUCAUGAUUGGAGGAAAGGUAGUGGAGAAAGCCUUGCUAGACUUGGGAGCAAGUGUGAAUUUGCUUCCAUACUCUGUCUACAAGCAACUGGGACUUGGAGAGUUGAAGCCAACAGCAAUCACUUUAUCUUUGGCAGAUAGAUCAGUGAAAAUUCCAAGAGGAGUAAUUGAGGAUGUAUUGGUUCAAGUGGAUAAUUUCUACUAUCCAGUAGAUUUUGUUGUUCUUGAUACUGAUCCAACUGUAAAGGAAGCUAAUUUAGUUCCUAUCAUCCUUGGAAGGCCAUUUCUUGCAACUUCAAAUGCAAUCAUCAACUGUAGAAAUGGGCUUAUGCAACUCACUUUUGGUAACAUGACACUGGAUCUCAAUAUUUUCUAUAUGUCUAAAAAGCAAAUCACUCCUGAGGAAGAAGAAGGUCCAGAAGAGCUAUGUAUUAUUGAUACUUUGGUGGAGGAGCACUGCAAUCAGCAUAUGCAAGAUAAGUUGAAUGAAAGUCUUGUGGAUAUUGAGGAAGGUUUUUCUGAAUCUCCUAUUGGGCUUGCUACUCUACAAAGUUGGAGAAAGAUAGAAGGAAUUCUACCUUUGUUCAAUGAAAAAGAGGAGGCAACUGUUGAAGAAGAAAUUCCAAAACUCAAUUUGAAGCCUUUACCUGUGGAGCUGAAAUAUACAUAUCUUGAAGCAAAUAAUCAAUGUCCUGUUGUGAUAUCCUCAUCUCUGACCAGUCAUCAAGAGAAUUGUUUAAUGGAAGUUCUCAUGAGGUGUAAGAAGGCAAUAGGAUGGCAAAUAUCUGACUUGAAAGGCAUUAGUCCUUUAGUUUGUACUCAUCAUAUAUAUAUGGAGGAGGAAGCAAAGCCAAUUCGUCAAUUUCAAAGAAGGUUGAAUCCUCAUCUACAAGAGGUGGUGCGAGCUGAGGUGCUGAAGCUACUUCAAGCAGGAAUCAUUUACCCUAUUUCUGAUAGCCCUUGGGUGAGUCCUACUCAAGUGGUACCAAAGAAGUCAGGGAUCACAGUGAUUCAAAAUGAAAAAGGGGAAGAAAUUACUACACGCCUCACUUCAGGUUGGAGGGUGUGUAUUGAUUAUAGAAAGCUGAAUGCUGUCACCAGGAAGGAUCAUUUUCCAUUGCCAUUUAUUGAUCAAGUGCUGGAGAGAGUCUCUGGACAUCCAUUUUAUUGUUUCUUGGAUGGGUAUUCAGGCUAUUUUCAAAUUGAAAUUGAUUUGGCAGAUCAGGAAAAGACCACUUUUACAUGUCCAUUUGGAACAUUUGCUUAUAGAAGAAUGCCUUUUGGUUUAUGCAAUGCACCUGCUACAUUUCAAAGAUGUAUGUUGAGUAUUUUCAGUGAUAUGGUGGAGAGAAUUAUGGAGGUUUUCAUGGAUGACAUCACCGUAUAUGGAGGUACAUUUGAGGAGUGCUUGGUUAAUUUGGAAGCAGUUCUUCAUAGAUGCAUUGAAAAAGAUUUGGUGCUGAACUGGGAGAAAUGCCAUUUUAUGGUACGUCAAGGAAUUGUCCUUGGCCAUAUCAUCUCUGAAAGAGGCAUUGAAGUUGAUAAAGCAAAGGUGGAGCUUAUUGCCAAAUUACCAUCUCCAACAACUGUGAAAGGAGUAAGACAGUUCCUUGGCCAUGCAGGGUUCUAUAGGAGGUUUAUAAAAGGUUUUUCAAGUCUUUCAAAACCUCUUUGUGAGCUGUUAGCUAAGGAUGCUAAGUUUAUAUGGGAUGAAAGGUGUCAGCAUAGCUUUGAUCAACUGAAGAAGUUUUUAACAACAACUCCAAUAGUGAGAGCCCCUAACUGGCAAUUACCUUUUGAACUGAUGUGUGAUGCCAGUGACUUUGCUAUAGGAGCUGUGCUUGGCCAAAGAGAAGAUGGGAAGCCCUAUGUGAUUUACUAUGCAAGUAAAACACUAAAUGAAGCUCAGAGGAACUACACAACUACAGAGAAAGAAUUGUUAGCUGUGGUAUUUGCUUUGGACAAAUUUCGAGCUUAUUUAGUGGGGUCUUUCAUCAUUGUCUUCACUGACCAUUCAGCCUUGAAGUAUUUAUUGACAAAGCAAGAUGCAAAAGCAAGGUUGAUUAGAUGGAUUCUAUUGUUACAAGAGUUCGAUCUUCAAAUCAAAGAUAAGAAAGGAGUGGAGAAUGUAGUAGCUGACCACUUGUCAAGGUUAGUUAUAGCACAUAAUUCCCAUCCCUUGCCUAUCAAUGAUGAUUUUCCUGAAGAAUCACUCAUGUUCCUAGUGAAAACUCCUUGGUAUGCUCAUAUUGCUAAUUAUUUAGUAACUGGGGAAAUUCCAAGUGAGUGGAAUGCACAGGACAGGAAGCACUUCUUUGCCAAAAUUCAUGCUUAUUAUUGGGAAGAGCCCUUUCUCUUUAAGUAUUGUGCAGAUCAGAUUAUUAGGAAGUGUGUCCCUGAAGAUGAGCAGCAAGGGAUUCUAUCUCAGUGUCAUGAGAAUGCAUGUGGAGGCCACUUUGCCUCUCAGAAAACAGCCAUGAAGGUAUUACAAUCAGGGUUUACUUGGCCAUCUCUUUUCAAAGAUGCCCACAUCAUGUGUAGAAAUUGUGAUAGAUGCCAAAGGCUUGGAAAGCUAACAAAAAGAAAUCAAAUGCCUAUGAACCCCAUUCUGAUAGUUGAGAUAUUUGAUGUUUAGGGCAUUGACUUCAUGGGACCUUUCCCAAUGUCUUUUGGUAAUUCUUACAUUUUGGUGGGGGUAAAUUAUGUUUCUAAAUGGGUUGAGGCAAUCCCCUGUAAGCAAAAUGAUCACAGGGUGGUUCUCAAGUUUCUUAAAGAGAACAUUUUCUCAAGAUUUGGGGUGCCCAAGGCCAUAAUCAGUGAUGGAGGAGCUCAUUUUUGCAACAAACCUUUUGAAGCUCUGUUAUCCAAGUAUGGAGUGAAGCAUAAGGUAGCCACACCUUAUCAUCCUCAGACAUCCGGGCAAGUUGAGCUAGCUAACAGGGAAAUAAAGAACAUUUUGAUGAAAGUGGUGAAUUCCAACAGAAAAGAUUGGUCUAUUAGGCUUCAUGAUUCAUUGUGGGCAUAUAGAACAGCUUAUAAAACUAUUCUUGGGAUGUCUCCCUAUCGUCUUGUCUAUGGCAAAGCAUGCCAUCUCCCUGUGGAAGUUGAAUACAAAGCUUGGUGGGCAAUAAAGAAGCUGAAUAUGGACUUGAUCAAGGCCGGAGAAAAGAGAUUUCUAGACCUUAAUGAGAUGGAGGAAUUAAGAAAUAAUGCUUAUAUCAAUUCCAAAGUUGCAAAACAGAGGAUGAAGAAGUGGCAUGAUCAACUCAUCUCCAACAAGGAAUUUCAGGAAGGGCAAAAAGUUUUGAUGUAUGACACAAGACUCCAUAUCUUUCCUGGGAAGCUCAAAUCAAGGUGGAUUGGUCCAUUUGUUAUUCACCGAGUAUAUUCCAAUGGAGUGGUGGACUUAUUGAAUUCCAAUGGCAAGGAUAGCUUUAAAGUCAAUGGAUAUCGUCUCAAGCCGUUCAUGGAGUCAUUCAAAUCAGAAAAGGAGGCAAUCAACCUCCUUGAACCUCAAAAAGCCUAAGUGAAAAGGGUUUGCUGGACGUGGCUUUACCACAGUCCAAAAUUUUUGUAAAUUUUGUAAAUUUUCAAGUUGUUUCUAUACUUUUGAUUUUAGUUUUUGAUCUUAAAUCAUGUUUUUAGGUGUGUUUUAAUCGUUUUAAAUGAUCCCAGGUGGAAGAAAUUUCAAGGGGAUUGAAAGAAAAAAAAUCGGGUCGAAAUUGGAGCCGAAACAGAGCAAAAACAGGGGAAAAACAGAGCUCUGCGAAAUUUCGCAGGGUGAAGGAAACCUCUGCGAAAUGAGCAUUUUGUUGCGAAACCAUUCCGCAGCACUGUAGAAGCCUCUGCGAGUGUAUUUCGCAGCUGCGAAAGUGAAUUUGGCACACGAGUGCCACUUCGCAGUACAGUAGCAUCCAUUUGGCAGCUGCGAAACUCAUUGCGAAAUGGAAAAGCGUGAUUUCGCACCAAAAGUCCCAUUCCGCAGGGUAUUUCGCAAUUGCGAAAGUGGUUUUGGCACACGAGUGCCACUCCGCAGCACAGUAACAUCAAUUUCGCAGCUGCGAAACUCACUGCGAAGUUGCUGCGAAAAUGGCAAGUUGCUGCGAAAUUGGCGUUUAGUUGCGAAACUUAAACUGACCCCUGAGCUUCCGUUUUUCCUAUUUAUACCGGUCAAAAGUGCUGCGAAAAGGGUUUCAAAAAUCAGAGCACCAUUCUCGCAGCCCCUUCAUCUUCUUCGCCAAGCCACGCCGUCCGAACCUCCGGUCGUCUUCUCCGUUUAGCAGCGCCGGCCAAAGAUCGAUAUUCCAAAAUGGCACGAACGCGAGGGGCAAAAUCUUCAUCCCCUUCGAAUCGCAAAAGGAGUCUGCGAAAGGAGCCAAGUCCAGGUUCUGCUCCAGAACCUGCUCCAAAGCCUUCGCCGUCGAGACCACAACCUUCUCCAGUGAAGCCGGCGCCACUAAAGCCGCCGGCAAGACGAUAUUUGACAAGGUCAGGCGGUUGGCCAUUGAAGAAGAAGCCCAGGGUUGAGAGCUCUGAACCAAUUGAUUUGACUGAGCAAUCCCCUGAGCAGUCCCCAAAUCCUUCACCAGUUCAAACUCCAGUGCCGUCACCGGUUCCCUCGCCAAUUCCCUCACCUGAAGCAACUCCAAUUCCAUCGUCGGUACCAUCUCCGGCACCCCAAGAAAAAGCUCAGGAGCCUCAAGCGCCAAUUCCAGAGCCCCAAAUUGCAGCUGAAGCACCUCUGGAAGAAGUGAUCCGAAGGCCAAUGCUGCCCCAGCCCCCAAUCGAAGGAAACUUGGAUUGUCGAACACGGGCAUUCCAUUCUGAGCUUUGCUUCGAUUUAACAGCAUUCAGAGUGAGGCCAGAGCUUGCCCAAUCCUUCCAGCUGCUGAGGAGAUAUCAUAUGGAGCAUCUGCUAGCUCCAAGGGAUUUUUUCUAUCCCCGGGUAGUCACGGACUUCUACCAGACCAUGACAACCAAAGAAGUAAGAAAUCCAACUCUGAUCCAUUUCAUAAUUGAUGGAAGGCAUGGUAUUUUGGGAGCAAGACACAUUGCUGAAGCUCUGCAAAUUCCUUUUGAGCCAACCCAAUUCGACAAUUUUAAAGCUUGGGUAAAUCCUACUGAGUUAGAGAUGGUUCGCACACUAACCAGAGGAGCUGCAAAUCGAUCACACCUGUUGAGGGGGGAGCUACCUCCAGUGAUGUUUUUGAUUGAUGCCUUUUUGAGGCAUAAUAUCUAUCCCCUGCAGCAUUGGACCCAAAGAAGGGGAAUUCUCCUGGAAGCUUUGUACAAGAUGUCAGAAGGAUUCUUCUUUGGGCCCCAUCAUCUUAUCAUGGCAGCCCUUCUAUACUUUGAGGAAAAGGUUCACAAGAAGAAACUUCAAAGAGCAGAUUGCAUUCCACUCCUCUUCCCAAGGCUGCUAUGCCAAGUUUUGGAGCAUCUCGGAUACCCCUCUGAGCCUCAGCAGGAAAGAAAGAGAAUAUGCCGUGAGCCAUUUACUCUUGAUAAAUGGAAUAAUAUGACGGCCUACAAAAUUGAUCAGCCUGGGCAGCCUCAGCCAGCAGCAAGGAGAGCCUCCCCAAGACAUGCACCUGAAGGUAUAACACUUGCUACUCCUGCCAUCCCUCGAGCUUCACCAGCUGCACCUGCUGCAUCACAGCCAUCCACAUCAGCUGAGCCGAGGAUGGCCAUCCCUAUAUCCGAAUAUCGAGAGCUGUGCCGAGCAUUGGAGACUCUUACAGCUUCCCAGAGCAAUCUUGCUCAAGAGUUGGCAGCCAUCAAAGCAUGCCAGGAGCAGAUGUUAGCCUCUCAGGCUCAACAAGCUGCCAUCCUAAGGCAGCUUCAAGUCCAUUUCGAUCUGCCACAAGCUGUAGAGCCCUCCACUGAGACUCCACCAGAGCCACACUCUCAGCCUUCAGAGUCUCUUCCUCCAGAGCCAGAAGCCCCAACUGAUCCACCUACAGAGGAGGCGGAUCCUUCUGCUUAGCACCAUCACCCCACUCAUCAGACAUUAUAUAUAUUUGCUGUUUAUGUUUUUAUGCAUGUUUGUUUUGUUUUAGUUGAAAUGAAAUCCCAGUAUUUUGGUACUAUAUAUGGGAUUCCUUGUGAUUACUUGUCCUUAGCAUUGUACUCGAAUGAAUUGAAAGUAAUACAAGUUGAAUUUUUCUUGUUAAAAGUUAGCAUUAAAAUUCUCCUUAUUUCCUUUUCUCACAUAUUCUAUUCUUUUUGAAACAUGUGGUUUUCCCCAAUCAAUAUUCGAAUUUGAUAUCAGCAUGGAGGUACCACUUCCUCCCUUUUAUUACAGUCACUCAAAUCACAUUGAGGACAAUGCUCAGUUCGGUUGGGGGGUAUGAGGAAGGAAGUAUUCUAAAUCUUUUUGGUAUUGCAAUUAUAUUGGUUAAUUAGUUGUAGAUUUUACGUUUUACUCUUGUUACUCUAUUCUCCAUGAAUUUUGAGGAAAAAUUUUCAAAUUAAACCAAGAGAAAUUGAACUGUUGUUUUUCACUUGACUUAGAGUAUGGAUUAUGCUUACUAAAGUGGUUCAAUUGUUGAAACUUCUACUGAAAUUGAAUUGAGUUCUUCCAUUUUAAGCUAUCCACACACUGUGCACAUUAGUUUCUGAUUAUAAGAUGAAAAGCUAUUUCCCUCUUGACUUAGGAUAAUUUUGGGACUUGGUAUAUUUGACCUCAUUUGAUAAAAAUUGAAACACCCUGCAAAAGGCCAAUGAGCCUUUGAAAUAAAGAAAGAUGUUUGCUUGCCUUGAAACCCGAGCAAGGUCUGAGGGGCAUAUGGUGAAAGCCUUUAAAGCCUGGUGCCCUAAGCCUUAAUUGGUUGGGAGUCACCGACCUCAAUGCUCGUUACAAGGGUGAAUAGGUAGAGCUAGCAUAUGGUAGAUGCUUGGGUAUUAGAAAUUCAUUCUUAAAAGUCCAGGGAAAAAUCCGAGGAGUUAGUGGUUGAAAGAUCCUUAAAACUUGGUGCCCUAAACCUUAAUUGGUUGGGAGUCAUCGAUGGACCCCCAUUACAUGGACAAGUCAGAAAGAGUACCCCAUAAAGCUACUUUAAAAAAAAAAAAAAAAAAAAAAAAAAGAUGAUGAAAGUGUGUUCUUUUCUUAUUGAUUUUGGUCAGAUUGCUAAAGUGUUGAAAAGAGAUAGGUUGGGGGGGGAGACUAGUUUAGCAUAUUAUUCUCGGAAUCUAAGGAACCAAUACACAUAGAUUUUUGUGGAAGAUUGAAGUUUAGUUCUUAGAAAGUGAAAUGAUUUUAAAACUUCAGUUUGCAUAAUGCACUCCCUUGAUUGACAGUGUUUAGCAUAGGUGUUAUGACUCUUGUUGAGAUUUGGGUUUGUAUUUCUUUAAUGAUUCAUGUGAGAAGUAAAUCAUCAUGCCACUUAAGAAUUAUUUUCCUUUCAGCAUGAUGUUGUAAAUUUUAGAUUAGUUUGCUAUUUAUUUUUAUUUUUCUCUCCUUUAUUGCUAAGGGACUAGCAAUAUGUCGGUUGGGGGGAGUGAUUACUACUCAAAAAGUGCUAUUUGAUAGCCUUUAAUUAAUCCUUUUUAACACUUUUGAGUAGUAGUUUAGGCCUUUUAACUCAAUUGGCAUGUUAAGGAUCCUUUAAAGCAAUUUUGAUCACUUUGUGCAAGUUUUGGUGUUUUUGUUAGUAUUUCGAUCACCAAAGCAAGUCAAGAAUGAGGAGAGCUAUGAGGAAUCUUGGGCAAAGCUUAGAAUUCAAUUGCCAAGAGUGAAUCCGGAUUGCAAGGAGAAAAAGCAAAGAGGAUCAGUCAUGGAGCAUAUUCUUGAUGACAGUCGUAGCAGCCACUUUUGGAGCACUUUCUGAAGUCCAAAUGAUGCAAGCUAUAUACCAUUUCAAAGCUCAGGAAGUCAACAAUCCAAUGCUUCAAACGGUGUGCGAUUCGGAAUUGAAACGAAGAAGUUGCAGCCAUUACAAGCCAGACACUCUAAAGUGUUGCGGAAUCAGCCAUGUGUUGCGAGAAUUUCGCAGCACUUUUGUACAGUAAGGUGUUUCUCCUUCUAACGAUGCACGAACCAUGCCGCGAGAAGGGAGCUGGAAACUUCAAGAUGGAAGCCAACUUGGCAGCCUAGUGAAGAUAGCUCGGUCUUGCAAGAUAAUUUCGCAGCCCUCUUGGGUGUCUGCGAAAUUUCGCAGGCCUCAUUUUUCACCUGCGAAAUGGCUCCUGAAGCCUCCCGAAGCUUGCUACCGACAUUGGGAGAUAUUUUCCAUUAGAUUUUUGUUGUCUAAAUCCCAAAAUACUCCUUGUAAACCACCAAUUACAUGAUUCCUUAGUUUUUAAGUUAGUAAAAAGACCAAAUAUCUUUGUAACAAUUAGUUUUAUAUUUUGUUGUUAUAAAUACCUCUCGGGAGCCUGUUCUCAGGGAGGAGUUCCUUCUGUAAACGUUUGGUAAGCAAGUAAAGUCUAUUUUCUUUCUACUGCCUUACCUUCUCACUUUGUAUUUUCAUUUUAUUUCUAAGUUAUGAAUUCUCUGAGGAGUUUUCCCCAAAGAAUGAGUAACUAAACCUCCAAUUCCUUGGAGCUAAGGUUGCCGGGGAAGGUUCCAAGUGCAAGAAUGCAAAGCUCUGUGGUUUUAGCUAGUAAUGAAGAGGAAGUGAAAUCCUUUAGUGAUUUCAAUGUUUUUAGUUAACUUAAAACACUUUGGAGUCACCUGGGCCAACACUUGGUAAGGCAAGUGAUUUCCAACCAUGGAAAUGCACUAGUUUACCCCUUGCGAGCCUCUGGUAGGUGACUUCAAGGUAGGAUUUUCUGGAAUUACCAACACUUGGUAAGCUUUUGGACUCCUAGGAGACAUCCAUUAGUUAUCUCUUGCGAGUUUGUGAAGGGAAUCCAAGGUUAAAGAUCACCUUGAAUGGUAAGUGCUCGUGAGAGGCAUGAACCAUUGCAAGUUGUAUCAGUGAGAGAAUUAAAGUGAAAUCUAAUUGAAGGAGUCUUUGUACAUCACCGGUUAGAGAAUUGACUAUAAGUUGAAUCUCUAAUGCGAGGAAAUGAACCAACUGACCAGAGCCGUGUCUUUUGCAUGAGGAACCACCCCAGUGAACCUAAAUCUCCAAGGAAUGUUUUUUUCUUCCUAAAUUAUUCCAAACUUCUGUUAAGUUAGUUAGUUUAAAUCUCAACCUUUACAAAUCAAAGUUUGUGUUUUAUUCCUUAAGCUAACCGUGAAAUGAAACAAGACCAAUUCACUUGGAAUUGGUAUCAUUGAUUGCCUGCAAAUCAUUCCCAAUGAACGAUCCUAGAGCCACUAUACUAUAGUAGCUUUGUAUUUACUACCCUAGUGUAUGGUGUUAUAGGUAUAAAUUUUGUUGAUCACUUCCUCAAUCAAGGAGCACCAGCUGAACACAAAUCAGCUGAGACACCAAUUAGGCAUGAGUCAGUCAUCUCCAUUAUUGUUUUAUUUUUUCUUUCCACCACCCCAUUUUGUUGUGGGGUGUAUGGUGCAAUGAGCUGGUGAUCUAUGCCUGCAUCUUCACAAAAUUUGUUGAAUUUUUCUGAAGUAUAUUCUGUACCAUUAUUCGACCUUAUAACCUUGAUUCUGUAUUCACUUUGAUUUUCAACCAUGGCCUUAUAUCUCAAAAACACAUCAGCAACCUCAGCUUUGUAAGUGAGAAAAUAAAUCCAACAAAAUCUUGUGAAGUCAUCAAUAAAUGCAAUAUAGUACUUACUCCCUUUCAAAGAUGGUGUCUUUUGAGGUCCACUCACAUCUGUGUGAACCAAUUGUAGUUUCUGUGUUGAUUUCCAUGCUGCUUUUUGAGGAAAAGGAAGUCUUGUUUGCUUCCCAUAUUGAUAGGCUGCACAUAUAGGAAGUUCUUCUUCCAAAUCAGGGAGUCCUUCUACAAUCUAAUUCUUCUUCAUGUAGAGCACGGUAUUGUGGUGGAAAUGCCCUAAUCUUUUAUGCCAAAGCAUUGUAUUGUUCUCGUGUUGUGCAGCAGUAAUUUGCUCAUCUUCUAACAUAUUUAAGGCAAAACUUUUGCCUUUCAUUUUUAUGUUGAACACCUCUUUGCCUUCAGCAUCCUUGAUUAUGCAAUUUUUGUCUUCAAAACAAACUUUAAACCCUUUCUCAACAAGCUGUCCAACACUUAGCAAAUUUUGGUCAAUGUCAGGCACAAACAAAACAUCAGAAAUGAGCUUUAAACCUGUUAGGCUUUCAAUAGCUAAUGUUCUUUUACCUUUUACUGGAAUAUACUCACCAUUUCCUAUUCUAACUUUGGAAAUAGUUGUCCUAUCAAUCUCCCUAAAGCGAUCUUGAUCAUGUCAUGUGGUUUGUGCAACCACUGUCCACGAGCCAGCUUUCAGAGGUGCUACCGUUUGCAAAACAUGUUGCUGAAAAUAGUUGUUCCUCCUGGUAUUGUUCAGCUGCUACAUUGGUUUCUCCCUGCUGCUGCUGAGUUCUACAGAUCCUUUCUAUGUGUCCAUGUCUACCACAUUUGUUGCAUUUCACAUCUGGUCUCCACCAACAUUUUUGUUGAGGAUGAUUUGUUUUCUUGCAAUGAGGACAGGGUGGAUAGGUUCCAGUUUUUUUAUUGUUGUUGUUGCUUGGCUUAUUGUUGUUCUUUUUGUUCUUCCUCCUUCUUGUGUUACCUUCAUUGGUCUGUGUCUUUGCUUGAAAAGCUCCUUCUACAGAACUUCCUUGCCUCAUGAGUCUUCUUUGUUCCAAAGCUUGUAAAGCAUUUAGUAGUUCUGCCAAGGUGAUACUUGACAAAUCUUUUGUGUUUUCCAAAGAAGAAAUUGUAGCUUCAUAUUUUUCAGGAAUUGUGACAAAAUUGUUUUGAACAACUCUUUCAUCAGAAAACUCUUUACCUAGCAACCUCACCUUGUUUGCUAUGGUAAGAAGUUGUUCUGCAUAAUCUUUUAUGGUUUGAGACUCUUUCAUCCUCACCAUUUCAAAUUCUCGAAUUAGAUUCAUUACCUGCACAUUUCUGACUCUUUCAUUGCCUUGAUAUUCUUCCCGUAGAUGCUUCCAGAUUUCUGCAACAGAUUCAAGUUGCAUGAUUCUGGUGAGAAUUAAUGGUGAGACUACAGAAAAUAAGCAAGCCUUGGCCUUAGCCUUCCUCGUCUUUUUCUCCUUAUGGUUUUUCAUCUGUGACACAGUUGGAUUGGCUCCAAGUGGAGAAAUUUCAUAAUCUUCCUCUAUUGCUUCCCAGACAUCAAGAGCCUGUAGAUGAACAGUCAUCCUGACAGCCUAAGUUUGGUAAUUUUCUCCAUUGAAGACUAGUGGUGCUGCUGUGAAGCUUGCUUCUUCCAUUUCUGCAAGGUUUUCAGAUUCAGGUUUGGUAUACGGUGUUUAGGCUCACACACCUCACUGGUCCCUCAAGACAAAAAUUGCUCUGAUACCAAACUGUUGGAAGCAGGCGAGGUUAACACACCAAGCAACAGAGAACAGAGAUAUGCUGCUACUGAUCUAUAUUUUUUAUUUGAUCAUAAGGCUGAAUUUAUACAGAUUGUGUAACAUAUAUGACCUCAAAAAAAGCAUCAAAUCAAGCUACUUGUUGAACAAAAAACUACCUCCUACAAAAUAGCAUCAGAAUUUAACUUAAAAGCAAAAACAUAAUAAUAGCAACAGCAAAAACAGAAACAUAAAAAUAGCUUCAACAUUCUAGUAAUCUCAUUGACUUCAAUUGCAUGUGGUUGACGAUUUCAGCCUUUUCCUCAGCAGCUACUAAGGCAUAACUCUCAACAGGGCCUCUUAAUUUCCAUUCUGGCAUCUAUAUGACCUGAUAAAUAGAAAGAAAAAAAAACAGAAGAAAAGCGGCACCUGGGUUCAUAGUAAGCAUCAAGACAGGAUGCUGAAAGAAGGGAGAGAGGAGAUUGCAAGUCCAAUCCUGAUAAAAUAUCAACAAAGAGUAUUAAAUGGGGCCAACAUAAAGACCCAUUAAGGUCAGCAGAUGGCAUGGCAUUUUUCUCCUUAAGUUUUCCAUGAUUAGGCUUGAAGUCAAAAUUUCACAUGUAAAUUUGUAUUUCUACAUUUCCCACUGACGACACCCAACUUCAACUUGAGUUAGAAUAACAUUGUGUGAACUUAUCUGGCCCUCAAAAUUUACUGUGAAGUGCUUUCUGCGUGUGAAGAUUCAGAAAAGCACCAAGGGAACAUGUAUGGUCUGCCUUUUUCUGAUGUUAUGUUUGUCUCUAAUUCUGUUCCAUGUCAUGGUAAAUGUUCACAUUGCUUGUAUGGAACACACCAGGAUCACUUUUUCAGGUUUAGGGGGAUACAAAAGGCUUCAUAUUGGGUUCAAUGCUUUUAAUGUGUUCAUUGGACAAAUCUGAAUUAUCAUACGCAUUUAGAUAAGAACAAUAAUGUGAAACCCUAGUUACACCUCCCCUGCAUAACCCCAACCCUGCUUGCUCUAUUUCAGUUUACUCACAAGUUUUACUGGUUCUUAUAAGUCAAGAAAAGGCAACUGAUGUUGGAUCGACUCUCUUCCAUGUAAAAAAUGCAACUUUUAUACAUAUAAAAGAACUUCUUCCCCUCACCAAUGUGGGAUUUCAUAGAUUUAUUCUGGAAACACAUCAAAGGAACAUCUUUUCUCUUGGGUGACCCUAAGUGGUGAGUCAGAUCAUUUGCAUGCCAUUGAGUUGCACAGUUGGAUAAAUGCACCUGCCUCCUGGGCUCCAGAGUUAAAAGGGUGGAUCCCUGGAUUGCAACCCUCUUGGCAUCUUGGUUUCUAUUCCAACAUCCACAUGACUUGACAAAACAAAAAACAGAAUAAAAUCAGCACUAUAUUCAUGCUAAGCACCAAUACAUGAUGGAAAUCAUUGCUUAAAGAUUUGGGGUCGUUUUAGGUUUUGACUGCCUCCUACCACCUCACCUAAUGACAAGUUUUUAUGCUUACAAAUCAAAUAUCGUUCUUCAUUAUAUUAAAAUCAUUUUAAGAUUUCAGAUCCAUCUGCUAAUUAUGAUUAUGAUAACAUUUAUUCACCUGUGCUUCUCAUUUUCGACACACAAGGCAUCUAGGUUUGCAGGAUUUCCUUAUUAGAUGAGAUAAAUGAGUACGUAUGGUUAUGUAUCCAGCAUUCAUUAACCAUGGUAUGUGACAUUUAGAAUUAAGAUAGCAAGCAAACUUUCCCUGCAGCUAGAGUAAAUUGUGAUUUCUUAGCCUCUAUGAGUGGUUCCCAAAUCAAAUUAACAUAGUGAAAUAUACGUAGUCCAGUGAAAGGAAAUGUAAAUUAUAAACUAACAGCACUACACUACUGGUAACAAUCGAUACUCUCUAUAUAAUGCAAUAAACAAUGUCACAAUUGCCUACAAGCAAGGCACAAACACUAGAACAAGUAAAGCACAAACCUUUCCCAACAGUUCCCAGUGACUGAUGCAUAUCAUACCCUCAACUCACAGAAGGGGAUGAUAUCAGUGCACUGCAGCACUUAUUUUACACAUACUACCACUACUACUACUACUACUACUACUCAUUAGCCAAAGUCACUCAGUUGGGAUGAGUGUGAGGUAGAGGUUUGUGGGGUGCUAUGUGGAAAGGAGUUUGGCUUCUUCUCAGGAGAUGGUAGCUUCUUUGCAGGAGUUGAAGGAGGCUUAAUCUUCUGUGGUGGAUUGAUUGUAUGAGUCUUUGGCACUCUCUUCUCUAGUACAGGUGAAUACCCAGGGGUGCAUCCAUAAUGCGGUGGCUUCUAUCCCUUAGGUGGUUUGCCAAAUUCAAAAUCGAAGGAUUUUUUUUUUUUAAGUAUACGUAUCUUUGAAAGCUUUUAUUUUGUAUGGCAAAUGGAAUGAGAGGAGCAGUCAUAUUCUAUUUGGCCAGAGCAACAUAUCACAAAUGAACAAGCUAUUUACUGCCACACUGGGCAAAACAUACAUAAUCCUUGUACUUCAAACAUCCAUGAAUUCUCAUCAUUUUCAGGACACGUUGCAUGGUCUAUCAUUCUAUAUGUCGGCAUAGUAAGUGCAGCUAAUAAGCCUAUUCAGAGCUGAAAUUCAAAAUCUAUUCACAGGAUAAUGACCUUAUUAUUGGAUUUUGCUCACUGUCAUACACACAUAUCAGAUAAAGCCCCACAUGCUCAUAAGCUACAAGCAACCUACAAGCACUAAAAUGAGUGUUAGACGUAUGAAACAUUCCCCAAUACUAGUAGUAUUACCUGUUCCAUAGAACACUAAAUUAGAAGAGAGAAGAUGUGAGACUCCAGCUUUUCUUUCUACAUAUUACUCAUAUCAAGUUGGAAUAGUUAGGCGGUAGAGGCUUGGGGUGGCUUGUGUAGGGGACUAGGCAGCUUCUCUCAGGAGUUGAUUUCGUCUUAUUCUGGAUGUCCAGGUUUCGUCCUUUCGAAUUUCCCAUGCAAAUCAGCAUUCUCCUUGGGAAACUUCACUCCGUUGGGAAACUUGUGUGAAUCUUUGGCAUUCUCUACCAGAGAAGGCCCAGGGCAGUGACCAUAAGGUGGUGGCCUUUUUUCAGGUGGUGGCUCCUCUCCCACUGGAGGCUUGUGGUAAUCAGCAAGAGAGGCAGUGGAGAGAAUCAUCACCCCAAGGAACAGCACUAGCAAGUAUUUGUGAGCCAUAUUUGGGAUCUGAUGAUGAAGACUAGAAGAUAGGAGUUGCCUCAUAUAAUGGGUUGGAGACUAUAUCUCAAGGGGACGUGUAUUUAUGCAUAUGAUCUAUAUAGGACCAUCCUCCUAAUAUUUUCAAAAUAAUGUUAUUGUCUCUCUUGGGUGACAGUUUGAUUUGGUCUAUUUCCAUGCCACUGAGUAGAAAAGUUUGACAAUUGGCUACACCACCUACCUGGAUUACAUGGUUGAAAGUGAAGAUCAGUACAGUGUGAUCACACUUGACCUCUUGUUCCCCAUUCCAGUAUCUAAUUAACCUGACAAAAGUAAAAGGAAAGGAAAAAGGGAAAAAAUAGAAUAAUGUUCAAAUAAAAACGAGAAAAAAUAGCAUAAUGUUGAUGAAUCAUGAUAAGCAUCAAGGCAUGAUAGUGAGAGAGAGGAAAGAAGACAGUGUAAUUUGCAAUCCUGAUAAUCAUUAUAUAGCAGUAACUUUAAUCAUUUUUCUAUCACAGGGAACAUGACACUCAUCUUCCUAUGGAGAUAUUGCAUAAGUUUUUUUCUUUGUAUGUCAACACUAACCAAUGAAGCAUGUUAGCUGGUUUGAAACUGAAACUGUAGCCCUCUGUUUGGUUCUUGAAAAACUUGAGAGAAAAUGGAAGUAAAGUUAAAAGGAAAGAAAAAGUGAAAAAAAAUAAAAAUAGAUUGAAAGUUAACAAAUUAUUUUUACAUGUUCCCUCAAAUUUCUUUCACUUAUUUUUCCUUUUCUAUAUAAAGAUUAAAUGAUUUAAAAAUCAUAAAUUUCUAACUAAUUAUAACUAUAUUUGAUUUUCUUUCAUAUUUUCCAAGAUAAAGUCAGACAUGAGAAAAUCAUUUUCCUUAAAAAAGAAAUUCUUUCCUUUACAGUUUCUUAGAACCAAACCUGGCACAAAAGUCCAAAUUGGGGUUUCUCCAUGUUCCAUUUUUUAUGGCUACCUUUAUGGACCAUAUAAUAUAGAAUGUACUUCUGCAUACCUUCAAGAUCAAGCUGAACUAUAAGAAAAAGACAAGCCAUGGCCCACGGAGCAGGGAUACCAAGCUGCCUUCUCCUAGAUUAAGUUCCAAGAUUUCAGUCUUCAAACCUGCUAAAAGCUAAAGGCAUGUUUCCAGCCUGCGGCAGAUAACAUGCACUGUCCAACAAUAAAUUGCAAACACAUUCGAUGCAGUUUAUUAGUACAAUAAGAUUAAAUCCACCAAAUCUUUUACAGUUCAACCAACACUUGAACUAGUAGCUAGCUUCACUACUGGGUAAUAAUAUAUAAACCAAACUCUUGAUAGGAACCAACCUAUCGCAGAUCGAACUUCUUACAUCCACCAUGAAUUACUGAACCAAAAGAAGAAUCGAAGAGACUGCCAAGGAGGAAAGCCUUCCUAUAACUAGAUAUUUAUAUUCCAAAUUAGGGAGAGCACCCACUGCCCAGGCCUCGCCCAGCAUAAACAGAUAGUAUACAUAUACAUGCAAAAAGCUCCAACCUUCAAGAUUUUAACUAUUAACUUAACACAAUUAAAAAUGUAUCCAAAAAGCAAAUCCCCUUGAACUCCUGAAGCAAUUACUCCAACCAAAUAAAGAUUUUAAGAGUUCCAUGUUCAUAUCCUGCAAGGAAAUCAUUCAAUGUUCAGACCUCUAAUUUCUGUCUUUCUAAAUGCCCAGCCAAAAGGCAUAAAGUAUCAUCCAAAUUGGAUGCACAGCAUAUGUUCUUAAAUCAUGGGAUUUCACCAUAAGUUACUACACUCUAACAGGGCCCAGAAAUUGACCUCCAGAUAUGCCUAUCAAAAAAUUAUCCCCACAUACAUUUUUCUGCUGAAAAGACAAUAUUGUUACAUUUGACAUUCAACCACUACUUGAACUCAACAACCAGGGAAAAGAAUAUAGUAUUUCUACCAAUGAGGAUGAGAGGGGCUGGUGAAUUAACAGGUAAAAGUUUGUUUUGGGUUCAUUGUUUGCAUAAUAAUGUAAAAAUGGAGUAGUAUAUUAUAAAUUAAUGUAAAAAUGGAUUAGCAUAACAUAAAUUGCCAUAAGAGAACCACAAACUACAAAGAAACUUAUUUUCCAAACAAGGAAAAUUAUUCAUAGCCAUUAUUACAUAAGAAAGGAAAUUGAUAAAAUUAUUAUCCAGUUCCCCAUCAGGAAAUAUGAAAGUACUCCUAAAAGCCUCAAUUCUAACCAGAAAACCAUAGAAAUGUAUUAGAAAUAUUGUACAGGGUUCUCUCCAAUAUUAGCUUCAGUUGCUAAGGAGAUCAGAACCUUGAAAGUAAGUCACAAAGGUCGUGUGGGUUUCCCAGAGUCUUCAACAACCAGUAUUCACAUAUGUACACAUUAAAAUUAAAUAAAGCAGGUAUCAAUUCCACAGGCUUUAAGAUUUGAAUUGCUUCUCCCUGGAAUCAUACACCACUCAUAUUGUCACUGACUUUCAAUUACUUCUCCCUGCGAUCAUAUGCCACUCAUAUUGUCACUGCCUUAGGGAACAAAGUGAAAAUCUGCAAUUUCAAUUAAUUCCAACAUAAAAAUAAAAAUCAAUCCUCAAAAAAUGGAUUGCCAGGAGGUAAAUAUAAUAGAAGACGAACAACUCUCACAACCAAGUUAAAGAAACCAGCCGCUAGGUACCUUUGAGUUCUAUACUACCAGGAACAAAUUGGAUGAGAUUAUUUAAAGGCUAUUCCACAGUGGAAAUUCAUUCGUUCAAAAAACAUUUGUCAUGCAUAUAGGCAAUCUAUCCUAUGCAUUCAUACAUCAUGGUCUCAUGCAAUCUUAAUAAAAGUGGUCCUGGAAAAAGAGAGAAAAAAGUAAUUACAAGCCUGUGCGACCAGAUUUCUUUUGUUUUUUUUUUUUUUUUCCUUUGCCAAACAACCAUGUUCAUAGUUUCAGAAGUUCAUUCUGUCUUUAAGAGACCAUGGCAGUGACUUGGCCAUUCAGCUAAGANNNNNNNNNNNNNNNNNNNNNNNNNNNNNNNNNNNNNNNNNNNNNNNNNNNNNNNNNNNNNNNNNNNNNNNNNNNNNNNNNNNNNNNNNNNNNNNNNNNNUCACCAAGGACUCCUCAACCUCAAAAUAAUAGAGAAAGUCUAGGACACCAUGUCACUACUGAGGACAACCCAACACCACAACAUUUCAGUCCGUUCAAAAAGAGUAAUUGGAAUUGUUGCAAAAAAUGUUCAACUAGUCCCAACAGGAGGCAAAUUCCUCCAUUUCUUCAUCGGGUCCGGAUCCUUUGCUCAAAAAGGUAAUUUUCUUACUGCCCUAAAAGAAAAAGGGAAAAUGUGAGUCAUUGGAUUGUUGACUCAGGAGCUUUUGAUCACAUGACUAGAGUGCCACAAUUUUUCAAAAUUAUACACCUUGUUUUGGGGAUGAUACAAUUCGUAUGGCUGAUGGUUCUCUCUCAAAGGUGACUGGUACAAGUUUUAUUGUCAUCUCUAAGGACCUAACUCUUGACUCUAUUCUUUUGGUUCCAAACUUGGAUUGCAAUCUAUUGUCCAUUAGUAAACUCACUUAUGAAAAGAACUAUGUUACUAAAUUUUUCCCAAACCAUUGUGUUUUUUAGAAUUUGAAUUCGGGGAAGACGAUUGGCAAUGUUGAAGUGUGUUUAGGACUCUAUGCCUUCAAAGUGAAUUAUUAUAUUGAAAGACAAUCUUAACCAACAGUUGGUGAAAAAUGGUGUCUUUUUGUCUUUAGUUCUAAUAAAGAUAGUGAUGUUAUGUUAUAGCACUAUUGUCUAGGACAUCCUAGUUUCUUAUAUCUCAAAAAACUCUUUCCAUGGUUUUCAGUGUGAAAUUUGUCAACUAUCCAAGCAUCUUUGCAAGCCCUAUCCAUAGUUUUAAAAGACUUAAGGCACACCAAGACGCAAAGUCCUCUUGGAGCCUUAGGCGCAAGGCACACCUAAGGCGCGAACUUUAGUAAAGUGAGGUGCAUCCUGUUUUACAUAUAUAUUUUUAUAUAAUACAAUCAAGUGCCCGAAAAUUUUCCUCUAAUUUUCCCCUUCUUCUUCAUCCUCUUCUCUUCUUCACAUUGUUCGGGAGGCUAGGACAUUUUUUUUUUUUUACAUGUCUAAAACAAGCAUAUAUUGGGUUUUGGAAGAAGAACAAGCCAAAAUGACAUCGUUUUGGAGCCUAAUCUUUUAAAUAAAUAAAUAAAUAAAUAAAAACCAGCCAAAAAUGACACCGUUUUGGCCCCUGUUCUUUUAAAAGAACAAACCAAACAACGUCAUUUUGAUCUCAGGAAAUUAAAAAAACAAAACCCUCGUCAUUCUCCCUUUGCUACUCUACAACUCAUCGUCAAAGGGUAAAAAGAUGACCAAAAGAAGAAGAAGAAAAAAAAAAAACGACGACAGAGGAUAGAGGUGCACCUGUUGAGGGCGUUGCGCCUAGCCAAGAGGCGAGCGCCUUGCACACUUAAUCAACGCCUCUGUGAAGGGGCGGCUCCUGCAAUCAGGCGAAGCGCUGAAGGGUGAUGUCACAUCGUCUAGAGCCUAGGCGCACCUUUCACAACUAUGACCCUAUCCAACUCAACCAUACAAACCAUCUCAUCUUUUUUCCAUACAUAGUGAUGUUUGGAGGUCAUCUAAAAUAAAGAACAUAACAGGGACUAGAUGGUUGAUGAUCAUACUAGAAUUUCUUAGAUAUUUCUAAUGAAAAAAAAAUCAAAAAUUAGUCAAAUUUUCUAAAAGUGGACCAGAAUUUCUUUAUUGAAUUAAAAAGUUGAAAUUAAUAUUUUGGAAAAGUUAGGGCCGCUCAAGAGGUAGAAAUAGCGCUCGAGUGGUAGAAAUAGCGCUCGAGUGGUAGAAAUAGCCCUCAAGUGGUAGAAAUAGCGCUCAAGCGCUAGGACCGCUCAAGCACUUAACUAGCGCUUGAGCGCUCAUAUAGAAUCUGCCAGAAUAUGGAAGAAUAUUUUUUGGAUAAUCAUGAAAAUUGGAUUUGGAAACUUUAGAAUAUCAAUCUCCUUCGGCCUAGAGGUUUAUAUAAACCCUAUUAUAACCCUUUAGGGUUAAGAAAUUCACCAAGUGGUUUACCCUAACUUGUCAUACCAUUCCCGAUCUCUCAUCAAGGAAUCAAAGUGUUUAAUCUUGGGUUGUUUGAAGACCUGCAUCCCUUCAACAAGGCUAAGGUGUAUUCACUAGAACAAUUGAAAUUGUUGCAUUGCGGACAUGAAUCAAGUUGCAGGUUCUAGAGAGUAAGUCUUUAGAAUAAAGCAGACAAAGAGUUCUAUGUGACUUUAUCUCAUAUAGUGGAUUUAGCUUUGAGGUCUUAGACCUCGUGGGUUUUUAUCUCCAUAGUUAGUGUGGGGGUUUUCCACAUAAAAAUUAUUGUGUCUCUUGAUCUUAUGUUUGAUUUUAGAUAUUCUAUUUAUCCCUGAUAUCUCACAGGUUAACUUUAGGUUAAAAAUUCAACUCCCUAUUUAAUAAUUUUUAAAAUACACCCAUUCACGAGUGUUAUCCUACUGGACAUUGGUUUUUCACCAUAUAUAACACUCAUACCAAAACCCAUGCAACAUGGACUCCAACCUUAAGCUUAACUUUCUACGAAUGGAAAAAAAAAAAGACAUAACAUAAAUAGACAGAUUUAACAACAUGCUCCUAAUCAAGGUGAAUGUCCCUCUUUUUGAAAGAUAUGACCUUUUCCAUACGAGGAGCUUUCUUUAAAAUUUCACCUCUACCAAUUCCCAUGCCUUUACAAAGUUGUGGAAAGCUCCAAAGAGAAGGCCCAGACAUGUAAUGGGUAGAUUCCCUACCUUAGAACCUUACACCAAAGCUAAACCCCUAAUAUUUGUGACUUCUAUAAGAAUCAAUUCAUUUUUUUCCAUAUUUAUUUCUAAAUCAGACAUUGCCUCAAACCACAUGAAGUUAUAACUUGGAUGUUACAGAUGCUCUUAAUUAGUGUCACAAAAAAAUAGGGUAUCAUCAUCAAACAAGAAAUGUGACACUUCCAUCCCCUCCUCCUGUCUUCCUCCCACUUUGAAACUUGAGAUGUAACCCCUUUUAUCUAAUUCUCCUCAAAAUUCAAUUGAAAGCCUUCAUUGCCAAUAUGAAAAUGUAAGGGGAGAGAGGAUCUUUCUACCUCAAAUCCCUUGAGCUCUCAAAGAAACUGAAUAGGACACUAUUUACUAGAAUAGAGAAUUGAGUAGUGGAAAUGAACCAUUUGAUCCACCUCACCCACUUAUGAUCAAAGUCCAUUUUAUCCAACAUCAUUAACAAAAAGUUCCAAUUUACAUGGCCAUCGUCCUUUCCAAUGUCUAACUUGCAAAUUACCCCACUAUUGGGACUCUUUAACCUUGAAUCUAGAGCAUCAUUUAUGAUUAGAACUGCAUCUAGAAAUUGUCUGUCUUCCACAAAAGCAUGCAAAUAAACUAAAACUAUUUUACCCACCACAUUUUUUAGUCUUUUAGCCAAGACUUUUUCCAAUAGCUUGUACAAAAAAACCCCCAACUAAGCUAAUCAAUGUAAAAAAUUUUAGGUUCUCUGCUGCACCUAUAUUAGGGAUCAAGACCAAGAACAUGACAUUUAAAUUUUGCUCAAAGGAACAAUUAUCAAAAAACUCCCCAAGCUCAUUUGCCAAAAUAUUAUAAUAAAUCCAUUUGGCCCCUACAGCUUUAUCCCCACUCAAGCUAGACAAGGCAACAAGAAAUUCCUCAUCAAAGAAAGGUAACUCCAAUUUCCUAGAAUCAGCACAUAGCAUAACUUCAAAGGUCAUCCCAUUAAUGUUGAGUCUCCACUCGCCCAUAUCAGAUAGGAGAUUUUGGAAGGCCCUAAACUCCCCUUCCUUUAUAUUUGCUUCCCAAGCAACCAUUUUGCAUUCACUCAAAUUUUAAACAUGAAGUUUUUUAUUCUUUGGGCAUUGACCAUUUCAUGGAAAAUUUUGGUGUUUUUAUCCACCCCCUCUUUUAACCAAAUUUCUCUUUAUUUUUGCCCCCAUACAUAUAGAUUCUUCUAACAAGGCCCACUUGCUAAACUCAAUCACCACUAACCUUUGGCCUCAACGAUUUCAAGAGAUAAGGUAACUGCUCUCUACUUUGAGUCCCAGAAGUUGAUCCAGUUUAGCACCUCUAGGUUUUUUGUUGAGACAUUCCCAAAACCUUCUUCAUUCCAAGAUUUUAAAUCUCGUUUGACAGCCUUUAGUUUAACUUCCAAAAUAUGACCAUACAAGCCAUCCACAUUAUAACCAUCAACCAACUCCUCACAAAAUCUUUUAAGCCUUUUGUUUUAGGCUACAUAUUUUAAAAUGUAAACUGUGUUUUCCCACUCCUUAUCCUACCUCCAUCUAAAACUAUGGGGUAAUGACCAAAAAUUGGUUUAGGUAAAAUACUCUAGAUUAAAGUAGAAAAACGAUUCUACCAAUCAUCUGACACUAGGAAAUGGCCAAGCUAGCCUUGAAGAAGACAAAAGAUUAUGAACACCACUCCAAGUGAAUAGCCCUCCAACUAGCGAAAGAUCCCAAGGUCAAGUCCUCUAUGUCCUCUGAAAAGAACCUCAUAUCAAACAACAUUCUAAGGCAAUUCCUCCUUUUCAUGGGGAACUUGACCAUAUUAAAAUCCCCUCUGAAGCACUAGAGGUCAUCCCAAAGGCCUCUUAUGGCACCCAACUCUACCCAGAAAUCCACUCUUUCUCCCCUUUAAACCAACCCAUAAACUCUUACGUAUACCUAGACAAAGCUAUCUUCACAAUUCAUAGACAAGCAAUAGAGAAUGCUUCCACCUCCUUACCAAUUAACUCUAAUACCCUACUAUCUUGGAAAACCAAAAUGCCUACUAUCAAGCUUCUAACUUCCAAUACCAUUUCAAAAAUUUUCCUACUCCUAAACUCCUUACCAGUUGAACGAACAUCUAUCGAACCUUGGUUUCUUGUUAACAAACUAGAUCAACCCCUUGAGACCUUAUCAAUGACUUUAUUAUCAUAUACUUUUCCUCAUCAUUUGCUCAUUUGACAUUCCAAGACAGGAUUUUUAGCUUCAUCAUGCAACCUAUGUUGGAUCCUAACUGCUACUCUUGGAGCCCUUUUCCUUUUUGUUGAGCUUUUAUAAUUGACUAAGCAUCCCAACUUGUUGAGGUCCCUCUCAAACCAAGAUAUCGAGGUUAACUUCCUCUUCACCUCCAACGAAAAAACAGAAACCCCUCUCCUUAGCCUGCCACACAAGGGAAAAGAUCUCUUUUUCAAAUCCAUCAACUGGCAUUCUUGAGAAACUAUUGAAAUUUGCCAACUUACAAGAUAUACAAUUGGAGGAGUGCUUCUCUACCAAACAACUACUAAAAUUCACCUCAAAGGUGACCUUUUCCCCUGAUCUCUCCCCGGCCUCCAUACCCACUGACCCUUUCACAAAAUUUUCUAGAAUUUCCACUAUCAAGCCGUUACGGAGAACCAUCCUCAACAAACUCCUUUGACUAAUGUGAAAAACCCCACCCAAGAGCAUCUUCCAGAAGUUAACUUACAAGAUUAACUAUAAUCUUGUGAAGACUCGUUACCUAAUGGGUAAAAAAUUUGAAAUUCUAUUAGUAUAAUUCUUUUUAGGCACAAAAGCUGUGAAAAUAGCAUUGGUGCUCUAAUUAAUAACCCCAUAAUUAUUAAGCAAUAAAACAACUUUUAAUAAAUUCUCUUUCACCACAUCCCACCAAUCCUAAUGCAAAAAAGCUAGGAAAAAGUCAUCAUUGCUCUAAGCAUUUCUCCUCACUAGUUGAAAGACUGCUUUAUGAACUUCCUCUUCGACAAAAGGACAAUCCAACCAAUUAGCACCAUUUUCCAAAAUGAGAGACCAACCCCCACUCUUCUAUCCUCUAAGGAUCUUCAUAUAACCAUUAAUGCCUUUCUAUACCAGCUAGUAUAUAUCGGGUUUUGGGCAAGUCCUAUAAAUUGGUUUGAGUAAGAUUUUUAAUUACCCUGUUCUUUCUUUUUAGUUGAUAAAUAUGCAUAUAUGUAGUAAUUCAUACAUCAGAAAAGAUUUUGCUAAAACAAAAGAAUUGACAUGCAGAUAGUGACUUCUUGAUAAGAGUAAUAGCUUAAGGGAGGAAAAUGAACUCCUCCAGUGGCCCCAAAGUGGUAAGUUCCUUCAGAUCCCAUGUUGCUAUUCUGCAUUUCUUUGUGUUUUGGCAUCAGCCCUCUUAAUUAAUUCACUAUCCAGCUUCUCAAAUUCCUCGGAUUCUUCCCUUGUUCUUGUGGAAACAUCUGCAUCUUGUCCUUGCAUUGUUAUGGAUUGGUGAUUAUCAUUCUUUGAGAACUGUGUGGCAGCUGCUCGUGCACCAGCUAUGGCUGCAAGGAGACCUUCUGGUUUCUUGUCUUCAGCAGCUUUGGAGCCAUCAAAGCAAGAAACAAGUAAUCCUGGUUUCAAAGAGAGGGGAUCUUGUGGUUCUGGAAGCAGAAACUUGACAGGUAGUGGAGCUUGAACAGGACGAAGACCCCUAACUGCUGCCUCAUAUAUCUGCAACAAUUUCAGGGGGGAUAAGUAAUUAAAAAUCAGUCACUCUAUUGCAUUAGUUAGACUUGCUUUCAAUGCGAUAGCAAAGAAAGAAUCAUCAAUGAAAAAAGAAAAAAUAAAUGAAAAAGAACAAAAAGGAGAGGGAAAAAAAAAUGAUGGGUGCUCAAUUUGUACUUUUCUUUCCAGGUUAUAAAUACGUUGGUACCCGCGCAUCUCAAAUGGUAUGAUUAAUUUCUGCAUCAGGUCAGGAGAACUAAGUCCAUCAAUAUACUAAAAAGCAAAUAUACCAAAAGGCAAGCAAAAAUGUUUAACCAUCUUGAGUGUCAAACUCUCCAAGAAACUAUAUACUUUUAGCUGAAUGAAAACACAUGCCUGUGGUUGCUCACAGAGCCAGCAAAACUCUGUUUGCGCUUCUAGCCUUACCUACAAAUAGAGUUUAGGUUAUCCAACCAAAAUGGAGAUACAUCACACAAAACAAACUGUACCUAAUCAGUUUACGAAGGGGACGGGGGGAAGCAAAAAGCAAAAGUAAAUUUCUAAGAUGCCCACCCCUUCAGGUACCUCCUUCCAGCACGCCAGCUCUUCACAUUUAACACAACCAACUACUUCAAUACAACCUGUGGCAAGAAUAGAGUUUGUUGGAUUUAUUGUAGCAUGCCAUACAGAAAAAUUUAGCAUUUCAGUAAGAAUAAGAAUAAGAGAGCUACUUUCCACUAAAAUACGAAUCACCCAUCAACUGUUGCAAACAGACAACAAUGUGAAUAACAGGUUUUAUAUAUAUAUAUAUAGAGAGAGAGAGAGAGAGAGAGAGAGAGAGAGAUAGAUAGAUAUAGAGAGAGAGAGAGAGUCAAAUAAUAAUAAAGGACAAAAAUAUUUCUUUGAGAAAGACUAAUUAGAAAGAAGAAACAAAGAACCCACAUGAAAUCAAUUUAGAUAAGAGAAAUACCUUUAAGAAUCUAGUUCUUUUUGCAAAUUGCAACUUAGAAUUGGAAUGCCACAUAUUAUUAUAAGGUAUCACAAGAGAUUAUUGCUUCAUUUUUUUUCUUUGCCAGAUCAGUUUUAAUAAAUAUAAAUAUAAAAAUAUAAGCAUGUACACACACACACGCAAACACAUUAUGUGUGUAUGUUUAUGGAUAUGUAGAUAUAGGUUUUUAAUAAUAGAGCAUGAAAACAUAUCUAGUCAGAAAUUCCAAAAAUCCAAAACCAUUAGCAACACCUAACAGUCUUGAAACUGGGUAAUGUUCUGGAAACUUGAGGUCUGCUAUCCCAUUCACAGCAUAGAUCUCCCUGUAGAAAUUCUCCAUUGCUUUGAUUGUGUCUGAAUCUGGGACCUUACUAGCAGCAUGAAUCCAGAGUCGGCCUUCAUAAAACAAAACAUGUAUAUUAAGAAAUAUCCUUGUAGAACAGUAACAUUUUUGCCAGCAUGCAAUUCGUGUUAAUAAUCCUUGGUUCUCACCACUCAUUGUACAUUACAAUGUAAAGACCUAAUAAGCCCUAAUAUAGGUAGGUGUCUGUGCAGAGAGAGAGAGAGAGAGAGGGGAGGGGGGUGAAAGGAAAGAUGAUUAUAGAACAAAUACAAGUUGAAUCUCCUGAAAUAAUGUCCAUCAAGUUAUUUCCUAGCAACAAGUACUGAUUAUGCUUUUCCUGAUAACAUGAUUUUCUUUGCUAACAACCAUACUAUAUUUUAUCAAGAAAGAGUAGUGCAUGUGGCGUGCAUCAAGACCCAUUAGAGUUCCGCUAAACCUAUAGUUCUGUCAACGUUAUCAUUUACGUUUCCUCUAGAUAAUGGCAUUUUCCUCUAAAACUCUUGCACCAUUAGGCUUCAAGUCAAAAUUUCACAUGUGAACUUUGGAAAUUUUCUCCAUUUGCCCCUAAGGAUACAGUUAGAAUUGACUUAAAAUCCUGAUUGAUGUAUACUUUUAACCGAAGAAUAUUGUAUAUAAUAAUUGAAAUAUUGUUGAUUCAUCGUGGAAAUACAUUUUGUAAGGAAAGUUGUUAAGAAUUUAGUAUGCUAUAUGGAGAAAAAAGUCAUGACUUAAGGUUGAGUAUGUAUAUUCUAUAUCAAAUAUUAGGUAGGAAUGUGGAAAAGAGCAGAGUGUAAUUAUAAGAAACAAAGAAAUAUAAGAUAUUCUUGAAAGUGGAAAAUGUAAAAUGGCUAAAAGUCAAAUUUAUGAUGCAUAAGGGGGAUCAUGUCACAUAAGAAACUCAUGGCAUACCAAAUACGUGUGGUAUGGAGUAACAAUUUUGUUAAAAUAAGUUUCUCGUUGGAGUACAUUAGGUGACAAUUUUUUAAUAUCAAAUUAAAGAGUCAAGUGCAUCAAUGAAGUCAUAUGUAGAAAAUUUGUUUGUGACAUGUACCAUAAAGAUAAGAUUGACUUGAUAUAAUUUAGUCCAGGUAGGAGUUGUUAAAGGUGUCUCAAAUUUCUAAUUGAUAUAUAUUUUUUUCUAAAAAAAUAUUAUAUAGAUAUUUCAAUAAAUGAUUAAUUCUUUGUAAAAAUACUUACAUAAUAAAAAACAUCAUUAGAAAUAUCUCUAUAAAUAUUUUAAAUCACAAAAAGAAAAAAAAAAUCACUAUGAGAUAAUUAUAAACAUGCAACAUUGUACCAAGUAAACAGAAAUGUGAUAAAAAAAUUUUGAGAAACACUAAAUAAAGGAAGGGCUUGUAUAUCAAGAUGUAAAUAUAGAGAGCAAUAUUUUUAAUCAUAUGAUAGAAUUAUUUUCUCUCAUUCAUGAUUAUAAGCAAAAUUGGGAACCAUUAUAAAAUCUUGUACACCUCGUGUAAAUUGAUGUUUGUCUUCAUAUUUUACACCAACAAAUGACAUUGAAGUUGUCAUUGAUAAAAGGGAAAAGGCAUGGCCUCCACACCAUGUGCUUGAAUCGUAUGGUUCAAGUUUAAAGAAUUUUCUCCAUAAUUUGAAGAUCUAAAACAUUUUCACCUUUAAAUUUCAUUUAAUUAUUAAUAUCUACAAAAAAUAGUUAAAUACUCUUUCUAUUUUUGAGUUGUUGAAUUUUUUGAAAGUUUUUAUAUUUGUUAUCAAGAAUUUAUAUUUUAUUAAGUGUGAAUAUUUAUAAAUAAGAUAUUAUAUAAUAUUUGGAUAAGAGAGAAUGGUGGAAUAUAAUAAAGUUUUAAUCCUUCCCAAUUUUUAUCUUUUUUUUUUUUUUUUUUUAUAAUCGCCUUUCUCUUUCAAUCCUAUUAUCAGGUACCUUAUAUUUGCUGAUGCUAUCUGGAACUAAAUUCCAAUCAGACAUUGUCCAAUUACUAAUAGGACAGAUCAUGUCUCUCUGUUUCUAAACUAACAUGUAUCGUAAUGUGGCCUCAUAAGGAAGGCUAGGAAGAUGGAGGAUUUUGUGGGAAGCGACCAGAAUCAGAUGGAAGAGAGAUAGCCCUGUUGACCUAAUGGCUGUAAUAGGAGAAGCGUGUGGAUUUAUGGGACUUAACUGAUACUAAACCUAUAUGAUGCUUGGAGUGGUGUUUCUUUCAUUUUGUUAAGAAAAUAUGGCAGCAUACAUCCUUUCAAUUGAGUGCAUCAGAGCAUCCAUAAUAGAUGGUCUGCAACCCUAGGUGCAUGCCACUUUCUGACUGAUAAUGAAACUGUCAGGUACUUGGCCUUGACUAAGCUCAACAGCAUCACAUAAAAAGAAGCUUUCAUACUUAGAUUACUGUUUAAAGCUUUUGCUUAUUUGCUUUCUUAAUGCCAUUAUGACAUUAUUGUUUCAAUUCUGCUACCGAUUUUCGAAGUUCUGGGCAUCUACUGAUUGCAUCAUUAUAUGAGAAGUUGCAUGAGUUUAUGUAUCCUGUUAUUGCUCCUUUGCGAUUUCACUGCUCACGGGACUAACCUCUCCAUUCAGUCGAAAUGAAUUGUAAUUUCUUUACUGGUAGCAGUAGUACUUUUCAUAGCAAAGAUAAUAGUAAAUAUGAAAUAUAAAUAGAAGGAAAUCUGAAUUGUAGAUGGCACUAUAAGUAACACUCAAUAUUCACUACAUAAUAAAAUAGACAGUGUUACAAAGGUAGAGAAACCUACAAUGAGUACUCAUCACCAUUCUCAAACAGAAACAUAGCAGCGACUUAUACAUAGAACCUAUAGGCUUGCAGGGAAAGAAGGGAAAGAGUAACAUGAUAAGUUCACAGCGGGUAGCAGCUCUUAUUUUACGUAUUACUCAAAAUCUCAAACUAACCAAAGUCACUCAGUUGGGAUGGGUAGGAGAUGGUGGUUUGUGGGGUGGCUUCUGGGUAGGAGCUGGUGGCUUCUUUGUUGGAGUUGAAGGAGGCGUAAUCUUCUGAGGUGGCUUGUAUGAGUCUUCGGCACUCUCUGCAGGAGGGUGCCCAGGGUUGUGACCGGAAGGAGGUGGCUUCUGUCCCUUUGGUGGUUUGCCUAAUGGGCUUGGUGGCUUGUGCUCCGGGAGUUGUUUCUCUCCCUCGAGUAGGUUUCGAGUUUUGUCAGAUGGCUUGUGUUCUGGUGGUGGCUUCUCUCCCUGGGGUGGUUUGCCGAAUGGGCUUGGUGGCUUGUGUUCGGGGAGUGGCUUCUCUCCCUGGAGAAGGUUACGAGUUUUGUCAGAUGGCUUUUGUUCUGGUGGUGGCUUCUCUCCCUGGGGUGGUUUGCCAAAUGGG